ACACUGAACUCCUAUCUGAAUUCUCACACCAUGUCCAAAACAAAGCUAGAAUCAAUAAUGGAAGCUUUGGUUGUCGCCCCAACAGUGUUUUGUCGGCACAGCAAAAGUGGCAACUUGAGUUCCUUAAACAAUCUGAUGACUUCUACUUCAAUGGGCUGAAAGAUGGGAUUUUGAAAUCAAGACUUGUGAUCAAAGACCUGGUCAAUGCUGACCAUGUUGAUGAAAUAUCAAUUGUUGAUAAUGCCACCACUGCUACAGCCAUUGUGUUGCAGAGUGUUGCUUGGGAAUUUUUGCAAGGGAAGUUUAACAAAGGUGAUGCUGCUGUUACGCUUCAAUAUGCUACUGGUGCUGUGAAAAAAUCUCUGGAAGCAUAUAUUAUGCGUGCAGACGGGUAUGUUAUUGAAGUUCAGUCACCAUUUCCUGUUAAUUCUGUUUAGUGAGAUUGUCAUGAAUUUCGGAAAGCUUUAAGAAAGAGGGAAAACCAAUGGUAGGAAAGUCAGAUUGGCUAUGAUUGAUCACGUGACAUCUAUUCCUAGUGUUCUGAUUCCUGUCAAAGAAUUAAUCAAGGUUUGUCGGGAAGAUGGUGUCGAUAAAGUAUUUGUUGAUGGUGCACAUGGGAUUGGGUGUGUUGAUGUUGACAUGAAAGAAAUGGCAGCUGAUUUUUAUACUAGUACUUUGAACAAGUGGUUCUUUUGCCCACCUGUGGCAGCGAUUUUGUAUUUUAGGAAAUCAAGUGAAGUUAAUGAUUUGCAUCACCCUGUGGUUUCUCAUGAGUAUGGAAAUGGGUUCCCUAUAGAGAGUGCUUGGAUUGGAACUAGGGAUUAUAGUGCCCAAUUGGUGGUUCCUCAAGCUUUGGAGUUUGUUAACAGAUUUGAAGGGGGAAUUGAAGGAAUCAAGAAGAGGAAUCACAAAGCUGUCGGUGAGAUGGGGUAGAUGUUGGCAAAAGCGUGGGGAACCUAUCUUGGGUCUCCUCCGGAGUUGUGUUCAAGCAUGAUCAUGGUUGGGUUCCCUGCUAGUUUGGGUAUUUCUAGUGAUUCUAUUGCUUUAAAGUUGAGUACCCACUUGAGGAAUAAUUUUUCUGUUAACGUACGUAUCUAUUAUAGGGCACCGGCUGAUGGGGUGAUUAACCAUGUUACAGGAUAUGCUUAAAUUUCUCAUUAUGUUUAAAACCGGAUGAUUACUACAAGUUCAGAGAUGCAGUUAACCAACUUGUUAAUGAUAAGUUCACCUCUGCACUUCUCUUCUAGGAAAGAGGUAUGUUUUAGAUCAUUGAAUAUAACAAUGUUAGCUAUUUUAGCUUGGAUAUAUUUUUGUAUGCCUGUUGUUUUUUGGUAAUUCGUUUCUCUUGGAUACCUGCAUUAUGAGGCAGCAACCUACGAUGAAUGUAAAAACUAUGUAGCGUUAUUAUUUUUGAGGAUAGUGACUGGUAACAAAAUCCCCUUCUGACCGUGUGAGAAGGGUUCAAAUGCCAGAUUCCUUGUAACAACUGAAGAAAUCUUACUACGUUUAACUAGUUGGCACCCACAUACUUUGUAUUGUUUCUUCUUAAUAUGGGAAAAGGGUACGAAGCAUAGGUUUGAGAUGUAUAUAAUUAUGCUGCUGACCUCUUAGCAUUCAUGAAGGUCAGUGAUCAUGUUUAAAAAAUGCUAGCAGCAAAUUUUACUCAUUUCUUCUUAGGUAGCUUAUUUGCAAAUGCAGCCUUUAGUUGUAGGUUAUCUUUGGAAGUGUUCGCAAGUCUUUGUGCUUCCUCGUUCUUCGCUAGUUCUAUGCUGUGAUUCAGUGAUUUGGAACCUUCUUCCCUCAAAUUUAUUGUCGAUAGUGCUUGUCCAUUUUGUUAAUCACAUUUAUACUGUGGAAAGUGAAGCCCUUGUCAUAAAGCAUGCACAAGUUGAGACAUAUAUAAACUUCUAAUAGUAUCUUUUCAUUUACUGAUCAGAUUUACUGACGGUCAAUCCCGAAGACGUACUGUACGUGCAAAGAUCAGGCCAUCAGAGACUUUAUGAGCAAUUAGCAAUAUUGUUGCUUUCAUUGAUUUGGAACCAAUAACGAGGAUAAAUUACUAUUUCAGAUGUGAGCAGCCUAUGUCAGUAAGAUUUUAUUGGCAAAAUUGUGGGCACUUUCUUUGGUUCAGAGCAUUAUUAUUGUUCUGUGUUGGCACGGAAGUUCCAGGUCUAUUGUCAAACAAUUUUUAUCAAAUUUCAUAGAAAUUUCUUCAAUAAAGAAGAUAAUGAUUCUGUGAUCCAACCUUUUGCAGUACUUGUGAAUCUAUUUUAUCAUAAGUUGUUUCUUACCUAUAUACUCAUCUGCAAUGGCAGGCAGUAGCAAUCUUCCGCGUAAGUACGAAUAAGGGCAAUUUGUCUCUCCCUGGAAGGCAUAAGUGGCCUCCUUUGACAUGGUUUCGGUGCCAUUAACACCCUAAAUGAGUAGAGAAACAAACUGCAGAAUGCGUAUAAAUGUAUAUGCAUAUAUAAUACUAUAAUGUAAUGGUUCAGAGAAAUAAGAAGCGCAGAAAGGUUUUUCUUUUGCUUCUUUGUUUGGGCUCCGUGAGAGCUAUUCGUGUACAUGUUCAAAUUUCAAAUUUCCAUUAUCGGAGGCACUUGAUGGGAUAAUAUUAAUGUCACAGAACAAGCGAUUAUUAUUAUUUAUUAAUAAAAGGACUCUAUGCUUGUAACUUUUAGAAUUAAGAUUCUUGCUAAUCUUAGCAUAUCUAAUCUUCCUUUAGUGAUUUGAUUUUGAUCCCCGUGUAAUUUUUAUUUACGUGCGGUCAAGUUUUAUUUGUUUAUUUUCAUUUUUUAAUAAACCUUAAUAAAGCCUUUCAAUAUGGCUCUAGAUACAUUUUUAUUUUUAGUUCAUAUACUAUAAGAACUCUUAAAACACAUAGCCAACUUGAGCUUACUCCUUGAAAGACUAAUUUUAAAAAGGGAGUGUUUUGCAAACAUUUUAAAUCUGGUUGCUAAGAGUAAGUUCGGAUUGCUGUCAGUAUGGAAAUGCUGAGAUGCCAUUCUUCAACUGUAGUAAUUUAUUAUUUUAAGGCGAUAUAUUAUAUGCACUUAAGCAGUAAAAGAUAAGUCAAUCAGUAUGAUUAGUCGAGCAUGUCGAUUGGAGCAAAAGUCAGCUAUAGCAGGGCUUAAUCUCUGAUAAAACCUUAAAUAUUGAUUUCUUUAUUGUUAAAGUUGAAAAAUCAACAAUAACAAGAGAACUCAUUAUCAGCUAUAGCAAAAAGUCUUUAGGAGAUGAGAGUGGGAUUCCUUUUCAAAAGUUUAGGGAUGCUUGAGUCAACAAUGUCAUAUUACAAAAAUGUCAAGAGUCAAAGCACCUAUAAUAUGAAAAAAAAAAAAAAAUUGUAGCUUCUCUAAUCUUUCCCACCAACAUUUUAAAUUCGUCUAAGCUUAUUCACCUAUUGACUUCUAAUGUAUUAUAAUCCUUCAAUUAACGCCUCUAAAUUCUAAUCAACUUAACCUCACGGAAACUGCUCAAGGGUGAAGCUCUCAGAACUCUGAGAACAUGACCAACUUGAGCUUACUUCUUGCAACACUACUCUUGAGUUUCAGUAUAUUGAAAAGCACUUGUCUUUGUUGCCCCCAAUAUCAGAAAGCGGCCCUGUUGGAGUUCAAAAGUCUAGUACUUGGAGACUUAGCAGACAAUAGUUCUGCUGACAAGAUGCUUGGAGGCUUGGAUACAUGGAAUUCAAGUUCGGAUUGCUGCCAUUGGGAAAUGGUGAGAUGCUUUUCUCGUGGAUCAUCAAAAGAGGUGACUGGCCUCAAUCUUAGCAAUCUUUUCCCAUUGGACUCCAAUGUGACGUCAGAUGUUUUGAAGCCAAUUUUUCGAAUAAGAAGCCUCAUGACGCUUGAUCUGUCCUACAAUUCAAUGAAAGGUGAAAUUCCCAGAACUGGUUUUGCGAAUUUAACCAAACUUGUAUAUCUUGACUUGAACAAUAACAACCUCAAUGGUUCCAUUCCAAGUCAGUUAUUCAGUUUGAGAUAUCUAGAGUUUCUUGAUCUCAGUACUAACGCCAUUGGGGGGAAAUUAAGUAGCAGUGUUGCAGGCCUCAAAAACUUGGAGCAGUUGAUCCUGAAUGGAAAUUUGAUCCAAGGACAGAUUCCUGCCGAGAUCGGAAACCUCACAAAUUUGCACAAGCUGUUGCUUCUCCAGAACGAAUUCUCUGGAGGAAUACCAUUGUCAUUGCUGCAACUGCGAGAGCUCGAAACAUUAGACCUGCGAAGGAAUUCGCUAUCUGGGGAGAUUCCAAAUGAUAUAGGGAUCUUGGCGAACAUGACAACUCUGGCCUUAAGCAACAAUGCUUUGACUGGUGCAAUUCCACAGUCAAUUCGAGACAUGAUCAAAUUGGUAACACUCAGAUUGGAUAGUAACGUUCUCGCUGGUGAGAUUCCAACUUGGUUAUUUGAUCUUCAUGAUAUGAAGAGCUUGUUUCUGGGAGGAAAUAAACUUAAAUGGAACAACAAUGUCAGCAUUGUUCCCAAAUGUAUGUUGACUGAAUUAUCAUUAAGAUCUUGCAGUGUUAGAGGGCCAAUGCCUCUCUGGCUUUCCAAUCAAACAGAGCUUGCAUUCUUGGACUUAAGUGAGAAUGAGCUCGAAGGAACUUACCCACAGUGGCUGGCUGAGCCAAAUCUUGGAACAGUUAUUUUAUCAGACAACAUGUUGACAGGUUCUCUGCCUCCUCGUUUGUUCGAAUCUCGAAAUUUAUCAGUCCUUGUUCUGUCAAGAAACAACUUUUCUGGUGAAUUGCCUGAAACCAUGGGUCAAAGCACUUCAGUCAUGGUACUUAUGCUGUCCAGUAACAACUUUUCUGGGCAUGUGCCAAAAUCUAUCUCCAAUAUGUAUCGAUUGUUGGUACUGGACUUGUCAGAUAACGGCUUUUCUGGGGAGUUUCCAUCUUUUGGUUCGAAUUCACUUACGGCAUGUAUUGAUAUAUCUUCCAAUAGAUUCUCUGGUGAGGUUCCUUCAGCUUUUGGGGAAACCACAUUUAUGCUGUCAUUGAGUGAAAACAAUUUCUCUGGGCAAUUGCCUCCGAAUCUAAGUAAGCUGAACCUGCUUAAACACCUUGAUCUUCAUGACACCAAUCUUACCGGUGAGUUUCCAGCAUUCCUCUCUCAGAUGUCUUCUCUUCAAGUACUUAAUCUCCGAAACACUGCCCUCAAAGGAUCAAUCACCGAUGGCCUGUCAAAUCUCACUAGUCUACGUAUCCUGGAUCUCUCCAACAACAACUUUGAAGGAAAAAUCCCAUCAAGCUUCGGAAACCUUGCGGGAAUGAUUGAUACUCCUAUUAUCUCAUCACGACUGCCAGAAACGCUCAUGUUUCCUAUUGAAAUUUUCAACGUUUCUGUUGAAAUCCAAGAUUUGAUCGUCAACUGGAAGAAUUCCAAACAAAGACUCUCUGGCAAAAGCCUGGCAAUCUAUUCUCUCCUGGACUUGUCUAACAACCAGUUAUCUGGUGAAAUUCCAUCAUCUCUAGGCAGUCUCAAAGGUCUGAAGUCACUUAACCUGUCUUACAACGAACUCCAGGGUAACAUUCCCUCAACUUUCGGCACCCUGGAGAUUUUGGAGGCCCUGGAUUUGUCACACAAUAGCCUGUCUGGAAAAAUCCCACAAACUUUUGCCAACCUCAAGCAACUGACCUCAUUAUACUUGAGCAACAACAAGCUCUCGGGUCGUAUUCCUGAGGGCCCUCAAAUGGACAGCCAGAUUGAUCCAGUCAUAUAUGCAAACAACAGUGGCUUGUGUGGGGUGUAGAUCCGGCUUGUUUGUCCUGAAGAUGUGGAACCACCACCUGAUUCAGUGCCAGAGGAGAUGGAGAAAGAAGAAACAGGAAUGUUUUCAUGGAAAGCCACGGCCAUCGGGUAUCCUGUUGGAUUCUUAUAUGCAACUGCAGUAAUGUAUGUGAUUGGUUACUUUAAUUCUGUACCAAAAUCUUCAGUUCCGUGGGCUAAGUCGUCAAGAAACAAGAAGUUCUGGGAAUUAUAGAGCCUGGACCUAAAGAGAUUAAUCAAUGUGCAUGUCAGUAUGGUCUAAUUAUACAGAGCAGAAAACUGUGUACACUUGCAAUGCAAGCAAUCUUGUCAUGUGAAGAUGCGAGCUUAACGCCUAGUCACAUGUUGGGAUUAAAUAAAUGCAGUUUUGCUCUCUUCUAAGGAGUUUUAGUGUUUUUCAAAUAAAGCAUAUAAUAACUAUGGAAAAGGUAGUUUUCAGACGAACAAAAUUCUGAUGCAUCUAUCAUUAGAUGUUUAAUAUCUUUUGUAAUAUAACGUGGAAAUAAUUAAUUUUAGAUUAUAUUUUGAAAUAAUACAUUUUAUAAAAUAUUUCAUGAGAUGUUGAAUAAAUUACAUGAGAUGAUUAAGGUAAAAAUGUGAGCUCUUUAUUCUAAAAUGGCGGUAUACAUCAGUGAGUUAGGGGUAUCAAAUUUAGCAAAUUUAACAAAAACGAUCCCAUCAGUGACUCCAGAAACCCAGAAUUACAUAAACCUAUAUAUAGAAUUUGAAAUAAGAUCAAAAUUGCACCAAAAAAUAAUUGGAAAGUAGAAAUUAUGUACUUGAAAAAAAGAAAAAAGAGAAAAAAAAUUAUAUACCCUUGUUGUGUAGCUGAUAAUGACCAUAAAAUUGCAUAGCUCCAUUGGGUACUCCAAACAGCCACAGCAAGCUUAUUUCUUUAGAUUUCUGGCACCUCCUCCUGGUUUUGAGCAGCGUUAGCCAUUGACAAGCACAAACAUCAGUAAAUUCAACUUAGAUAACCAGAAAGAAAGCCCCAUCAACAAGUAAAUUGGUCAACAAGCAAAACCUUCACUGAAAAGAAACUCCAAUAAUAUCCUGUCAACAAAUUUUGGUUCUACAAAAUAUCACACAUUGAGUUCAGUAACAUGCAGCUACAAGGUCCUUAUGGCGAAAUACCAUCACUGAAAAAAUCUUUAAGAGACUGAAAUUUUAGAUUGGUAGUACCAUCGAAUACUCAAACAAAACUAAUGCGCAAUUUCUGCUCUAGAGUGCUUGAAAUAUGCAUUUUGGUUUGUAGCGAUUAUGUUUGUAUGAGCUGGUAAUUUUUAAAUGUUUGGAUCUCGACCUGUUCUAUCAUCUGACAGAGAGUAGUUAAUAAAUGACUAGUAAUGCAUAUGCAAAAAAGCUUAUUCGGCACUGUCUGUAUGUAUGUAUAAUACUAUAGUGUAAUAAUGUGUCAGAGAAAUAAUUAGAAGAGCAGAAAGAGUUUUCUUUUGAUUGUUUUUUUGGCUCCACGAGAGCUAUUCCUGUACAUGUUCAAAUUUCCAUCCUCAGAGGCAAACUAAUGGGAUCAUGUCACAGAACAAGCAAGUGAUUAUUAUUAAUAAAGGGACUCUGUGUUUGUAACUCUUGGGAUUACGACUCUCCCCAAAUAUUAGCUUAUCUACUUUUAUUUUAAUGAUUUGAUUCUGACCCUCAUAUAAUUUUUAUUUAUGUAGGAUCAAAGAUUCAUGGGAAAUUUACAAAAAUAGCCAUAAAAUUUUAGCGUUUUUUAAUUUUAACCCCCCAAAGUUUUUUCUAUCAUAACUAGCCAAAUACCCUAUUUUUGGACUACAUUACCCUCAUCACUUUCAUCAAAUUUACAAAGGCAUGCCACUUUUUCCUUUUCAAUUCCAGCACUAUUAAACCUUAGCUCAACAACUUUUAAUCUAUUGAUUUUAUCAUUUGAGUUCGAAAUUGAAGUGAGUUUUUAUUGCAAACGUUGUUAUUUUUCAUUAACAAAACAAUGUGACUUGUUAAAGUAGUUAGCUUGAGUUGAGAAAUGAAGAUUAAUCAUUGAAACUCCUGAAAAAUCGAGCAAAACAUAAGCCCAGAACAAGUGAGACAGGCGCCUGUCUCACAUAAAACCAGCAGGUUUAUGUGAGACAGGCACCUGUCCCACUUGCCUAUCUCACCAAAAUAUGUGCGACAGGCAAGUGGGACAGGCGCUUGUCGCACAUAUAAAGCCAUUGGUUUUAUGUGAGACAGGCGCCUGUCUCACUUGUUCACACUGGUUUUAUGUGAGACAUGCAAGUGGGACAGGUGCCUGUCGCACAUAAAAACCCAUUGGUUUUAUGUGAGACAGGCACCUGUCCCACUGCAUGUCUCACUAAAUAUCAGUUAUUUUUCGAAAGUAAUAACUUGGGCUACAUGUGUUCGUUUUAGGCGUAUAAUAUAUCGUUUUGAAGCUUACGAUGAGACGAAACAAAUCCAAAAUUGUAUACUUCAUUUCAUCCACAUAAAUGUACUGCAUAUUCACUUUACUAGGUUUUGUAGCGUGAAAUCUUAUCUCUUUUGUUUUUUUUUUUUAUAAUUUUUAGGUUUAAUGGAUUCCGUUGUACUUCAAUUAUUUAAAGGUUUAAGUACUUUUGGCAUCUUAUCUUGAAUAACUCAGCAUUCGUGUUAAGAAAUCCAAAAAAUCUCAAGAACUAAUUUUAUUUCAAAUUAGGAAGCAAGAAAUUGCAUAUAUCAAUUUUCUCCAAUAGGAAUAAUAAAAUAAAAUAAAACAACUAAUCUUUGAAGGGAUGUGUAUAUAGCAUCAUAAAAAUAGAACGUAGACUGUAAAUUAUAUGAUAUUGAUAAUACACAAACACAGUACAAUAUAGAUAUUGCAAAACUUAAGGUUUGGACUUGUGCACAUCAUAAAAUGGAUUACCAAAAUCCACAUUGUAUUGCAUAUAUUGCUCUUUGAAGUCCAAGUUUUAGCUGUCAAACCAACCAGUUCAGGGGAUUCUGAAUAUAAAUAUUCAGCUAGCAUAACAUGAAGCUCCGGGGACCUAGUUUUAGGAGCUCCAAACUCUAUAGACCACCUGCAAAACAAAAGAACUAUAAGUUGAGAGCAGUUACUUCCAUGCUUAAGAAAUCACAACAUCCACCAAAAGCAAAAAGUCCAAUAAUACAAUGAGGCAAUGAUUUCUCACUUAAUAGCAGCCUUUAAGAAUGAUGAGCAGCCCUCUACACGCAAUUUUGCUGCACCAAGCACCAAGCGCGCUGUCUCUUGGUGCGACAUGCACCAAGAGGCAACACCAAAAUCGCUCGAGUUGCGCGCAGGCUGGCACGCAGCUCGCGCGAGCAGGCUGGCACACGCAUUUCGCGCGCGGCACGCGCAUCUUGCGUACGCGAGGCCACGCAUGUCGCACGCAAAAUGCGUGCGACAGGCUCAUCCCGCGCGCGCGGAUGGGCAUGUCCUGCGCAUCUCGCAUGCGACAGCCGCGGCCUCGCGCGCGGGAUGCAGCAUGGCCUUCCCUUUCACUUCCCUUUCCCUUCCCUUUCUCUUCCCUUCCCUUUCCCACAUGCAUCUCACCCACCACCGCCAUUAAACACCAACAACAGCCCAAACAACAACAGCAACAACAGCCCAAACAACAACAACAACAACAACUCACCUAGGGUUUCCAAUUUUUUUCUUUGAUUUUGGAGAUCUCCGAAGAUUUUCAACGUGAUUUAGCUUGUUUCAGCCGCCGACAACUUCCUCCACUGCCGAUCUACGCUGCCGAUGAUGUAUACGAGAUUCCGGUGAUGAGAUUUUGGUGAGAGGGGGAGGAAUUUCGCUUGAGAGAAACGUGAGAAUGAUGAGGGUAAUUUCGUCCACAAUUUGGUGAUUUGGCUAAUGUUGAAAGAAAAAAGUUUGAGGGGUUAAAGUUGAAAAAUGCCUAAUUUUUUUGGCUUGUUUUGUAAAUUUCCCAAGAUUCAUUCAUUUUUUUUUAGUAAACAUUAACAUAGCCUUUCAAGAAUUGAGUGGUUAAGGUCAAAAUCGUAAAAGCGCUAGAAAUUCCAAAAACUAACUAUGUAUUUUAGGCAAUACACAACUUUAAAUAUUUUCAUUAAUAUUUUAGGUCAUACAUUUAUUUCCAUGAAAUUUUUAAGGUACAUUAUCAUGCACCAUACAUUAAUCUCACAAUUGUUAUUAACAGCGCAAAACUAACUACUUGUAUGUUUUGUAAAAUUAAUUAUAAAGUUAAUGUACGUUACAUGAUAAUGUAAAUACCGACGUAGUACCCUUUAUGAAAAAAGAUUUUUGGAAUCCUAUAAAUGUUGACGGUUGAUAGGACUAUGAGAGACCCCGCGUAGUGAAAUGUGUACAUGAUUAUUAACACAUGGCUUCAAUUAUCUUAAUUUUUUGACUUUGUACAAGAAAAAAGUUCUUUUCUUUGCCUUUUUAAAAGAGAGUUUAUCUAAUGGGCCUACAAAUUCAAAAGGGCUCCACCAACCUCUCCUUCUACAGUACUUUUUUCUCUGAAAAAAGUGCAAAGAAUGGAAGCAUACGGAAGCCUUUAUGGCUUCUUUUAAUCACCUAUUAACUGGGUGCUUCUGUUUUCUUUUCCCUUCUUCUCCUUUCUAUUCUUUUUCUGUCUUUAUUUUGAUUGCAUUGUCCUUAAGUAUCACAACUACCUUGCUAGAGCUUGUAAAGUAAUCAUCGCAGAACGGUUGGUGGGGUUAUUACUGUUGGGAGGGAAAGACUUGUGAGGAAUGGAUACAAAAGAAUUAGUCAGAAAGUGUCAAGCUAUUGUCCUGAAGGAAGAAGAGGAAGACACAAUAACAGUCAUGGGCAAGCUGCGGGAAGCGGGCGAGGAAAUUGCAGCAAAUUGCAUAGUGGGGAAGAUAUUACUAAUGAGAGGAGUAAAUAGGGAAGGAUUGAGAGCCGCAAUGCAACAAGCUUGGAGAACAGUAAAGGAGGUCAAGAUAGAAAGCAUGGGGGAGAAUAUUUUUUUGUUCAAAUUUGCAUCGGAAGGAGAAAAGAAGAGAGUCCUCAUGGGGGGGCCAUGGCACUUUGAUAGAGCUUUAUUGGUGUUAUCCGAGCUUACUGGCAUAGGGGACAUAAAAGAGCAGUCUUUCACACAUACAUCUUUCUGGGUACAAAUCCACAAUAUACCUAUAAUGUGUAUGGUGCGAGAGAUUAUUCAAAAGCUAGGAGAGAAAAUCGGAGAGGUGGAAGAAAUUGAAACAGAUGCAACAGGGGAGUGCAUAGGCCAAUUUGCUCGAAUAAGAAUCUCCAUUAACAUAACACAACCUCUAAAAAAAGUGGUAUUCUUGCAAGAGGCUGGAGCCAAAAUACCAAUGCCUGUCCUGUAUGAGAAGCUUCCAGAAUUUUACUUUUCUUGUGCAAAGAUUGGCCACCAAUAUAGAGAAUGUUUGAAGUACAAAGGUCAGCCAAAGGAGAAUCUGCCAUAUGGGGGAUGGAUGCGAGCAAUAACACCAACAGAGAGGAUGAAACUAGCUCGAACCAGAGGAAAGGGGCACUAGAGAGCACCCUCAAUCGAAGACAAGUGAAGCAGAUGCUACUACAAGUCAAACUCAACACAACCCAACAGAACUAAACGGGCCAAACCAAAGAAACACGGGUAAAGAGAUGGGGGAUGAGAUGCAACCAAUGGUCACAAAUCAGGAGUCACAAGAGGGGAAUGCAGCUUUAAUUCUGAGUACAGCAGAGCCGGAUAAUCAGCAAUCAGAAAAUGAAAAUACAAGCAGAGAAAUCAAGAAGCAGCACGCUAAGGUGGCUGACAAUGACAGCCAGUCGAAAAGCAAAGUCAUAGGCACGGGAAAGAAAAAUUGGAGGGAAAUGGAAGUGAGGGGAACAGACACAAAAAGGGGGAAUGAUGAGGAAGAGGUUGAUAAUGGGCUGAGCAAUGCAAAAGAGAAGCCCAAAAUCAGAAAAUGGAAAUUACAAGCUAGAAGCUCAAGGAUAGAAAGAGGAAAAGACAAGGGGCCUAUCAAUUCCAAAAGGCCUAGUAGCGAGCUAACUUGGUCGAGCCCUGAAAACAAAAAGAAAAGAAAGCUUAGCCCAUCAAAAGCACCACUCAACUUAAAGCAGCUUAACUCCUCUCAAGCAAAACUUCAGCUGAAGUCUAUAGACACAGAGCAAGAUGAAACUGUGGAUGCAACAACAAUGGUGGAAGACGUAUUGGCGGGAGCUGGCAGCCAGCCCCGCCAGCAGCAAUGAGGGUCUUAAGUUGGAACGUCCGAGGUCUGGGGAAGCCUCGAACGUGUCUAGCCAUCAAAAAAAUUCUCCACCUGCAUCGGCCUCAAAUUUUUUUCUGUUGCGAAACAAAGAUGACAGCCCAACAGGUUUAUUCGAUAUGCAAUAAAUUUAAUUUUGAGAAUCGCUUUGCGGUAGAUAGAAUGGGUAUGGGAGGUGGUUUAGCUUUGUUUUGGAGUUCGGGAGUGAAUGUCAGUAUAAAGUCUUUCAGUUCUCAUCAUAUAGAUGCAGUGGUGCAGAACCCAGGUGGUAAAAUGUGGAGAUGUACGGGAAUUUACGGCCAUCCAGAAGCUGGUCAGAAACAGCACACGUGGUGUUUACUGAAAAGGUUAGCAGACAUAUCUCCUUAUCCUUGGUGUUGCUUUGGUGACUUCAAUGAAAUCCUUUAUUUACAUGAGAAAUCGGGGGGCAAUGGUAGAAAUCUCAAUGUAGUAGCUGACUUUAGAGAAACCAUUCAGGCAUGUAAUUUGGUAGACAUGGGUCAUAAGGGUUACCAAUUCACAUGGUCGAAUAGGAGGUUCGGGACAGGCUAUGUAAAAGAAAGGUUGGAUAGAUUUCUCUGUAGCAAAGAUUGGAGCAAAAGUUUCCAGAACCUUCCGGCAUCACAUUUGGUAAAUUGGGUCUCAGAUCACUGCCCAAUCAUGCUGGAUAUUAAAGAGAGAAGCAAGGAGAUAAAUUACAAGAGAAGAUCUUUUCCGAGGGACCAUUACGAAGACAUGUGGAGCUCAUAUGAGAAAUGUCAAAAUAUAGUGCAAGAAGAAUGGGAAACUUGUGGGGUCAGAAGGUGGGAGAAUCCGGUGAACAAUUUUCAGAGGGCGGCAAAAAACUCUCUAUCUCAGCUCAAGAUAUGGAGCAAGGUAGAGUUUGAUGGCAGAAAAAAGAAGCAAGAGGAUUUGAUUGAGAAACUGCAGAAUGCAAAGCAGAAUAUGGAUCAGUAUGUAGAUGGUGGAGAAAUCAGAAAGCUUGAAAAGCAAAUCAACAACAUGCUGAUUGAUGAAGAAGUGUACUGGCGUCAAAGAUCGAGAGCAGACUGGCUCAGGGAAGGAGACAAAAACACAAAGUUUUUUCACUCCAAAGCCUCGGCUAGGAGAAGAAAAAACAAAAUAUGGGGUAUAGAGGACACCCAUGGGAACUAGACAGAUGAUACAGAAAAAGUUGAAAAGGAAUUUUGCGAUUACUUCCAGCAGCUCUUUACUUCCUCCAGGCCAAGCCACAGUCAGACUCAAGAAGCCCUUAAAGGAAUGCCCCCAAAGAUAACUCCGGAAAUGCACACUCAUCUGGAGGAACCCUUCACACCAGAAGAAAUUGUAAAUGCACUAUCUCAAAUGUGUCCUACAAAAGCUCCCGGACCGGAUGGCUUACCUGCAGCAUUUUUCCAAAAACAUUGGCAGGCUGUGGGCAGAGGGGUAGUCACAACAUGCUUACACAUUCUCAACGAGCAAGGUGAUUUAGCUUCGCUCAACCAUACGUAUAUUGCUCUAGUACCUAAGACUGAGAAAUCAAAGAAAGUUACUGAUUUUAGGCCUAUUAGUCUAUGCAAUGUGGUGUAUAGAAUCAUAGCUAAGGCAAUAGCGAACAUGCUGAAACUAAUUCUUCCCCAAAUCAUAUCCCCAACUCAGAGCGCAUUCAUUCCCAAUAGACUCAUUACAGACAAUGUGAUUAUUGGUUAUGAAUGCCUCCACAAGAUUAGACAUAGCAAAGGGAGAAGAAAUGGGUUAGUGGCUCUAAAAUUGGAUAUUAGUAAGGCGUAUGACAGAGUCGAGUGGAGCUUUCUAGAUCAAAUCAUGGAAAAAUUUGGUUUCUCGAAUAAAUGGAGGAGUCUAAUCAUUAGUUGCAUAACCACUGCUCAAUUUUCAGUCAUUAUUAACGGGACCCCCAAAGGCGUAAUCCUUCCGGAAAGGGGUCUAAGGCAAGGCUGCCCCCUCUCCCCGUAUCUUUUCAUCAUGUGUGCAGAGGCCUUUUCAAAUUUAUUGAUCCAGGCUGAGAGGAAGCAGCAGAUUAGAGGGCUGAGAUUUGCAAAGGAAGUUACGAUAUCCCAUCUUAUUUUCGCUGAUGACAGCUUAGUCUUUACCAGAGCCUCAGAAGCAGAGUGUAAGAACUUAAAAGGGAUUUUCGAUUGCUAUGCGAAGGCAUUAGGGCAGAUUUUUAAUUAUGAAAAGUCCUCAAUGUUUCUCAGUGGCAAGAUUACAAGUGGUCAGGCUGCAGCAAUUAAAAAUAUUUUCCAGCUCAAAGUGGUGUCGAAAUAUGAAAAAUAUCUAGGCCUUCCAUCUAUGAUAGGCAGAAGGAAAUCAGGGUUCUUUAAUGAGGUGAAGUUGAAGGUGAUAAGCAAGAUUUCAAGCUGGCGUCAUAAGAUGUUCUCCAGCGGAGGGAAAGAAAUUCUCAUUAAAGCAGUAGCACAGGCAGUACCGGCGUAUGCUAUGAGUGUUUUCAGACUUCCAAAGGGGCUAUGUGAUGAUAUUCAAAGCCAUUGCGAAGUUUUGGUGGGGAUCAAGGGAAGAUAAAUUCGGAAUCCACUGGUCAAGAUGGGACAAAAUGAGCCAAGCAAAAAGUAGAGGAGGGCUGGGAUUCAGAGAUCUUACUAGCUUCAAUCAAGCUUUGGUGGUUAAGCAGGCAUGGAGAUUGCUUCAGCUUCCCAAUUCGUUGCUGGCUAGAGUACUGCAAGCAAAAUACUAUAAGCAUUCUUCAUUCUUGAAUGCCACAGCGGGAUCCAAUCCAUCUUUUAUAUGGAAAAGUAUUCUAUGGGGAAGGCAAGUGAUUGACAAAGGCGCAAGAUGGAGGGUGGGAAAUGGAAGGAAAAUCAGAACUUACAAAGAUAAUUGGCUGCCUAGACCAGACACUUUCAAACCAAUCUCACCUAAAAAAUUGCCAGCUGAAACUAUGGUGGCUGAACUGAUUAAUGAAGAAAAUCAAUGGAUCGUAAGCAAGCUGGAGCAAAACUUUCUACCCCAAGAUAUCGAAGCAAUCCUACAGAUUCCACUCCCUAGAAGCAAAAAAGAAGAUGAAGUGAUGUGGCAUUAUGACAAAAGAGGAGAGUAUUCAGUAAAGAGUGGAUAUCAGAUAGCUCUCAAGCUCAAGGUUCAAGAUUUGCCAAGUAGUUCAGGAAGCUGCUCCAGGCAAUGGAAUGUUUUGUGGUCUUUGGAGUUGCCUGAGAAGAUUAAGAUUUUCAUGUGGAGGGCAAUAAAAAACAUUUUACCAACAACUGAAAAUCUAUGGAAAAGGAAGUGUUUGCCAGAGCCUACCUGUCCAAGAUGCCAGAAGAAUGUGGAAACUAUAAGUCAUGCCCUGUUUGAAUAGACCUGGACUUUAGCCCCAUCCACUUUCGAGCAUCAGAAUGUUCCAGGUCAAGACAUUUUCAGCUAUGUCCAGAAUCUUUGCAGCAAAUCCAGGAGAAAUGAAGCUGAGCUUAUGAUUAUGUAUUGCUGGGCUAUCUGGUAUGCCAGGAAUAAGUUGAUAUUUGAAAGAAAGAAGAUAGAGCCAAUGAUGUCAGCAGCAAAGGCAGAAUCAGUGUUAGAAGCGUUCCAAAGAGUGAGAAAAACAGGACCUCUCCAUAUUAGCAAUACCAGAGAGGAAAGCCAGCAGAGAUGGUCACCACCCCCAAAAAAUGUGCUCAAGCUUAAUGUAGAUGCAGCAACAAGCAGCAAGGAUCAGAAGGUUGGCUUGGGAGCAGUCUUGCGUGACUCAAAUGGCAGAGUAGUAGCAGCAGGCAUCAAGCAAGCUUCUCUCAGGAAGGAUGUCAGUUUUGCAGAAGCUGAAGCUAUCCAAUGGGGUCUCCAGAUUGCAAAAGAUGCAGCUGCAGCAAGCUUGAUUGUAGAGACUGAUUGCAAAGAUGUGGCUGAGCUAGUCAACAACACAAAGGGCAGCAGGUCUGAGAUUUUCUGGAUAAUUUCGGAAAUCCAAACCCAGAAACGAGAUUUCCAAAGGAUCCAAUUUAAUUUUGUACCAAGAUUUUGUAAUGCACAUGCCCAUUCCUUAGCUAAACAUGCUCUAAGGAAAGAUACAACUGCUGUCUGGUUAAAUAUACUACCAGUAGAAGUGCAGAAUGUAUUUGACAGUGUUGUUUAAUCAGUAAUGAAAGGUUUACUUUCUCUUCAAAAAAAAAAAAAAGAGAGUUUAUCUAUAGACUAAAUAGUAAGGAAAGUAUUUGUUUUUGUUUUGUCUCGGCCCAUAGAUAAAAUCCCUAGUGGCAUCCAAUGAAUAAGAGGGCAAAUUGUAUAUUACUCCUUUCAUAAAUUAACUAUUAUCAAAUCGCUUAUUUUUUUUUAUAACUUUAAAUUACCACUAUAUAUAAUUAAAGGAUUAAAAAAAAUAUACGAAUAGGUUGAUGAAUUUUUAUAUUUUUUAAUAAUAAUAAUAAUAAUAAUAAUAAUAAUAAUAAUAAUAGUUUAAAUAAUCAUAAAUUUUGUGGGAAGUAAUCCAAAAUUAACUCUUAAGGAAAUGACUUAUUUAUUUAGUGUUGAAAUGGUGAACGAAAAAAGGUAUGGUUGGCAAUUUGUGGGCAUGGGCCGGGCUUUUCUAGGCCCCACAUUAUUCAAACAAAGCCCAGACCCUUUAAAAGCCGGGCUUGGGCUACGCCUAAGCUUUUUCAUUAAUUAUAAAAUAAUUUUUUUAAUUAAGAAAAAAUAUUUAAAUUAAAUAUAAUUAUCUAAUAUAUAAUAGAAUCAUAGUCCAAUACAUAAAAUAUUAGUAAUACAACCUAAUAAAUAACAAAUACUAAUAUAAAAAAUUAAACUAAUUUAGUUUUUUGAAUUUUUUUUAAUUUAAAUUAAUUUUAUAUUUUAUUUAUAAAUUAAAAAAAACCCGAACCGAUUUAUGCGGUUUUACAUUUUUUGAGCAUAUAUCCAGGCCCAACCCAGGCGGACCGGGCUUUAGGUCCAUGGGCUUGAUGGAUUUUAUGUAUAACGUUAUUAUAAGUCACAAAUCAUAGUAUUAUGAUUGCUCUAGCACACUUUACCUCAAUGCUAUGAUAAUAUUCACUACAUUAGUGUCGAUAUGGUCAUACCUAUUUCUUUUUUUGUUUCAAUUAUAUGUUGAUUUUAUAAUUAUAAGGAUUUCUUUAUGAUACUGUAUGUAUUUUUACAGCAUUGAUAGCGGGAUUAAUGUGGACCAUUAGUUUUAAGUAUUUUAAUCUCAAUCGUCCAUUUAAUAUAAUGGAUAAUUAAAUAAUUAAUGAAAAUGUAGCAGGUAAUUUACAAGUUGCUGGUAAAUAUUUGUUUUUUUAAUUUUAAAUUAAUAUUAAUUUGAGAAAAAGCCACACACACCCCAAGGUUUGUUCAAAUAGUCAUAUAGAUCCACUUAGUUUCAUAAAUGGUAAUAUAGACCCCUUAAUUUUCAUAAAUGACUAUUAUACGUUUUGAUUUAAACAACCUAAAUAAAUAUACAUAUAGUAAUAGGAUAAUAAUAAUAAUAAAUAUCAUAUGAUACAAAUAAAAUAUUAAAAUAAGAAUAAUUAAGAAAAUAACAUGUAUAAUGAAUUUUUUUUAAUAUUAAGUUAUUAUUAAUCUAUCCCGAUGGAUUUAUUAAAAUCUACUAAUCCAAAAAUUGACUUUAAGAUAGAUAUUAAUACAUAUAUAAUUAGAAAAGAUAUUGUAAAUAAAACACUAUAAAUUUUUAUAAAUUGUUGUGAGUGUUAGGUAUAACUAUUUCAAUAUUCUAUAUCAUACAUCAUACUUAAGAUGUUGAUUUUGUGGAAGUGUUAUGCUAUUAAACAUUAAGCUUUGCAUUUAUAAUGUGCUACAACUUUAAUGUAAAAUGUAAUAAAAAAUAUAAAGACAUUUUUUAGUAGUCAAUUGUAUUGUAAUAUGAUCAAAUUACGACAGAGUUAUCAUAUUUUCACUGUUGAAUAUGCAUAUGAUUCUUAUUGAAUACGAAUGUGCAUCAUUACGGCUAGCACAAUUUCAUCAUCAUCAUCAUCUUGCAUCCAUUUUAAAAAAAAUGGAAAUAUAGACCUAAAAUAAGCUAAUGGAGGAAGACCAACAGUCCUGAAAAGUUGUUCCAUAAAUUUAAGCCUACGGUCAUACUUAUUUCUAGACUGACACUCCAAGUAACUUAGGGCAUGUUCAGUAUCAUUUUUUAGCCCCUAUUUUCAUUUUCAUUUUAAUAGUAUAGGUGUAAUAUAUGUUUGGCGAGCCUAAACCUUAAAUCAAAUUAUAAAAUGUAUUAAACAUAAUCUAUUUGACAGUAAUAAAAGUUAAAACAUGUUAAACACAUUCUCUGUAAAUUACAAAACGAAUUAUAAAAUAAUAUACUACAUGUCCUCCAAAGCAUAGCAAAUAAAAUAUAUUUUACAAACACUACUAUAGAAAGACAUAUAAGACAUAUGUUAAGUUAGUAGAGGUGAUUUUUCUUGUAGUCAUUAAGACAUAUGAAUUGAUACCCACACACACACACACAUAUUGAGUACUUCUAUCUACCCCUAUUUAUUAAUAGAAGGGAAAUUAAAAUCGUAAUUACCCCGAUAUAUUAUGAAUUGAUAUGUCACAUAUAAAUAUAAGUGAAAAUUAAUUUUUAAAUUAAUGAAGUAAACCAUAUAUAGGUAUUUUAUUAAUCUAAGGUCAAAUGAAAUAUAUCACAUGACAUUUCAUGUAGUAGUCCAAUUUUUAACACUUGCAUAUAGUUUUGUAAGCUAAUAAGCCAAUGAAAUAUACCACAUGAGAAAUUGAAGGGCUAUUAUUUAUAUUUCACUAUUGGACAAAUAUGGAUCUUCCAAAUCUCUUCCAUGGCCAUAAAUUAGAAUAAAAAAUCACAUAGUAGAGACUACAUCCAUUUGCAUGCUCUCAAAAUAGAUUUUGAAAUUCGUUUUGCAUGCUUUCAAAAUAAAUUUUGAAAUUAGUUUGGUUACAUGAUAAUCAAAUUAUCUUAUAACAUUAAUGAUAUAAUUUAAACACUAUUUUAAUAAUUGUGAGUUUUACAUUAAAUCUUCAAAUUAAUUACAUAUUGUCACUCUUUCUUGUUUUGCUUGAAAUUUCUAUUUAAUAAAAUUACGAAAAUUUGAUAAUGAAUGGUUUAGGAUACAUAGGUAAGAUAAACUUUAAAAGUCUAAUGAAACAUUCCUAUGAAUGUGGGUUUCGUAUGCAUGUUCAUAUAUUUCAUUGAAAUCAUAUAUUUUAUUAAAUUUUGUGUUAUUAAACGAAAUUGUUAUUCAAGUAAAAAAUGUGAGAAUAUUUAAAAUUGUAGGGGUGGUCAUUGAAAUUUCUCAUACUUCUACCAACUCCACGAUCCAACAGUUGGCCCCUUUGUUAAUCGGUUAUGUUAUUUUAAAAAUAAUUAAAUUUUUUUAUUAAUAAAUAUAAUGUGCAUUAUUGAUUAAAUUUGAUGGUUAAUAUUGCUUACAUUAUUAAUGCUGUAAAAAAAUUACAGUAUCAUAGAGGGACCCUAAUUAUAAUGCAUAAUCUUACAUUUAUUUUUUUUUAAAAAUCUUUUGAUAGAUUUUAGUUAAAACUUAAAUAGUUAAAAUCCAGCUCAGCCCAAAUAAGACACUUAAUUGGGCCAAAAAGCUCAUCAUUACCGAGUACAUGGGCUAUCGCAUGCUCAUUCUUUCAAGUAUAUCAAUACACGCGCAAUGUUAUAGCCAUUUGGUAAUUAAUUUCAUUUGAUUUUUGCUGAGGGUCAUUAUAGUAAAAACACUGAUUUAGCAUAUUCAUUUAUGGAAAUUGCAAUUUAGACAUUUUGGUCAAUUAAAUAUUUUCAACCCAUUUUUCUUGUGACAGUUUCAGUCUCUGUUUCAGGUCUUGACGGAUCAAAGCAAGCAGGAGUACGGUUUUGGCUUUAAAACUUUGCGCAGUAUUGUGUUCUGUAUCUGGAGAGGGAUUUAUAAAUGGCAUUGAGGCAGUUUUUUGGUUUUUCUGAUGGUGAGCUGAUGAGGUCGGAUGCAAAGCCUUGUUCCAGACUAAUGAGGCAGACGGCUGGCAUUUUUACUGUUGGAGGAGCACUUGGGUUCUGGGUUCUUUGCAGACUCCAUUAUGGUAUAUUCUACUUUGCUUCUUAUAUUAGUAAUGCCAUCAUGGUAUAUUCUACUUUGCUUCUUAUAUUAGUAAUGCCAUCACUGAUCAUCUGCAUGCAGUUUGUAUGCCUGCUAUGAGAUUCACUCGUUCUUGAUGUUAUCUCUGCAUUGAAAAUAUAGUAAAGUGUAUGCCAAUGCAACAAGGAUUCGAUAUAUUAAAUAAGUGGCUGGGCAUUAUCUUACUGUUUUAAGCUUUUUGUUUUUCUAAAUAGAAUGUAUCAUGUGUGAAGAUGAGCAAUUGUUGUUUGUAUAAGUUGUAUAAGUGUCAGUUUGCUUUUGGAUGUGUUGUAAAUGUUGUUAAUCAUCAUUAAGAAGGCUUUCUGUGUAUAAGCAUGGGUAUUUUAGUUUUUGUAACUGUAAAUCUAACAAGAAAUGACUGACUUGCUUCCCUGAGUUUGUAUUAUGAUAAAAUGCAUCUGUUACUUUUCAUCUUUUUGCCUUUUUCCGGCAUUUUAUCCCUUGUGAUUAAAUUGAAACCAUAAAAUGACUCUCUUAUUUAAGGACAAAAGCUAUAAAAUGACUCUCUUUUCUCCUUUUCUGUGGUUUCAACAUUUGGAUAUAGUCAAUCUAAUAAAAACAGAAAAUAUUUAUGACUCUAUGCUUUUGCAGGUCCUAGAGUUACUGUUCCUAGAAGUCUUCGAUGGGCAGGCUGCGGUGCAGUUUCUGUGAGCUCAACCACCGCUCUGCUGGUUCGCCUAUUUAGUCCUGAAUGUGAGCCUCAGAAUAUAGCUGCUUAUGAUAGGGGAAAGUAGUGAUUAGCUGGCACAUGGACGUUGCACAUUGCUGUCCUAAAUGUUCUAUUAAUACUCUUUACUCGCUAUUUAGCAGUGUCCUUAUUAUCACUAGAUGUCCAGGACUGGGUUUGUGCAAUGCCAUUUUCUCCGCAAACAGAUAUACUCAUUUUUACAGAAAUGCUGACUGUGUACGAGAAUUAUUUUCCUUGGAUAUCCCUUGCUCGUAUAUUAUAUAUGGUUUUUAGGACACAAGAUUAAUAGCUUAACGUGAUCUUCACGUUCUUAGUUGGUAGUAUUUCAUUAUGUUUAGAAGUGCAGUAGUUCAUUAUGUUAAGAAGUAUAUUACUUAUUAUCUCUUUAGCUGUAACGUGUAUAUAAUGUAACACUCAAUAGCAAUACAAUAAGCAGUUCCAUGCAAGCUUAACAUGGUAUCAGAGCCCUCUCUCUCUCUCUAACAAGAGUAAAUCGAUCCUUCUCUUUUUUUUUUUUUUCUCUUUUCUCUCACCAUGGCCACCGAUCCCUCAGCCAUCUCCUCUACCUCACCAGCCAGCCAAAAUCCCCACUCAUCAAAUAACCAAGCUAAUGAUUGUGUUUCAAUCAACGCCGCUGCCCAAUUGCCUAUACGACUUACACCCAAAAAUUAUUUUACAUGGAGAGCGCAAUUCCUCUCUUUAGCUUUUGGCUACAAUCUGACAGGUUACAUUGAUGGCACAUCUGAGUGCCCUUCUCCGUAUCAAACUGGCAGUAGUAAUAGUCCGCCUACCAUCAACACAACCUAUACCUUAUGGAAACACCAAGAUCAGUUGAUCUUUCAUUCCAUCCUAGCCUCCUACACCGAAAGAGUUGCCCCACUCAUAGCUAGUUCCACAACAUCCAAGCAAGCGUGGGAUAAGCUUGCACGGCUAUACUCCAAUCGUAGCCGUAGUCGCGUUAUCUCUCUUAGAGAACGACUUGCACGACCUCGUCGUGAUGGACAACCUGUUGCCGAAUAUUUAAAUAACUUACAUUCUAUUUCUGAUGAAAUUACUUUGAUUGAUAUUCCUGUUACAGAUGAUGAUCUCGUGGUACAAAUUAUUAAUGGCGUAGGCAAAGAUUUCAAAGAAAUUAUUGCUGGUGUUCGGAUCUGUGAGACACCACUUUCUUUUGACGAGUUGUAUGAAAAGCUUGUAGAUUACGAAGAUAUGUUGAAGCGAGAGGAAAAAUCCAUAGACAUGGCUAUCACUGUCAAUGCCGCAGUCAAACAGCAGACAACAAACCAUGGACCUUAUCAGAACCAGAGAAGAGACAGCAAUCUGGGAUUUAAUAAUGGUCCUAACCGUGGGUAUCCAAAUCAAAAUAGCAACAACAGAAAUUACCAAUCUCAGAAUCACAACCCACAAGGCCAGUAUCGCAACAAUGGAGGAUAUCAAAAGAAGCAGCCCACCGGGUACCAGGGCUACUGUCAACUUUGCGGUACCAAGGGCCAUACAGCACGAGAUUGUCCAGAUUUUACCUCCCACAAAAACAGUCCGACUAUGAACCACACAGCAACCACAGGCACAUCCAACCCCAAUUGGUUAGUCGACAGCGCCGCCUCACAUCAUGUUACAGGAGAUCUCCGAAAUUUGAGCACUCAUAGUCCUUACCAUGGUUCUGAUUCCGUCAUUGUUGGUAAUGGCAUGGGUCUUGGUAUAUCUCACACUGGCUCAACUUCCUUAUGUACCUCUAACUCAAAAUUUUAUUUGCAAAAUAUUCUUUAUGUUCCGACUAUCAACAGAAAUUUAAUCUCCGUGUCUCAAUUUUGCAAUGUUAAUGAAGCCUCCAUUGAAUUCUUUCGUGAUCAUUUUCAGGUGAAGGAUUUGAGCACGGGGGCGGUCCUCUUGCAAGGCCGGAAUAAUCAGGGUGUAUAUGAGUGGCCGGCAACUUCUUCUUUCCCCGUACCAGCCUUGCCGACUUCAAAUGCUACAAUAAAAACUGAUGCCGCUCACUGGCAUCAGCGUCUAGGCCAUCCGUCUAGGGAUAUUUUGAAAUUUGUUCUUCGUACCUUGAAUUUGUCUUCGCACUUGGAUUUUGAGUCUUGUGAGUCUUGUUUAUGCAAUAAGAGCCAUCGGCUCCCUUUUGGCAAAUCUUCUUUAUGUAGUACUCGUCCCUUGGAUUUAAUAUAUUCUGAUGUUUGGGGUCCUGCCCUUGUUACUUCCUUUGAUAAUUAUAAGUACUACGUGUUUUUCGUUGAUCAUUUUACUAAGUAUGUCUGGUUUUUUUCCGUUACGGCUAAAAUCUGAUGUUUUCUCUACAUUUGUUCGUUUUAAAACACUUGUUGAAAAUUAUUUUCGUACUACUAUUCGUAAUAUUUACACCGAUGGUGGUGGUGAGUUCCUCAAACUCACCUCAUUUUUUCAACAGACGGGCAUUAAUCACAAGCUUACACCACCCUACACACCACAACAUAAUGGAGUCGCCGAACGUCGUCAUCGACAUAUUGUUGAGACGGGGUUGGCGUUACUUCAUCAAGCCUCGCUACCUCCUAGCUUUUGGACGUUUGCGUUUCAAACCGCCGCCUACUUAAUUAAUCGUCUACCAUCCAAAACUACAUCCAUGACCUGUCCUUUCCAGCUCUUAUUUGAUGCCCAUCCUAAUUAUGCUACUCUAUGUGUAUUUAGGUGUCUUUGUUUCCCGUGGUUACGCCCAUAUAUGCGCAACAAACUAGAGCCUAGGUCCAAGCCUUGUGUGUUUCUCGGUUAUUGCCUACAACAAAGUGCAUACAAAUGUUUAGAUGUUCAGUCUGGUAAGAUUUAUGUUUCCCAUGAUGUUCAAUUUAUUGAAUCUUAGUUUCCUUAUCAAUCUCUCACAUCUACUGCCUUUCCCUCUUCUGUUUCACUCACCUCCUGGUUUCCAUCCAUUUUUUCAGUCCCGGUUUUGUCGGCUCACUCCUCUUCUCCUAGUGGUUCCCGUCUUGCAACUUCGGAUUCGCUUCCUGCUAGCUCCGAUUCUUCACUGGCCUCUUCCACAUCUACUUCAGGUAUUAUUCAUAACCCUCAUACUUAUGACUCUUUACCUCCCCAUGUCCAUGCACCAGUACUAACUCCCUCAUCUCUCAUCUCCAAUCUUUCAUCACCAGCCCCAUCUACUUUCCCGUCGUCACCAACAGUCCCAUCACCGUCACCACCAACACCUCCACCUCCACUGCCGACCCGAACCCAUCCAAUGAUAACCCGGUCACGCAAUAACAUUUAUAAACCAAAACGGCUUGACCACACUACCCUCGCUCCUAUUAUUUCCACACAUUCGCUGCCCUCUACUGUUGAACCAACUAGUAUUAAGGCUGCCCUUGCCGAUCCGCAAUGGCUUCAGGCCAUGCGUAUUGAAUAUAAUGCUCUUAUUUCUAAUCAUACUUGGGAUCUUGUUCCUCCUGUACCUUCUCAAAAUUUGGUUGGUUGUAAGUGGGUGUUUCUUGUCAAACGCCACCCCGAUGGUUCUGUUGACAGGUAUAAAGCGCGGCUGGUUGCUAAGGGCUUUACUCAGCGUCCUGGUCUCGACUACCACGAUACCUUCAGCCCUGUUGUCAAGACUGCUACUGUUCGUGUUAUUCUUUGCUUAGCCUUGCAAUUUGGUUGGCCGAUUCGUCAGUUGGAUAUCAAUAACGCCUUCCUCAAUGGUUCUCUUGACGAGGAAGUUUACAUGAAGCAGCCGCCUGGUUUCAUUGACUCUAACCGACCUUCCUUUGUUUGUAGGUUACGCAAGUCUCUGUAUGGCCUUAAGCAGGCGCCUCGUGCAUGGUUUACUACUCUGCACAAAUUCUUGCUGUCCUAUGGAUUCCGCCAAAGCAAGACUGAUGCUUCUCUUUUUCUUUAUCACCGUGAUGGUCAUCGUAUUUAUUUUCUUGUCUAUGUGGAUGACUUAAUUAUUACUGGUUCUCGUGGCCGGGUCAUUCAGCACUUCAUUCAUCGUCUUGCUUCCACUUUUGCUCUCAAGGACCUUGGCUCUCUGCAUCAUUUUCUCGGGCUUGAGUUGCUUCGCACUCCGUCUGGUGUGUUUCUCUCUUAGCAUCACUAUGUUCGUUCUCUCUUGGACCGGUUUGGCAUGACUGAUGCUAAACCUAUUGCCACUCCUCUGUCUGCCACCAUUGGUCUUCAACAAACCGAUGGUUCUGUCUCUGUUGAUGGUACGUCUUAUCGUCAGCUUCUUGGUGCCUUGCAAUAUCUCACUCUCACUCGUCCUGAGAUCUGCUUUGCGGUCAACAAACUAUCUCAGUUCAUGCAAAGUCCCUCUCAGUUGCAUUGGCAGGCUGCCAAGCGCAUACUCCGUUACUUGAAAGCUACAAUUUUUCAUGGCCUUUUUCUUCGUCAGUCCUCAUCCUCUACACUUGCUGCUUAUAGUGAUUCUGACUGGGGGGGGGGCAAUCUUGAUGAUCGCAGCUCUACGAGUGCUUACGCUAUCUUCCUUGGUGGCAAUCUGUGGCACGUUCCUCUACUGAAGCCGAGUUUUGCGCCAUUGCUGCUACCGUUUCUGAGCUUUGUUGGCUUCGACACUUGUUCUCAGAACUUAGCAUUCGGACUCCUAUGCCCAAGCUGCUCUGUGACAAUCUUGGUGCCACUCAUGUUUGCACAAAUCCUAGAUAUCACUCUCGUAUGAAGCAUGUGGAAAUUGACUUUUAUUUUGUUCGUGAUAAGAUUACGCAAGGUUUACUGUCUGUUGCUCAUGUUCCUUCUGAGCAUCAGCUCGCUGAUAUCUUAACCAAGCCGCUUCCCCGGCUUCCCCUUGAGCAUGCACGGUCCAAGCUCAGUGUUCUCGACGGUACACCUCUCUUGCGGGGGCGUAAUAGCUUAACGUGAUCUUCAUGUUCUUAGUUGGUAGUAUUUCAUUAUGUUUAGAAGUGCAGUAGUUCAUUAUGUUAAGAAGUAUAUUACUUAUUAUCUCUUUAGCUGUAACGUGUAUAUAAUGUAACACUCAAUAGCAAUACAAUAAGCAGUUCCAUGCAAGCUUAACAAAGAUAUGACUAUAUUUAAAAAAAUAUUUUUUUGAUAUUUAAUUCACGCAUCUAAUAAAGCUUGAAUUUAGCACUUGAGUUUUAGGAAAUUAACUUUGUAUUGGUAAUUUCUAGUAUUUUUGUUAAAAAUUUUGAAAUAAUUACAAUAUUGCUUGACGACAAAUCCAAUAAUGCUUUUUAUCAUGUAAGCAUGGUUUGAACCUCAAAUCUUUGAUUCUAUCCCAAAAAUUAAUCGAAUCUGUUAAUUAGUCAAGAGUUAUUGAGCCUUUGGCUCGAUACUAAUUGCUCUCAACUUCAAGGUACGAGUUCAAGUUCCAGCCUCUGGGAGACUCAAAUUUUCCCUCCCAAUUAUAUAAUUGGAUAUCCUUUCAAUAUUGGUGGCAGCAGGUAUAUAUUUGGGCUAUGAUAUAAUUGAAUAGAUCUAGGGAAGUCCCAGAUGAUUUCUAGUGAGGACAUGUAUAUCUAGAUUAUGAUUGAAUUCUAUAUGUAUACGUAAAUAUUAGUAGACUUUGAUUGAUAUGAUUUCUAUACGUAUACGUAAAUAUUAGUAGACUUUUGGUUGAUAUUUUAAUCACUCAUCUAUAAAUUCCAACCUAUAUGUCUUUUUUUAUCAUCACAACAACCACAGCAUGGAUACUAUUGGAGCUGAUACUAAAAUAUCCAAUACCUACUUGCCUGAAAAGCCUGAACUUUCACCAACUUUGAUUUCAGACACUGAACUCCUAUCUGAAUUCUCACACCAUGUCCAAAACAUAGCUAGAAUCAAUAAUGGAAGCUUUGGUUGUUGCCCGAAGAGUGUUAUAUCAGCACAGCAGAAGUGGCAACUUGAGUUCCUCAAACAACCUGAUGACUUUUACUUCAAUCGGCUGAAAGAUGAGAUUUUGAAAUCCAGACUUGUGAUCAGAGACUUGGUCAAUGCUGACCAUGUUGAUGAAAUAUCAAUUGUUGAUAAUGCCACCACUGCUACAGCCAUUGUGUUGCAGAGUGUUGCUUGGGAAUUUUUGCAAGGGAAGUUUAACAAAGGUGAUGCUGUUGUCAUGCUUCAAUAUGCUUAUGGCGCUGUGAAAAAAUCUCUGGAAGCAUAUGUUACGCGUGCAGGUGGGUAUGUUAUUGAAGCUUGGUUUCUAUUUCCUGUUAAUUCUGAUGGUGAGAUUGUCAGUGAGUUUCGGAAAGCUUUAGAAAGAGGGAAAGCCAAUGGUAGGAAAGUCAGAUUGGCUAUGAUUGAUCAUGUGACGUCUAUUCCUAGUGUUCCGAUUCCGGUUAAAGAAUUGAUCAAGAUUUGUCGGGAAGAGGGUGUCGAUAAAGUAUUUGUUGAUGGUGCACAGGGGAUUGGGUGUGUUGAUGUUGACAUGAAAGAAAUUGGGGCUGAUUUUUACACUGGUACUUUGAACAAGUGGGUUUUUUGCCCGCCUGGGGCAGCGUUUUUGUAUUGUAGGAAAUCAAAUGAAAUUGAUGAUUUGCAUCACCCUGUGGUGUCUCAUGAGUAUGGAAAUGGGUUGGCUAUCGAGAGUGCUUGGAUUGGAACUAGGGAUUAUAGUGCCCAACUGGUGGUUCCUCAAGCUUUGGAGUUUGUUAACAGAUUUGAAGGGGGAAUUGAAGGAAUCAAGAAGAGGAAUCAUAAAGCUGUUGUUGAGAUGGGGGAGAUGUUGGCAAAAGCAUGGGGAACCCAUCUUGGGUCUCCUCCGGAGAUGUGUUCAAGCAUGAUCAUGGUUGGCUUGCCUGCUAUUUUGGGUAUUUCUAGUGAUUCCAUUGCUUUAAAGUUGAGAACCCACUUGAGGAAUAAUUUUUCUGUUGAAGUACCUAUCUAUUAUAGGGUACCGGGUGAUGGAGUGGUUAACCCAGUUACAGGAUACGCUCGAAUUUCUCAUCAUGUUUACAACAAGCCAGAUGAAUACUACAAGUUCAGAGAUGCAGUUAAUCAACUUGUUAAUGAUAAGUUCACUUGUGCACUUCUCGCAUGGUAAAGAGGUAUGUUUUAGAUUCACUGAUUGUAACAUUCUGUUAGCUAUUUUAGGUGGGAUCUAUUUUUAUAUGCCUGUUGGUUUUUGGUAAUUCAUUUCUCUUGGAUAACUGCAAUUAUGAGGCAGCAACCUAUGGUGAAUGUUAAACUAUGUAGAGUUAUUAUUUUUGAGGAUAUCGUGAUAAAGAACCUGCACAAGUUGUCAUAAAACCUGCACAAGUUGAGACAUUUUGAACUGCAAAUAGUAUCUUUUCAUUUGCCGGACAGAUUUACUCAUGGUCAAAUGCUAUGACUGUCCGAGCAAAGAUCAGGCCGUCAGAGACUUUUUGAGCAAUUAGCAAUAUUAUUGCUUUCAUUGAUUUGGAACCAAGAAUGAGGGUAAAUUAUUAUUGGCAAAAUUGUGAGCACUUUCUAUCGUUUUAGGUCAUUAUCAUUGUUCUGUGUUGACUCGUAUGUUCCAGGUCUUCUGUCAAGCAAUUUUUAGCAAGGUUCUUAGAAAUUCCUUAAACAAAGAAGAUAAUGAUUCUGUGAUCCAACUAUUUGCAGUACUUGUGAAACUAUUUUCUUAUUAUGUCAUAAGUUGUUUCUAACAUAUAGACUUGUCUGUUUCUCUGUAGUUGAAUGAUGUGCAGUAGCAAUCUUCCGCCAACUUACGAAUAAGGGCAAUUUGUCUCUCCCUGGAAGGCAUAAAUAUAUGUAUGUAUAAUACUAUAAUGUAAUGUAUCAGAGAAAUAAGAAGAGCAGAAAGAGUUUUCUUUUGCUUAUUUGCUGGGGCUCCAUGAGAGUUAUUCCUGUACAUGUUCAAAUAUCCAUUCUAGGAGGCAAACUAAUGGGAUCAUCUCACGGAACUCAGCAAGUGAUUAUUAUUAAGUGUAACUCUUGGGAUUAGGAUUCUCCUCUAAUCUUAAGCUUCUCUAAUCUUCUUUUAAUGAUUUGAUUUUGAUCCCUGUGUAAUUUUUAAAGAUUUUAUUUAUUUAUUUCUUAAUAAAUCUCAUUCAAGAUAGUUCUUGAUACAUUUUUACUUUUAGCUCAUAUGUUAUUUAACCAACGGUAAACAUAAAGCAUCUGUUCUCUAAAUUUAGUCAAUAUAAUCAGGCAUGAAGUGACCUUGCUUAUUGUCCAUUAGAGAAUUAAUUUGGGCGCUUAAUUUUUAUCAAUUGAAUCCGAUAAUACCCGUUCAUGCUAAAUUAAAUUCAUUAUAGUAAUUUUUUAAAAAAACUUAAUUUUAUUUUUUAUUUUUUAAGAUAAAGGGUGGGUAAAAUUUAAAUUUAUUUUUUAAUCCCUUCUUAAGACUCAAACUUAAAUGGCUAGUUAGAUAAAACUAUUUGAAGAAAGAGAAACAGCAUGUGAGAUCUUAAAACAAAUUGUUUGAAGAUAGAGAAAUAGCAUGUGAAUAGAGGUGGGCAUGGUUCGGUCCGGUUUGGUUCAGAUCGAAAUUAAGCGGUUAUUUUAUAAAAAGAACCAAAUAAGAACUGAAAUCAAUAAAAAUUUCGGAUCGGGCCUAUUUUGAAUUUCUAAAUUUUUAACCCAUUAGGUCUCAUGAAUAUAAUAAUUUUUUUCAACAAUUAAUUUAUCCUAAUUUCAUUACAAAUAUUAACAAUAAAUACAAAGUAUUCAAAACACAUUUUAUCACUAAUAUCUUACUAACUACUAAUAAGGUACUUAUAAAAUAUAAAAUAUUAAGAUUUCAAAAUACAUAAUCAAACUUCAAUACUCCAUCUACAUAAACAUAAUGUUGUAAAAACAAAUAAAAAUAACAAAAAUUAAAACUUACAACACAAAAUAAAAAGAAAAUUUGGAAACAAACACCAACAACAGUUUUUAAAUAUAUAUAUAUAUACCCGUAAUCGUGUGUGUGCAUGCCUAUUUUAGUUAUCUUACGCAACCAAUUUAAAUUUAAUAUGUGUCUAUUUAAAUAAAAUUUCAAGAAUAACCCGGUUUUUCGGUUCAGCUGAGUAAACCAAAUACCGAACCUGCAUUUCGUUUUUUUUCUACAAACCAUAUAUUUCGGUUAUUUUUUAAAAUUAAAACCGGUCCGAACGGAAUGGUUCGGAUCAGUUCAGUUCGGUUUUCUUUAAUGCACGGUUUUUUUGCCCAUCCCUACAUGUGAGAGUGAGACCCUAAAAAAAAUAAAUUCAAGUCAAACACUACAGAAGUGCUUUAGAGCAUAGACUCACCUGUACAAUGUGAUAAUGAUAUGGUCUAUUUUGUUUGCUUGAAGAUGAUGCCAAAUUGAGGCUGGUGAAAGUUGUGUGAAAAUCACCUUUAUCAGUAGGUGACAACUAAAGAAGGAAACUAGUUCCAUGUACAUUGUAGGUGACAACUAGGGAUGGACAAUCAAUUCAAUUACUAGCUAGAAUUUGAAGAAUGAUGGAUGAUAGCAACAAAAAUGACAAUUUGAGAUUGAGUGAUUGAAUCGACUUAUUUCAUUUUUCAAUAUAGGUAUUUUAUCAUUACAAACUAAAGAUGUAAAAUAGACCAGUCCGACGUGACACAAAUCUAGCAUAAAAAAAUUGACUUGCUAGCAUGACACGAGUGUUUAAAUGAAUCUACUCCAACCUCACAUUUUAAAUUUAUGUGUGAUUUGUUUGCUAUUAUUAUUGGAGAACUAUAGCUUAAAAAAGCCACGGACGUAAAAGAUGAGUGUUUCAACAAAACAUGAAUACUAAUGAGUCAAUGUUGUGCAGAGCCUGGAUCAACCCUUUAAAAAUUAAGCCCAACACGACGGUCUAUCAUCCAAGCUAUUCAAAACAUUUCUUCUACUGCAAAUUAUUAUUUAUUCAUGCAACUUCAAUUCCUCUAAUGCUUAGAGAAAGAACAGUCGAAAAUAACUAGCUAAUUAAUUAAAGCAGUAAGGCUCUUAAUUAAUAUAUUGAAUGUUGCUUCGCCGAUGUUUGAACUUUUCUCCCCUUUUAACACACUAUUGAAAAUAACUAACUGAACAUAAAUAAAAGAAAUCACAAUUUCAUUAUUUUUUACUUGAACAAAAUUUCUAUGAUUAUGUACAAUUUCAAUAUUUACAGCGUGUUGGCGCCUUUUGCAUUAGGAUAUAAUUAAGGUGUGUAGCUUUUUUAGCACACUUUUUUUUAAUUGGUUCAAGAAUAGUCUCCAUUUGUUUUUCUUUCGUUUUGAUUGUAGCAGUAUAGAAGAAAGACGCACCAUAAAGUAUAAUAACCAAAAAAAAAAGGAAAAAAAAAGAAAAAAAAAACAAUUAGAUUAGAGGUACCCAAAACACUAAAAACUCACCAAAAUUAUGUGUAAGUCACACAAAAGACCUGUUGCGCCAUUCACCAAAUUUUUUAACCUUUUUGAGUUGGUAAUUAAGCAAAUACUGGAAACAGAACGAAAACGAAGAAUCAAUAUGACAUGAACGGCCUAACUCGUCUGUCGGAUUUGAGAUAGAUCGCGUCGAAACUCAACGUAGUACUUAUCUCAUGCUCAUAUCUAAAAGCUUAUAUCAUAAAUUUAACCCAGGACUAUACAUAAAAUUGGUUUCGGUCUCUACCAUAAAUAUAAAAUAGCAUCUAUACCUCAUUCGAAAACAUAUUCAAAAUUUUCACAGUUCGAAUUUCAUUGUACAUACAUACACUUUAAAUCUAUACAUAUAAACAUAAACGUGCCCAAAAUGUAAGUUAUGUAGCAAUGUGUGUUACGUCCCAACCUUAACUAAUUGGAAACUAAACUGCACGAAAUCUUAUGGAAACCUAGGAGAAAUGGGUAAAUAAGAAAAUAAUGAGCUAGAGUUCAAUGAGUGGAUAUAAUUGAUAAGUGCAUAUUUUCUCUAUAUUUUACAAUUAAUUUCUCCAACUUUUUCUUGUUUUGGUGUUAAAUACUCUAAUUAUUUUAGUUUAUUUUAUUAUGUUAAUUUUUGUCUUACUUUUUAUAAUAUUUUAUUAUUGUAGAUUUUAUCCUUAAUUUAAUAUUUGCUAGUUAAUUAUAUUAUUUUAUUUGAUAGGGAAUUAAUUGGAGAUUAUGGAUAAAAAUGGCAUGAAGAAUUUCAAUUUGGGAAACAAUCAAGAUUAAAUUGGAAAUCAAUUGAAAGACAAGGGAAAAUAAACUCAAGAAGCCGUGGCCAACAAGAAUUUGAAGAGCAAAAGUUGCAAGUCAAUUUCGUCAAGCUUCGAAUGGACAUGCAUUAUUGGAAAAUAAACUAUUUACUUUGGCAAUUGCAUGUGCAUGGCAAUAAAAAAAGGGAAUGAAAAUCCUAAAUGUGAUUCUAAGUGCUUGCACGUACAUGGAUUCACUUGACCAAUUUAAAAAGAUUGUAUGUAUGUCUUGCCAAAGUUAGGAUGCACGUGCAUGGCAUUAAAUUAUGGAAAGCAAAGUGAAAAAAAAAAAGGAAACGGCGAUAUUUAAGCAUGCACAUGAAUUGCCAAAGAAAAGGUCGGUGGCGUAUGCAGAAUAAAAAGCCAACGUUUGGCUUUCGAAAAAAGGACAAUCGGCAGCCAAGAGGAAUUGAAGAGAAAGCAGCGGCAAGAAGAACGAAAAAAAAAUAGAGGAGGUGGCCUCUUGAAUUAAUCUCUAUGUCUCUUUUUAUUAAUUUUUUUUAUUUCUAAUUUAAUUAUGUUAGGCUAGAUUUUUUAUUUGGUUAAGGGUGAAUUCAGAACCCCAAACAUGUCAUAUGAUUAAUGUUCAAUUUCUAUCAUUCAAUUUAUUUAAUUGAGAUUGUUUAUGUUCUUCCAUAAUUAAUGUUUAUGAUUUUAUUCUUAUCUUAUUUGAGUGGCCAAUUAGAUAGGAUUUGAAUAAAUUCUAUUGCUAGAUUAAAAUUCUUGAUCCGUAAUUGUCUUGAUGUUUUAAUCAUUAGUAGCAUGUUAGAAUCAAUUAUUUCAAUUGGAGAACAUAACCUAGGUUAAAUAAUCCGAUCUUGUAUGUUUAUUACCUAGAUCAAUCUAAUAUCUUUCUCUACUUAAUACUUCUAUUAUCUUAAAUUUAAAGAACUUGUUUUAAAUUAUUUAAUGGUUAGAGAUUAGGUGAAGAGCUUGUUUUGCCUAACGAUACUCUAAGAAAAGAUUGAGACUAACUGAGCUUAUUGUUGUCUACGGUUGAUAGUUUCAAUAGAAAUUGAUGAUAUAAUUGAUAUAUUAUGUGCAUGUUUGGUGGUGACGAAUGAUUUUUUAACCACGGUUUUCAUCAUUAUUAUUUCUUUCUCCUUUAAUUGGAGUUUUUAUUAAAUUAUUGUUUUUGUAAUUUUAAUUUCUUUAUUUCUUGCUAUUUAUUUAAAAAUUCAUAAAACACCCCUUUUUAUUUAUAAUUGGAAUUUUCUUUAGUUAAAUUAAUUUAUAUUAUUAUUACUACUAUUAUUUUAUUUUAAAUCCUGCUUUAGAGUUGAUAAUAAAUACAACUAGUAUAGUCUUUGUGGAAUCGAUCCUUACUCGCUCUAUACUAGUUAUUAAUAUUAGUAGUAAGGUUUUAAAUUUUGUGCACCUUAACGACACUACCAAAUUUUUGGCGCCGUUGCCAAGGAUUAGCAUCUAGUUUCUUUAUUAUCACUCAUUUUAUUUUAUUAUUUUUACUUUUUUUUUCAUUUUAUUUGUUUAUUUUAAUUAGUUAUUUUCUGUUCUAUAUUUAGAUUUUUAUGGGUAUAGAGGACAUUCGAUUGAAACUCGAUCAUCUCAGAGCAACCUCAUCACAUUCAGAACUCGAUUUUUCCAUCCACAUUUCAUUCCUGAAGACAGAGCCAGGCAGCCUAGAACCUGAACCAAUAGCUCAGAACAACAAUCUAACACUUAAAGAGUUGGUAGCUCCUAACUUGGACCAGCAACCAUUAUGCAUUGAGAAUCCAAAUCCUCAGGUUAACUUUGAACUCAAGUCUAGGAUGAUUCAUCUUCUUCCUACUUUUCAUGAUUUUGAAGGAGAGGACCCAAAUAAGCACUUGAAGGAGUUCCAUGUGGUAUGUUCCACAAUGAAACCAGCUGGAGCUUCUGAAGAGCAAGUUAAGCUAAUGGCCUUCCCAUUUUCUUUGGCGGAUUCAACCAAGGAAUGGCUGUACUAUCUUCCCUCUGGUACUGUCACCACAUGGAAUGAGAUGCGUCAGGUAUAUUUGGAGAAAUACUUCUCAGCAUCAAAAGCUGGCAGCAUUUGAAAAGAAAUUUGUGGAAUCCGACAAUAUAAUGGAGAGUCACUCUACGACUACUGAGAACAAUUCAAAAAGCUAUGUGCUACCUGCCCCCACCAUCAGAUAAGUGAUUAACUCCUUAUUCAAUACUUUUAUGAGGGUUUACUUCCUAUGGAUAUGAGUAUGAUUGAUGUCGUUAGUGGAGGAACACUUGUGGAUAAGACACCAGAAGCAGCCCGAAAUAUCAUUGCUAACAUGACUGCUAAUUCCCAACAGUUCAACACUAGGAACGAUCUAUUGCCGCCACCUAAGUGAGUCAAUGGGGUAAGUACUACUUCCCUAGAACAACAAGUUUCAAAUCUUACUUCUUUGGUACAACAGUUAGCCUUAGGGCAACGGGUGAGACCGUGUGGCGUAUGUUCCAUGGUCGGGCAUGUGACUGAUAUGUGCCUUGUUCUCUAAAAGGGUCCCAUGAGCAGGCCAACAACGCAGUUGAGGGGUUCCUAAGCCAACCAAGACAAAUGUAUGAUCCAUACUCUAAUUUUUACAUUGAAGGGUGGAAUGAUCACCCUAAUAUUAUGUAUGGGAACCAACAACAAGGCAUUCCUAAUGUGGCACCAUCUCGACCACUGAGCUACCCUCAACAGCGGGUGCAACAGCCUUACCAAGUCUGGCCACCUUCACCUCCUCAAAGUCAAGGUACAUCUUUCGAAGAUCUUGUAAAAGCUCUCGCUACUAACCCUAUGCAGUUCCAAUAGACUACCUAGACACAACUCCAACACUUAGAGAAUCAAAUUGGCCAACUGGCCACAUCUAUGAGUAGGAUAGAGGCUAGAGUUUCAGGAAAAUUACCUUCUUAACUAGAAAUUAAUCCGAAGGAGAAUGCUAGUGCUAUGUCUCUUAGGUGUAGAAAGCAGUUGGAACCAUUAUUAGCCAAGCCAUCAAAGAUGUCUACAACAUCAUCGCACUUUGUGACCAAUCCCUCUCUUGAGACUAUUCCUUUAAUAAGGAAAGACGAUUCCUAUUCUACAUUGCCAGUUGACCCAUCUGGCCAGGUAAAUACCACCCACCUCGAAUUAAGACCCUUUCUAUUCCUCCACCAUUUCCUAGCUGGUUUAAAUAAUCCAAAAAAGAUGAACAAAAAAAGGAGAUCGUUGAGACCUUUCAUAAAGUAGAGGUAAAUAUUCAUCUACUUGCUGCUAUUAAAUAGGUGCCGUGUUAUGUAAAAUUUUUGAAGGAAUUAUGCAGCAACAAAUGAAAGAUGAACGACAAUGAAAAUGUAAGUGUAGGAGAAAAUGUAUUUGCUGUACUUCAAAGAAAACUUUCUCCUAAGUGCAAGGAUCUAGGUACUUUUACUAUCCCCUGCACUAUUGGCAAUACCAGAUUUGAAAGAUGUAUGCUAUAUUUAAGGGCCUCAAUUAAUGUUAUGCCAUAUUCGAUUUAUAACUCCUUGAAUUUAGGUCCAAUGGAAGAAACUGCUAUAAUUAUUCAAUUGGCUGAUAGAUCUAAUGCUUACCCAAAGGGGGUUGUGGAAGAUGUUCUUGUGCAGGUCAAUGAAUUGGUCUUUCCAGUUUUUUUUUAUAUCCUUGAAAUAGAGGAUGAGUCAUUGCCCAAUCCUACUCCUAUUCUGUUGGGGCGACCAUUCCUUAAGACAGCCCGAAGCAAGAUUUAUGUUCAUGAUCGAACCCUCACAAUGGAAUUCGAUGGUGAAAUGAUCUGUUUCAAUAUCUUUGAGGCAAUAAUGUAUCCUAGUAAUGUACAUUCUGUCUUUGCCAUAGAUGAUAUUAAUACUUUGGUGCAUGAUUUCUUUGAGUUAUCCGGUAAUGAUAGUUUUGAAACUGCCAUAAUAAAAAAUCUUACGAAAGAUGAUUCUAAGGAACAAAUAAAUUUGAUAAAGUUGGAUGAUGAGGUAGAGAAAGCUAUGAGGAUCUUAGAUGGAGCAACCCCAUUACGUACCAGUGGGUAUAAUGUUUCUUACCUUGAAUUGCCUUUUUCCAAUGAGAAACUUUUACCUUUAGUUAUGCGGGCACCUACCUUAGAACUUAAGCCACUCCUAGAGCACCUGUAAUAUAUUUACUUGGGUGAGAAUGAAACACUUCUUGUCAUAAUUGCUAAAACCCUCACUUCAAUUCAAUAAGAAAAGCUAAUUAGGGUGCUUCGGGAUCACAAGACGGUGAUUGGUUGGACCAUUGCCGACAUUAAAGGAAUUAGUCCUUACAUGUGUAUGCAUCAUAUUUUACAACACCGCCUUAAUCCACUAAUGAUGAAAAUCAUAAAAAAGGAGAUAUUGAAACUCUUUAAUGUGGGGAUUAUAUAUACCAUUUCUGAUAGUAAAUGGGUGAGUCCUGUGCAGGUAGUUCCAAAAAAAUCGAGCAUCAUAGUGGUCAAGAAUGAAGAAAACGAGCUUGUGCCAACUAAAGUCCAAAUUGGGAGGAGGGUUUGCAUUGACUACCGUAAACUGAAUGUGAUUAGUAUUAAAAAUUGUUUAAUUAUCAAGCGAUAAUAAUGUUAUUUUGUGCUUAUGUUAUAAUUUAUAUUUAUGUUUAUGCAAUAUAUUAGAAAUUAUUAAUUAUGUAUUAAAUAUAUCUAAUUUUGUGUGUUUAUUAGGUAAAAUAUUAAUUUCACGUAAUUCGAGGCUCCAAAUAGAUAAACGAAUGUCAAAUUUGGAUUUUGGAGUUCCGAAAACCUUCAGAUGAGUCAAGAUCAGCUUAUAAUUGGACUUGUGUAAAUAGAGUUGACUUUUUUCUGUUGACCGAGUAUUGAUUGAAUGAUAAAAUAAGCUUACAAUAGAUGAGUGCAUGGGAUAGCUAGCAAUUUUGACUAAAUCUCAACCGUUCAUGAUUCAAUGGCCAUGAUUAUGCCACGUGGUAAUGAUUGGUGAAGCAAGUUGUAGGAUCCGAAUCUUUGUAUUCGGGUCAACCCAAUCCAUCUAAACCUGCCAAAUCUCAAUUGUUCUUUGGCCAAAUCAGACGAGUCAAAUGAUGCCACGUGUAAUGUUGACUUUUGAAGUUUGAUCAGCCGUUGGAUCUUGAUCUAAUGGUUGUGAGGAGCGCAUGCAUGAAGCUUAUGAUGGACCGCAAAACACUAAAUUAUGAAUUUAUUUUUCUAUAAAUAAAACAUCAUUUUUAUGUUUUUAAUCAUCUCUCUACGUCUCUUUUCUUCUCAAAGUCUCUCAAUCUCUCUGUAAUCUUAUUUUCCAGGUGUGUUUUUAAUAUUUUGUAUAAUUAUUUUUAUAAAUAAAUUUAGUUUUAUUUUCAAUUUUAGUUGUUCUUAUUACUUUUAAUUAUAAGUAAUUUAAUUUUAAUAAUUCUUUUUAUUUCAAUUAUACUUAACUAAAUAAUAAUAGUUAGGGUAAGGUGAAACUCUUAGGAAUUUGCCUGUAAUGACUAAUUUUCGGGCUUUAUCUAUAAAAACUCAACUCCAACUUCAAUUUUAAGAUUCUAGCAAGCAUAAACAAGUUUGAAACAACAUAUUUUGAGCUUCCAAUUCGCAAAUUAUCAUAGAUUAAAUCUUCAUUGUGCUAUCAUUUGUAUAUUCACUCUAAAAGAGAGUUGUUUCUUGUAAUUUUCAUUUCUUUAUCAAAUUUGUGAGCGUUUGAGUGUGAGAAACACUUGAGUUAAGAGAUUGAGGGAUAAUCUCUUGUUGUAAAGGUUCAUUGACACCUUAGAAGUAAGGAUGGCAAAAUUAGGGUCCGGGUUCGGGUUUGGCCUUCCCGGUUCCGGACCUAGAUACUAAAAUUCUAUACCAGAUCUAGAUUUAAACCCGAUUUUUGUGACACUGGGUCUGGUACGAGUUAAACCCGGAAUAAUCCGGGUUUCCGGAUUGUGAAUUUUCAACCCGGAUCACAUACAAAUAAAAAAAUAAAAAAAUCAAAUACACUUUACAAAUUUGCAAAACCAUAUUCGACACAAAUCAAAUACAAAGCAAUAAACCAUUAUGAUUUUAAAUAUCAAAACAAUAAACCAUUUACAAAUACAAAUCCAUGACAUGACAUUCACAAAAUACAAAUUCAUGUCUACAACUCAAAAUCGUGAUUCACGAAUUUGGUUCACAAACUUCAACAAUCGGUGUUCGGCGAAGUAACGAACAACGGUGGCUGAUGAUAUGAUGAUGAUGAACACAUCACAGCCGCAAGCAUGAUUCGCAAAAGGCGAAUCAACGGCGGCUAAAACUAAGAUCGCGAUGGACAAACAACGGCCAAACAGAGGUUGGUGAUGAUAAUGAAGGUGAACACAGUGAAGCAAAGUGAUGAGGAGUGACGACGAUGAGUUGAUGAAGAGAAGAACUGAAGAGGGACGAACAUGGUGAUUUGAUGAAGAGAAAAGAAAGAGGUGAAGAAAGGCGGCUGUGAAAGGGUGAAAUGGAUUUAAGGCAUCAACAUUCUUUCCCCUUUUUUAUAUUAAAAUAUAAUUUAAAGAUUAUGCUAAAAUAAAGAUAUCCGGGUUCGGGUUCCGCAUAUGCGGGUUUAUGCGAACCCGGAAAUGUCUGGGUCGGUAAAAUCGUAUCUGGAUACUGGAUUAUUUCAAUCCGGUAUGGGUUAAACCUAGCCCGAAUUAUUUGGGUUAGACUGGGUCUUGGCCGGGUCCGGGUUAAAUUGCUAUCCCUACUUGGAAGUCAAUUGUAAACAUUUGAAACCUUGAGAGGCUUGGUUAGUGAAGUUCUCAAGCUUGGUUUGGUUGAAGGCGUGGACGUAUGCGAGGAUUGCCGAACCACGUAAAAAUCUUUGUGCUUCCUCUCUCUUCCCUUACUCUUUUAUUUUUUAGUAUUAUUAAAUUUAUUAUUUUUGAUUUUAGUAUUGUUAAAUUUAUUAUUUUUUAUUUCAUUAAGGCAUUAUAUUAAAUUGUUGUGCGAUUUAUUUAGCUUAAGUUUUAAAAACCCAAUUCACCCCCCUCUUGGGUUGUAUAACUAGUAUUUCAUUUGGCAUCAGAGCUUGGUUCUCUUAUUCGGACUUAACCGUCUAGAGUAAAAGAUACAUGACAACGCAAAAUGACUUAACCUUUAGGGAAGGACAGUCUACAACUAGACCACCGUUCUUUGACGGUAAUGACUACCCAUAUUGGAAAACUAGGAUGAGAAUUUAUUUACAAGCUUUAGAUUAUGAAAUUUGGGAAGUUGUUUGUGAUGGUCCAUUUAUGCCUAUGACUAAAAAUGAAAUAGGAGAUGAUAUUCCAAAACCUUCAAGUCAAUGGAGUGAGUUAGAAAAGAAAAAAAUAUCUUUAAACUCCAAGGCAAUGAAUGCUUUGUUUUGUGUUCUAAAUAAAAAAGAGUUUCAUAGGGUGUCAAGUUGUGAGAGUGCUAAAGAAAUAUCAACUGAAGGAAUUUAUGUCGAUUCUCAAAAGAUCGAAGCAGUUGGAAAUUGAGAACGACCUACAAAUGUCACAGAGGUUUGGAGUUUCCUUGGAUUGGCUAGUUAUUAUCGCAGAUUUAUGGAGGGAUUCUCCAAGAAUGCUAUUCUUUUGACACGAUUAACCAAAAAGAAUGUUAAGUUCCAAUGGGAUGAUCACUGUGAAAAGAGUUUUCAAGAACUUAAGACAUGUCUUACUUCAACACCAGUUCUUACACUUCCUUCUAGUAAUGAAGGGUUUGUAGUAUACAAUGAUGCCUCUAGGCAAGGAUUGGGUUGUGUGCUAAUUAAACAUGGGAAAGUAGUGGCUUACGCUUCUAGACAACUUAAAAAGCAUGGUCAAAACUACCCAACACAUGAUUUAGAGCUAGCAGCAGUGGUGUUUGCACUUGAGACAUAGAGGCAUUAUUUAUACGGGGUAACGUGUCAGAUUUUCACUGAUCAUAAGAGCCUGAAGUAUUUAUUUACUCAGAAAGAGUUAAAUUUGAGACAAAGGAGAUGGAUCGAGCUGAUUAAGGACUACGAUUGCACUAUUGAUUAUGAUUCGGGCAAAGCGAAUGUGGUAGUUGAUGCGCUAAGUAGGAAGUCCUCCAACUCUAUAGCUCAAUUGUGAGUUGCAUAUAUGCUUUUGUUGAUCGAGCUGAGAUCUUUGGGAGUUGAGUUGGAAGCUAAUAAUUGCAGAGCUCUAAUAGCUAAUUUUCGAGUUAGGCCGACUUUGAUUGACAAAGUCCAUCAGAUGCAAGAUUAGGAUCCGCAGCUAAUAAAGUUAAGAAAAGAUGUGCAAAAAGACUUGCGAACCGAUUUUACAGUGAGAGAUGAUGGAGUUUUAGUGAUGGGUAAUCGACUUUGUGUACCCGAUAUUGAGGAGUUGAAAAAGGAGAUCAUGGAAGAAGCUCAUUGUUCAGCUUAUGCAAUGCAUCAUGGUAGUACGAAGAUGUAUCGUACCUUGAAGAAUCAUUACUAGUGGCAAGGUAUGAAGAAAGAGAUAGCAGAAUAUAUAUCUCAGUGUUUAGUUUGUCAGCAGAUUAAGGCUGAACAUUAGAGACUUGCAGGGUUUUCGCAGCUGCUUCCUAUCCUUGAGUGGAAGUGGGAGCACAUCACCAUGGACUUUGUAGCAGGACUUCCACGUACCCAGAGUGUGGUCAUGAUAGUGUUUGAGUGGUUGUUGAUCGACUGACAAAAUCUGCUCACUUUUUACUAUUCAAGACUGUUGUGCAAAUUUUAUUGAACUUGCAAGUGCACGAAUCUAUUGUAGAAUAGACUAAUGGUGACGAGUGUCGAUCCCACGAGGAGGUAGAUUUUAAUUGUGUGUAGAAUUAAUUUUGUAAAUGGGUGGUUGAAUUUCUGGUGAAAUUGAUUUGGAAUAUUCUAAAACUUAAAUUAAAAUGGCUAGAAUAAAUUGAAGAUAGAUCUAUUAAAAUGAAGCACUUGGGUAUCCGGAUCCGUAUCAACAUGCACCAUGAGCUAAAUAUUCCUUAUUAAUGCCAAUUAAAUCAUGAGGGGGGAAUCCACACCUCAUGAACCACUCUAUAAUCAAUAUGGUGCUAAGGGCUUAUCGUGCCAAAUAAUAAUAACCUUGUACUAGGGGGCCGGUGAAACCAAGGAGGUACUAGACAAGAUUAGUAUUAUUUGUCGACGAGAAGUCAAAACAUCCACAAAAAUUAGAGGGGAAGAGAAAGUAAAUUUACCAAAUAAAGCCCAUGACACAUGUUGAGACUUCAUCUUCAACCCAAGCUUGAAAGAAAAUUAGCUAUUCAUAAUUGAACUAGGGGCAAAAUGGGAAUUUAUUAAAAUACACAGAAAAUACAAGAUGGAGAAGGAAUUACAGAAAAUGGAGUCCAAAAAUGGAUUCAGAGAUAUCAAAUUAGGCGGGGAAGGCCCCAUUUUUAUAGAUACAUUGAGUAAAUCAUGGCCAUCAGAUUAAAAACAGUUUGGACGCUCAAGAUUGCGCCACGUCAUCAGUCAACAGUACGCGGUUUGACCACGUGGGUGAACAGUAACAUGAUUUGACCCGGCUUUGAACAGUAAUGCGGUUUGGUUGAAAAUAAUCCUGUGUAAUGCAUGUACCGUACACGCAAGUUUUGGUUCACUAAUAUGCUGCCAUGUCACCAUCAACAGUUCAUAAGAAUUUUAGACCAAUAGGAUCAUGGCACCUCAUCAGUCAAUGCCACAUCAUCGGUCAAUGCCACGUCAUCGAUCUGUCUAUGUGAACAAUGUCAUGAACAGUAGCGUAGACAGUACCGUACAUGUGAAUAGUACCGUACAUGUGAACAGUGCCAUUUUUCCUUUUAUGCUCCUUCUAAGGUUUUCGACCGUCUUAAGUUCAAAAGUGAUGUCUGUUUUGCCGUUUGAUCUCUCGUUUAUUGUGAAAUGACUAUGAUACCCCUAAAAUACACAAAAUACUUAAUUAAAAUAAAACACACAUAAUUAAAUUAAAAGAACCUUAAAUACACAAAAGUAAGGGUGUUAGUAAAACUUGAAGUGUAAAAUGACGAUUUUCUCCUUUAUAAAUAUACAUUUUCUAACACUCAACAAAGACCACUUAUUCAAUGGACAAGUUGGGAAGUAUUUAUGUGGCUGAGAUAGUUCGACUUCACGGAGUGCUCGUGUUAAUUGUCUUAGAUAGAGAUUCCCGAUUUACUUCUAAAUUCUAGACCAACUUGCAAAAGAUAUUAGGCACCAAGUUAAAUUUUAGUACAACUUUUCAUCCAUAGACUGAUGGUUAGUCAGACCGUACUAUUCAAACCCUGGAGGAUAUGUUGCAAGCUUGUGUUUUGGAGUUUAAGGGUAGUUGGGACAUUUAUUUACCCUUGAUGGAGUUUGCUUAGAAUAACAGUUAUCAAGCUGACAUCGAGAUAGCACUUUAUGAGGCUUUGUAUGGCAGGAAAUGUAGAACUCCAGUAUGUUGGGAUGAAGUUGGCGAGCGGAGAUUAUUUGGUCCCGAAUUAGUUCAGAAUACUAAUGAGAAUAUACAACUUAUUCGAGAUAUAUUAAAGGUAGCCCAAAAAAAACAAAAGAGCUAUGCAAAUAUGCGUAGGAGGGAACUUGAAUUCAAAGUGGGUGAUAAGGUUUUCAUACGGAUAUCUCAUUGGAAAGAGGUACUUCGAUUUGGGAAGCACGAAAAGCUAAGCCCACGUUACAUUGGAGCAUAUGAGAUCGUGGAGCAUAUUGGUCCGUUGGCGUACCGAUUAGCUCUACCACCUGAGUUAUCCAGAAUCCACGAUGUGUUUCAUGUCUCGAUGCUCUGAAAGUACAUGUAUGAUCCCAGUCAUGUGUUAUCAUGACAACCAAUAGAGUUGAAGGAAGACUUGACUUAUGAAGAGGAGCCAGUGGAAAUACUGGAACAGAAGCACCAAGUUUCGCGUUCUAAAACCAUUCCGUUAGUAAAAGUGUUAUGGAUGAAUCACACAAGGGAAGAGGCUACUUGGGAACGCGAAGACUUAAUGCGAGCCCAAUACCCUCACCUAUUCUCAUCAGAUGUGUAAAUUUCGAGGAUGAAAUUUUUAUAAGGGGGAGGAUUGUAACAUAUGCACUUUAAUUUUCCGAAUUAAGUGUAUUAUUUCCUUUUUCCCCAUCGACAUUAAUUUUAAAUUUAUCGGACUUGUUCUGAAUUAUUAUGGUGAAGUUGAUACAACACGAUUAUCCGACAUUAUGAGUGGUGAUUGUUAAAUGUUAUGCGUUUAUUAAAUAAAUCGUGUUUGGAUUAUUUUAAAUUUGUCAUGACAUAAAAUUGAAACAAUUCGAACAUGAUUCAAUGGCUAUGUAGUCGGAUUUUUAUUUCAACAUGGGUUCGGCGUUAGCAUAAUUGGUAGUAAGCUAAAAAAAAAAUGGAAGCUAGUUUCUAUAAAUAGAAAGAGGGGAGUUGGUUUCCAAAAAGGGAAAGAGAAGGGGCGAGAGAGAAGGAGAAAUUGACAUGUUUGACCCGACCCCACCCUCCAAACCGACCCGCCCUAACUCUCAUUUUCGGCCACCGUUCCGGUCAAGCUUAGAACUGAUAUGAAGUUGGAGCGACGCCGGUCAUAUCCCUGCUGUCAACGUCGCCGAAAAACAGCCAGAACGCCGGCGAUGGAAGCUCGAAAGACCGCGACUCGACCUGUUUUUGUUGCCGUCGAUUUCGCCGGAUUUAGGCAGCGUUACCACUUAGAUCUGGAUUCUCAGCUCACCCUCAUCGUUUUCCAACCAACCCCGCCAUCUGAAACUACCAUUUCGGCCAUGAACAACCGCCGGAAAGCUCGCGACUUGGGAAGCUCGAUCUGCCGCCGUUGCCGUGCGUGGGUGGUCACCACUGGCACCAUUGCACUCAUCGAGGUCAGAACUAUCAAACAUGAGCUUUCUGUCGCCGUUGACUGAAUUUCGGUCACCGUUGACCGGCAAUGGCAAUUCAAUAAUUUCGCAAACUUUGGGGAUUAUUUCGUAAUUUCUGAACUUGGUGGAUAAUUUGGUAAUUCCAGAUUAGGGUAGUGAGGCAACUUAAGAUUUAGGGGUAAUUUGGUAAUUUAUGUUCUUGAGGGCAUUUUGGUAAUUUUGCAUUCUAAGGGUAAUUUCGUAAAUCCAAAAUUUGUGGUUAAUUUUGUGAUCUGAAUUGAGAGCAAUUAGGUAAUUUAGGAUUUUGAGGAUAAUUUGAUAAAUUAUGGUUCUGACGGCAAUUCAGUAAAUUUCCAUGUCAAGGUCAUUUUGGUAAUUUUUGGAUAUAAGGGUAAUUUUGAAAGUUUAUGUAUCCCGAAGUUUUGUUUCGAGCUUUAUUUUGUAUUGUUAGUCGUAUUUCAUGUUACAAAUAAUAACUAUGUCGUUUACUUGAUUAGGAGGACCCGCGAACGAGAAUCAACCCACGGACAUUGUUGAUACCGAGUCUGGACAUCGUCACUGUGAGUGGAAUAUACAAAACCUACUUUCAUAGUAUAUUCUGAUUAUACGAUAAAGUAUAGCAUGUUUUAAUAAUAAGUAUUUGAUGCAUCGAUUUAAUGAUUUUCUAGAAAAUGGACUUUUAUUUACGUGUCGAUAUUUAUUAUUAUCAAGAAUGAGUUUGAUUAAUGAUUUUAUUAUCGUUUUUGAGUAAAUGCAUGGUAAUAAUUUUAAAGAGAAUAAAGUGGAUUUGAAGUAUGUUACGUGGAAAUAAAAUGAGAUUUUAGAUGUUUAUGAAUAUGUAUAUAAAAGGUUAUUUGCAAAAUCAUUGGACAAUACCCUUCCCCUCCAGAUACAGUGAUACAUGUGAUAUGAGAUGAGAAGCCUUUGGGGCUCGUCUGAACACACAUAGAGGCUUUGGGCCAUGUGUUUGGGCGUUUUUACCUUUUGAGGGCAUAUGGAUGCAGUGUGAUGAUUACAAAGAUACAUAUAUUGAGAUACAGAUGGGAUAUGAUGAUACAUAUGGGAUACGGUGAUACAGAUGAAAUGAAAGGCCUUUGAGGCCUGUCUGAGUACACAUAGAGGCUUUGGGUCGUGUGUCUGGGCGCUUUGUCCUUUGGGGACUAGAUUAUGCAUGCAAAAAUAUGAUGAGAUAUGAGAUGACAUUUCCCCGUCUAUCCGUUGUUGCUCCGGGGCAUGAUAGUUCCCUGAUUGCCUGUUCGUUGAGGUCCGGAUAUGAUGAGAUUAUUUCCCUGGGUACUUGUUUGAUGAUAGUUUUGGUAUUCAGUAUUUGAUAUUAUAAGUAUUAUGAUUUCAUUGAUUUUAUACAGAUUUAUGUAAUAUUGUAAUUUCAGUGCAUGAUUUGAAUUAAAUAAGUUUAUGUAAGUUCUUAUGAUAUUUUGAUGAAAUUGAUUUGGGAAAGAUUAAAUCAUUUUUAAAUAAAUUUAUUUUUCAAAAAAUACUAUUCACUCAUUGAGCUUAUUGAGUUUUAUACUCACUUCGUUUUUAUUAUAUUUUUCCCCUCCACAGGAGAUUUGCAAGCACAUUAGUCAACCCAACAAUGAUAUUUAGAUUUGAAAUUAUGGCCACGUGAUGGUGUUAGGAAACAUAUAUGUUUUGUAGAGAUAUUUUGAAUUGUAUAAUUUAUUACUUAUUUGUGAUUAAUGAUAAAUUAUUGUAUUCUUGACAUUAUAUGUUUAAAGGAUACUGGUAUUUGGUUGAGGAAGUUGGUUGUGGAGAUUGGUUGAAUAUUAUAUCAUUUUUAGGAGUGUUAAUUUUAUAAAUUACAGGUUUGGGGAUGUCAUAAUUAUAUAGGAAACUCUGCCGAAUUUUUGGUAGAAUUCUUAGAUAUUAGAAUUAUUAUUAAUUCGGUUAGGCGAGAUUAGAUAGACUCGUCCUAUGGCUUCGGGGCGGGUCGUUUCAGAUGCAAUAUAGAAAGGUAAUUGGUUGUACUUUCAGACAGCUCAAGCAACUGCAUUAUCCAACACAUGAUUUAGAGCUUGCAGUAGUGGUGUUUGAUUUAAAGACUUAGAGAAAUUAUUUAUAUGGAGUUACUUGUGAGAUAAUCAUUAAAACUUGAAGUACUUAUACACACAUAAGGAAUUAAAUAUGAGAUAACGUAGGUGGGUUGAGUUGAUUGCAAAUUAUGACUAUAUUAUUGAUUGCCAUCCAUGCAAGGUGAAUUUGGUGGCUGAUGCUCUCAUUAGGAGGUCUUCCAAUUCAAUAUCCCACCUUAAAGUGUUGUAUCUUCUAUUGUUGAUCAAUUUGAUAUCUUUGGGUAUGAACUUAGCAGUGGGUGAGAAUAGAGCACUUUUGACACAUUUUUAGGUUUGGCAUGUUCUGAUUGGCUAGAUUUGAGAGAUGCAUGACCAAAAUCAGAAAUUGAUCAAAAUGAAAGAAGAUGUGAAGAACGGAAUACAAAUGGACUUUUCACAUAGAAAUGAUGGUACUUUAGUGGUAGUAGACUUUGUGUGUCGAAUAAUUUAGAUUUUAAAAACUAGAUUUUAGAAUAAGCACAUAAUUCAGUAUAUGCUAUGCACCCAAAUAACACGAAGAUACAUCAUGUUUUGAGGGAGCACUAUUGAUGGCAGGGGAUAAAGAGAAACAUAGCAAAGUGUGUGGCACACUAUUUAAUUUGUUAGCAAGUUAAGGUAGAACAUCAGGGACCUAUGGGAGAAUCUCAAUCGCUUGAUAUUCCUGAGUGGAAAUAGGAGCAUGUUACCAUGGAUUUUAUAAUAGGACUUCCUCACGAAGUCUGCUCACUUUUUAUCUUACAAAAGUAAAUACUCUUAUAAUAUGUGUUGUGCAAAUUUUAUUGAACUCGCAAGUGCACGAAUCUAUUGUAGAAUAGAUCAAUGAUGACGAGUGUCGAUCCCACGAGGAGGUGGAUUUUAAUUGUGUAGAAUUAAUUUUCUAUGAGGGUGGUUGGAUUUCUGGUGAAAUUGAUUUGGAAUAUUCUAAAAUUGGAAUUGAAAUGGCGAGAAUAAAUUGAAGAGAAAUCCAUUGAAAUGACGUACUUGGGUAUAUGGAUCCGUAUCAACAUGCACCAUGGGCUAAAUAUUCCUUAUUAAUGCCAAUUCAAUCAUGAGGGGGGUUUCCACACCUCAUGAACCACGCUCUAAUCAAUAUGGUGCUAAGGGCUUAUCGUGCCAAAUAAUAAUAACCUUGUACUAGAGAGCCGGUGUAACCAAGGCGGUAUCUAGACAAGAUUAUUAUUAUUUGUCGAUGAAAAGUCAAAUCAUCCACAAAAAUUAGAGGGGAAAAGAAAAUAAAUUUACUAAAUAAAGCCCAUGACACAUGUUGACCCAAGCUUGAACUAGAGGCAAAAUGAGAAUUUAUUAAAAUAUGUAGAAAAUACAAGAUGGAGAAGGAAUUACAGAAAAUGGAUCCUAAAAAUGGAUUCAGAGCUAUCAAAUUAGGGGGGGGGGGGGAGGCCCCAUUUUUAUAGAUACAUUGAGUAAAUCAUGGCCAUCGGAUUAAAAACAGUUUGGACGCUCAGGAUUGCGCCACGUCAUCAGUCAACAAUAAGUUGUUUGACCACUUGGUUUGAACAGUAACACGAUUUGACCUGGCUUGAACAGUAACGCGGUUUGGUUGAAAAUAAUCCUGUGUAAUGCAUGUACCGUACGCGAGAUUUUUGGUCCACUGAUAUGCUGCCACGUCACCAUCAACAGUACAUAAGAAUUUUAGUCUAACAGGAUCGUGACACCUCAUCAGUUAAUGCCAUAUCAUCGGUCAAUACCACGUCAUCGAUUCGUCUAUGUGAACAAUGUCGUGAACAAUAACGUAGACAGUACCGUACAUGUGAAUAGUGCCAUUUUUCCUUUUAUGCUCUUCCUAAGAUUUUCGACCGUCCUGAGUUCAAAAGUGAUGUCCGUUUUGCCAUAUGAUCUCUCGUUUAUUGUGAAAUGACCAUGAUACUCCUAAAAUACAUAAAAUACUUAAUUAUAAUACAACACACAUAAUUAAAUGACAAGAAACUUAAAUACAUAAAAGUAUGAAUGUUAGUGGAACAUGAAGUGUAAAAUGACAAUUUUCUCCUUUAUAAAUAUACAUUUUUUAACACUCAACAAUAUGAUGGUGAAUUUGUAUGUAAAGGAAAUAGUAUGUUUGCUUGAAGCCCUUGUGUCUAUUUGUUUCAAAUAGAGACUUACGGUUUACUUCCAAGUUUUGGCCUUGUUUACAGCAAGCUAUGGGUUCUAGAUUAAAUUUUAGUAUAACUUUCAUCCGUAGAUAGACAAACAAUCAGUAAAGAUUAUUCAGCUUUUGAAAGAUAUGCUUCAAGCAUGUAUUAUGCAGUUUCAAGGUAAUUAGGAUACAUGCCUACCUUUUAUGGAGUUUGCUUAUAAUAAUAGUUAUCAGUCUAAUAUGAGUAACACUAGUAAGUGUACAUUUAAUAAAGGUCAAAAUUAUCAAUUUUUUACUUAUAGUGUUGAUAACACUAACAAUUUCAUUACAUUAAUAAAUCCUUAACCUAUUAUUAAAAUUAAUAAUUCUUAUUUGUUUUUAAUUAUAUUUUUUGUACUUCGUAGGUAAUUCCCUAAAAUCAUAAUGCUUGGAUUUAAAAAAUGGACGUAAAAUUUGGAUUCCAAAAACUCAAAAGCCAUUGGAGAUUUUCUAGCCCUUUGAUAUGGCAUUAUUACUGAAUGAUUUAGAUCAUUCCAUGCGUCCAAGCUCACAAACACCAUGUUAUACUAGAUUUUGCACACCAAAUUUGGUAGAUAAACUAUCUUGACAAAUUAACUCAACCAUAUUAACAAAUGAGCAAAAGGAAGGUCCCGCUUUGACUUCAAUCAUAACCAUUGAUUUUGUUAAAUCCAACGAUCCAUAUGGUUGCAAAUUUUAAACCCUUGGAUUGUACUACUAAAUCUCAUCUAAAUGGUUAUGAUUGUAAGAUCAACAAAAUAUUGUAAACACCCAUACUUGAUCAUUUAAAAUUUGCCUAUAAAAAGGUAAGAGCUCUCACAAUUGAGGAUGUGCUAGAUUUUGGGAAAAAAAAGAAAAGGGGAGAGAAUUGUGUGGUGGAUUUUUGGGGUGAGCAUUUUGGGUGUAAAUAUAGAGUGAAUUUAGGAAAAAAUUCUCUUUCCUUUCCCUUUGUUUUUAAAUUUUCUUGUAUUGGACUUUACAAAGUUUAUUAAAUAAAAUGAGUGUUUUCCUUUUAAACAAGAGUGGCUAAAUUUUCUAAGCUGAGGUGAAAGGUGAAGCUCAAGGAUUCAAAUCAUGGAAUUAAUUACUCUUUCAAGUGAGUUUUAAGUCUAUUUAUUUGUUAUAUGUUUAUAAUUUAUACUUUUUUCUUUAUUGAUUACUUUCAUGUCAUGUUAAUUUGUAGAUCUAGAUCUCCUUGAAUCUAUAUAGAAUUUUAACAUAAUGUCAACGCUCCAAUAUAGCUGUGACAAAUUAGGUUCUUGAUCUCAUAUUUAUCUAUACAAAUAGUUUAUUAUGAAAUAAAUGGCAUUAUAAUUAACUAGCAAAAGAAAUGCAAAAUAUAAAUAUGAGAGAGUAUUAUGACCAUAAUUUGAAAACUGAGAGUGGAUCUCGUAACCUUAUGAUUUUUCUAGAUCGGUCUUUAUUAAUUUUUUUUUGUAAUUAAUUUUUGUUUAAUAAUUAAUUACUAGAUUUAUAAAUUUCUUGUGAUUCGAUCCCAGACUCAUUAGAUUAUAUUAUAACUAGACACUCUUAUACUUGGGAGUAAUUAACAAUUUUGGAUUGUACUAUAGUAUUCAGAUGGCACCAUUUGAAGUUUUGUGUGGAAGAAAAUGCAGGACUCGAAUAUGUUGUCAUGAAGGUGGGGAGAGGCAGUUGUUAGGUCUAAAAAUCAUCUAGAGUACUGAUGAGAAGAUUAAUGUCGUCAGAGAAAAGUUAAAGGCAAUAUAAGAUAGAAAGAAGAGUUAUAUAGAUAAGCAUCAGAACCACUUGAGUUUACAAUGGGUGAUAGGGAAUGACGUUCUUCGAUUUGGAAAACAUGGGAGUCGAGCCCUUAGUAUAUAGGCCUAUACGAGAUUAUAUAGUGUGUUGGUCUAGUUGCUUACCGUUUAGCUUUACCUCUAGAGUUUUUACAAAUGCAUGAUGUUUUUCAUGUUUCUAUGGUUCAGAAGUGUUUCUAUGUUUUAGAACCAAUCUAAAUGACAACAGAUUUGAUUUAUGAAGUGAAACUAGUUCAGAUACUUGAUUGGAAACAACAUGCGGUACAUAAUAAGACGAUCUCACUAGUUAAAGUGAUAUGGAAGAGUCACAUUGCAGAGGAGAGCACUUCAGAGCAUGAGGAAUAGAUUCGGUCAUAGUACCCAUAUUUAUUUCAACCAAGUAUGUAAAUUUUGAGGAAGAAAUUUUUAUAAAUAUGGAGGAAUUGUAGCACACGUGCAUGCAAUGGAUAAAGCUAAAUGUAGCUUGUUAAAUUGGAAGCAGUCAGCUGCAUACUUCACUUGCUUGCUUGAACCGGUGCUUAUAUAUAUAUUUAAAAAUUGAGAGUUGCUUGCUUAGAUUUGGUGGCUAUUCGGUGGCUAUGUAAAGUGUAAAAUAUUGACAACAACUUCAUUGUAUCAAAUUGCAACCAAAAGCAAAGUAAAGACAGAGAGGAAAUUAAAAGAAAACGAGAGAAAGAAAGAAAUGAAAAGGAAAAGAGGUAGAGAAAGAAAAAAAAAGUGAAGAGAAGAAAAAAAGAAAAAGAAGAAGAAAAGAGUAGCUGAGAAUCAACGAAAAGAAAAAAAAAUUAGAAAAUUACAAGAACUGAAAUUGAAUAAUUAGAAUUAUAUUUGUUGGACUAAUGGGUAACAAAUUUAUGAAAUUUAAGCAAUUAUGAUUUAGUUUACGUUAUACAUAUAAGUUUUUAUAUCAUUUCUAAUAAUUAACUUUUGAACCCUGAAUUUUAGGAGAAAUCCAAGAACUCAAGAACCCACGAGAGUCCUAACGAAUCUCGAAGUGAAAUAGGAUCAGCUAUUGGAUAUUAUUAUUACUAUUAUAUAUUUUGUGAAGAAUUUAUAUUUGACAGUAUGAUUUAGUACAUGUUAUGAUUAUAUAUACGACAUUAUAUGAUCAAUUGAGUCAUGAUAUGUGAUUUCCAAUCACCAUAUGUGUACCCUUCUUCAUAGGCUCUAUGCAUGCGUAUUGAAAGUUAGAUUACUCUGCCUAUGUGAUAUAAUUAAAUUCCUCCGCGUAUUGAGAAGCUUUUCCUCUACUUUGCUCACAUGAUGAUGAUCUCAACGAGUAUUAUAGUUGUUUUCUUCGAUGCUAGUUGGUGCAAGUGUCAUGUAUUUAUGUAUGAAUUUCAUAUUUUCCUACGUAUUAUAUUCAGUGUGGAGUUAUGUCAUAUGAUUAUGUAUAAACAUUAGUAUACUACUUUAUUUUUACAUAUAUAAUUAUGUCCACUCACUAAGUGGCAAUCUCACUAUUUCCCUAGUACCCUAUGUCUCCUAAGUUUCCAUAGGAUUCCAUGUAGUUAAGUUUUUAACAUGUGAGGUUAGGCUACGAGAUGCAUUGCUGCAUAACUUGCAUUAUGAGCACGUUUAUGUUUAUGUGUAUAUAUUUGAGGUGUAUAUUUGUACAACGACAUGUGACCUGUGCAAGUUUUAAAUAUAUUUUCAGAUAAGGCACAUAUGUUAUUUUAUGAUUAUGGUAGAGGCUCCAGACCAAUUUUAUAUAUUUAUGAAUAAGUUUAUGACAUUAUUUUUACAAAAAUUUAAAAUAUACUACUAAAAGGGUAGUUUUUCACUUUCCUUCCUAAUGUAGAGUAUAUUUGUAAUUUGAUGGGGAGGAUCAGUUUAUUAGUGAAAAUCUCCCCAUAGAAUUUCAAAAAAAGCAUUUUUUUUUAUGGAGAGGUUAUUUAAACCUUCUAAAUCAAUUAUUAAAUCCAUUUACUAAAUGAAUUCACUCUUGAAGUUCCAAAUUUUCUAUUAAUCAAUCUAAAUACUCAAUAAAACCUUACUAAACAAAAUUAUUAUUAAACUAGUUUUUUUUUUACUUAAGAGAUUCAUGAUUAAAAUCAUAUGCAUAUAAAACCUUUAAUCGAACAAAUAUUUCUCUCUUGUCUUAUACAAGCAAAAUUUUAACCUCUUAUUUUAUAUCAAAUUAACUCCACUUCAUUAUUUUCAAGCUCUCUUUUGUUUCCUUAUUCUUCUUUUUCCUUUUUUUUUUCCAACAUAAAUGUCAAACUUUGCCUUAAUUUUAACAAAUAUGAAACUAAAUAUGGUAAUAACAACAUACAAAAAAUUAUUAAAAGAAAAAGCAGCAACAAAUACUUCUUUUGUUUUCUAUUUUUAUAUGAAUCUUGACCAUCAAGGCAUAUGAAAAAGAGAGUUCCACUAACAGUAGAAUUCCAAGUAACAUGUGAUUAAAAUUUGAUGUGCUUAGAGGGAUUUAAUGUUGAAGAAAGUGUGCAGAGAAUAAAACUCUUAUUGUUUAAUUUCUUCUUGUAUGACAAUAAUAGUAAGUUGUGUGAUAGGUAUUUUAAUAAUAAAUAGAUUUAUCAAAAAGUGGGUUUCUUGAGUACUUUGAUAGGUUCAAAUAGUCCCUUUUUUCUGAAUUAUAAAUAUUUUCCAUGCUUGAGAUGUUGCCACUUCUUCUAUAGAAGAAACUUUGCUUAAUUAUCAUCAUGACCCGUAUUUUGAAGCAUUGAAAUCGCUUGAUCCAUCUGUUAUUAUUAAUUCAUUAUUACCAUGAUCAUUUUAUGUUGUUAGUUGACUUUUAACUCUUAAAAUUAAGGGUGAGUUUGGUAAUGCUUUAGAUUUUAAAAUAAUUAAUAUUAAUUGUGUUGUAGAAUGAUCAACUGUGAAGAGAAUCAGUUAAAUAUUUAGUAAAAUUUAUAUUUAAAAGUGCUAUGAAUUUUAAAAGUAGUCAUAUGUGUUUGGUAAAUCUUAUUGUUAAACUGUUGUACAAUAAUCGACUAUGAAGAGAAUGUUAAAUAUUUGGUAAAAUUUAUAUUUAAAAGUGAUGUAAAUUUUAAAAGUAGUCAUAUGUGUUCGGUAAAUCUUACUGUUAAAUUGUUGUAAGAAUAUAAUUGACUCAAAAUUGAACGUAAUAUUGAAUAUAAUUUAUUUAAACAUAUAUAUAAAACAUUUCUUUUAUUGUGUGCAUAUAAUAAUUAACAAUUAAAAUAAUUUUUUAUAUUAUUAAUUUUAUUUUUUAUUUAGUCAUCUCAAUAUAAUCAGUUAUAAUACUCUUUAAAAUCAAUCAUUUUAUUUUCUAAUUAAAAAGGAUAAUUUUGAAUUUUUAUAACAUAUAUGAGGAUAUUUAUGAAAUUGUAUUAAGUAUAAUAGUGAUUCCCAAAAUCAGAUUCUGAAAAGCUAAUCUUUUCCUACUUUUCAAAAAUCUGAUGUAGAAAGGAGAUGAUUUUGUUAAAAAUGAUUUCUAAAAGGAUUUACCAAAUGCCAAAUUAAAUUUUAAUUUUUCAAAAUCACUUUUAAACUUCUCAAAAGCAAAAUCCCAAACCGACCCUAUGUCAAUUAGAGUCUUUGUAUUGUACAAAUUUUUUCCUUAAAUUAUUAGCCAUUUUUUAUGCAUAAAAUUUUUUCGUUUGUAAUAUUUUAUUUAGUUUAAGUCACAAAUUGUCUCUUAAGUGUAACAUAGCUGGUGAUACAAUUAGCUAAGUUCGAGUAAUAAUAAAAGUAAUGGUUAAUGUUUACUGGUAAGAUUUCUCAUCGUCUUUAAAAGGGAAAAAAAAUUAUAAUAAAAGAUUAGAGAACAUGAUAUCAUCUCUGCUUUGACAAAAUAGUGAAGUGUAUGCCAAUGCCACAAGGAUUCAAUAAAUUAAUAAGUGGCCAGGCAUUAUCCUACUGUUUUAAGCUUUUUGUUUUUCUAAAUAGAAUGUAUCAUUGAUGAAGAAGAACAAUUGUUGUUUGUAUAAGCAUCAGUUUGCUGUCAAAUGUGAUUGAAAAUGUUGCUAAUCAUCAUUAAGAAGGCUCUCUGUGUAUAAGCACGCUUAUUUUAGUUUUUGUAACUGUAAAUGUAACAAGAAACGACUGACUUCCUUCCUUCCCCAAGUUUGUCUUAUGUUAAAAUGCAUCCGUUACUUUUCAUCUUUUUGCCUUUUUCUGCAAUUUUAUCCCUUGUAAUUAAAUUGAAACCGCAAAAUGACUUUCUUUUGUCCUUUUCAGUGGUUUCAAAAUUUGCAUACACUCAAUCUAAUGCAAACAGAAAAUAUUUACGACUCUAUGCCCUUGCAGGUCCUAGAGUUACUGUUCGUACAAGUCCUCGAUGGGCAGCCUGCGGUGCUAAUUCUGUGAGUUCAACCACCGCGCUGUUUGUUCGCCUCUGUAUUCCUGGAUGUGAACCUCAGAAUAAAGCUGCUUAUGAUAGGGGAAAGUAGUGAUUAGCUAGCACAUGGACGUUGCACGUUGCUUUCCUAAAUGCUCUAUUAAUACUCCUUACGCUUUAUUGAGCAGUGACCUUAUUACCACUAGAUGCGCAGGAGUAGGUUUGUGCAGUGCCACUUUGUCCACAAACGGAUAUUCUCUCUAAUAUAGUCAUAUAUGGCGUCCUAAAAACCAUAUAUAAAUAUCUCUCUUAUAUUAUAUAUGGUUUUUAGGACGCUAUAUAUGACUAUAUUUGAAAAAACAUUAUCCGCUCAUAUAUUAUAUAUGGGUUUUAGGUCAUGUACAAGAAUUUAUUCUCUUGGAUAUCUCUCGCUCAUAUAUUAUAUAUAUAUGGUUUUUUGGACACCUGAUAUGACUAUAUUUUAAAAAAGGGAAAUUAUCAUUACACUACUUUUAUUUUGCCUUAUGUUCAUCCAACCACUACAAAAUUUUAACAUGUAUUUUGUACCACUUUUUUUUUUUUUACAUUUUUAUCAACUAGCCACUUUUACAUUAACACUAUUAAAUAAUUUUAAUAAAAUGAUAAUUUUACCCCCAAAUAAAUUAAAAGACCAUUUUAUUUUAUAAAAACUUUAAAAAUUAAAAAAAUAUAAUGAUAAAAUAUCCCUAAAUUUAAUAAAAAUAAAUCCCAAAAUUAGAAUUUUUAUUUUUAAUAUAAAAUUAUAAUCAUAAAAAUAAUUACAAAAUUUUGGGAUUUAAUAAAAAUCCCAUAAAUUAUUAAAAUUUUAGUAUUUAUUCUUUUAAGAAAUAAAUUCAGUUAUUUUAAUUUUUUUUUACAAAAUUAUAUUUUUUUAAUAAAUAAAUUCAUUUAUUUAUAUUAAAAUUUUGUAAAAUUAUAAUUUUUUAAAAAAAUAAUUAUUAAAAUUUUGUAAAAUCUAAAUUUAGUAAAAAUCAGUUGAGCACCUCUAUUUGGGAUUUAUUUUUUAUUAAAUUUAGGGAUAUUUUUAUGAUUAUAAUUUUUAAUUUUAAAAGUUUUUAUAAGAUAAAAUAAUUUUUUAAUUUAUUUGGGGGUAAAAUUGUCAUUUUAUUAAAAUUAUUUAAUAGUGUUAAUGCAAAAGUGACUUGUUGAUACAAAUGUGAAAAAAAAAAGGUGGUGCAAAAUACAUGUUAAAAUUUUAUAGUGGUUGGAUAAACAUAAGGCUAAAUAAAAGUGGUGCAAUGAUAAUUUCCGUUUAAAAAAACAUUAUCCACUCAUAUAUUAUAUAUGGUUUUUAGGUCAUGUACGAGAAUUUAUUUCUUUGGAUAUCUAUUACUCAUAUAUGAUAUACACUUUUUAGGGCACUAGAUAUGACUACAUUAAAGAAAUAUAUAUAUGACUAUAUUGAAAAAAAAAAAAACAUUGUCCGCUCAUAUAUUAUAUGUAAUGCACCUGCACGUGACUUAAGAAGCUACCCAUGACUUAGUAGUUAAAAAGCAGUGAGCUGCUUGUUUUAUACUUUUAUUUAAGCAACACAUGCAUAAUUCAUCAUGUCACCUGCAUGCUUCAUCAAAUUCACAUGCUUGCUUCACCGAUUACACACCUGCCUGCUUCAUUCACUUGGCCACCCCCUGUUUACGUCCUCCUAGUUGCAUCAUUCUGGGUGGUACAUAAAGUCGAAAUAAAUUGGAAGCUGCUUCAUUUUUCUUAAUUUGGAGAAUCCAAAAUCGAGAGCAAACAAAAGGAAAAAGGAAGAGAAAUAGAAAAGCUAAGAAAGAAACUAAGAGAAAAAGCGAGAAGAGAAGAAAAUGGAAAGAAAAGAAAUAAAACAAAAUAAAAAUUGAAAACCGAGAGUGAGAAAGAAAUGGACAAGGAAAGCGAAAGUGGAAAAGUUAUAGGAAAUUAGAUUUAUAUCCAAUGAAUUAGUGGGUAAUAAAUUUAUGAAAUUUGAGUAAUUAUGUUACAGGUUUCAUUAUAUGCAUCAUCUAAUUGUUAAUUUUUGAAUCCAUAGGAGCCCUAAUGAAUCCCAGAGUGAAAAAAGAUCUAUGAGUGGAUACUAUUAUUACUAUUAUGUAUGUUGUAAAGCAUUUAUACUUGAUAGUAUGAUUUAGUAUUAUGUUAUGAUUAUAUGUAUGCACAUUAUAUCAUUGAUUGAGCCAUGAGAUAUGAUUGUGAGUCACCAUAUGUGUACCCUUCCCCAUAGACUCUGCGCAUGCAUAUUAAGAGUUAGAUUACUCUAUACGUAUGAUGUAGUUAAAUUUCGUUAGGUAUUGAGAGGUUUUUCCUCUGCUUUACCAGUGCGAUGAUGAUCCCAGCGAGUAUGAUAGUUAUUCCCCUAGUUACUCUUUGGUGCAGUUUGUCAAGUAUGUACAUAUGAUAUGUCAUGUUUGCUUAUGCAUUAUGUUCAAAGUGGAGGUAUGUCAUAUGAUUCUGUAUAAGCACUAAUACAUGCUUUACUUAUAUAUAUAUACAUAUAUACACUAAGACACAAGCUCACUAUUUUUCUAUUUACCCCAUUUCUCCCAAGUUUCACAGGAUUUUGUGUAGUUCAGUUUCUAAUCAUUUUGAGGUUGGGCCACGACACAUAUUGUUGCAUGACUUGCAUUUUGAGCACGUAUAUAUAUAGUGACAUAUGAAGUGUGCAAGUUCUUUUGGAUGGGCACAUAUGGUAUUAUAUGUUUAUAGUAGAGGCUCAAGGCCAGUUUUAUAUAUUCAUAAAUUAAGUUUAUGUUAUGAGUUUUAGAUGUUAGAUCACAUGAUUCGCCUCAGAUAUAACAGAUGGAUCCAGGAUGCUCAUGUCAUUAUAUAUGGUUUUUAGGUCAUUUACGAGCAUUUUUGUACUUGGAUAUCUGUCCCUCAUAUAUUAUAUAUGGUUUUUAAAACAGCAAGUAUGCCUAUAUUUGAAAAAAAAACAUUAUUCGCUCCUAUAUUAUAUAUGUAUUUUAGGUUGUGUACCAUAGUUUAUUUCCACGGAUAUCUCUCGCUCAUAUAUUAUAUACGGUUUUUAGGACACCAUAUAUGACUAUAUUUAAAAAAAAACUAUUAUCACUCAUAUUAUAUAUGUCUUUUAGGACGUGUACAAGAAUUUUUGUCCUUGGAUAGAUCUCACUUAUAUAUUAUAUAUGGUUUUUAGGACACUAGAUAUGACUAUAUUUGAAAAAUAAAAUAUUAUUCGCUCUUAUAUUAUAUAUGGAUUUUAGGUCGUAUAUGAGAAUUUUUGUCCUUAGAUAUUUCUCGCUUAUAUUUGAGAAAACAUUAUCCACCUGUAUACUAUAUAAGGAUUUUACAACAUCAGAUAUGACUAUAUUUAAAAAAAAAUAUUAUCUUUUUGUUCUUAUUAACUCACACAUAUAUUGAUGUACUUUUUUUUUUUUAAUUUAUGCACCUAAUAAAGUUUGAAUUCAAGAUCUGCGUUCUAAGAAAGCCGCUUCUUAUCUCUCAAUUUAGACUUUUUAUUAGUACUUUUUAGUAUUUUUACUAAAAAAAGUUAAUAAUUACAAUAUUACUUGAUAACAAAUCCAAUAUACUUUUUAUCAUUUAAGUAAGGUUUGAACUUCAAAUCUUUAGUGUUAUCCCAAAAAUUAACCCAAUAUGUUAAUUAGUCGUUAGUCAUUGAGCCUUUGGCUCGAUAGUAAUAAAUUUGUGCUCUCGAUUUCAAGGCACAAAUUUAAGUUCCAACGCCUGUGAGACUCAAAAUUUCCCUUCCAAUUACAUAAUUGGAUAUCUUUUCAAAAUUAGUGACUGAUAAAUAUAUUUAGACUAUGAGAUAGUAGAAUAAUAUAUCUAAGGAUAUCCCAGAUGAUUUAUGGAAAGGUUACGUGUCUCUAGAUUAUCAUUGAUUUGUAUAUUUAAAUAGUAGUAUAGUUUUGAUUGAUUUUUUUAAUCCCUCAUUUAUAAAUUGCAACCUAUAUCAAAAGCCCAUGUUUCUUCCACGUCCUUAUAACCACAGCAACCACAACAUGGAUACUAAUGGAGCUGAUACUGAAAUAUGCAAUACCCACUUGCCCGAAAAGCCUGAACUUUCACCAACUUUAAUUUCAGACACCGAACUCCUAUCUGAAUUCUCACACCAUGCCCAAAACAAAGCUAGAAUCAAUAAUGGAAGCUUCGGUUGUUGCCCCAAGAGUGUUUUGUCAGCACAGCAGAAGUGGCAACUUGAGUUCCUCAAACAACCUGAUGACUAUUACUUCAAUAGGCUGAAAGAUGGGAUUUUCAAGUCAAGACUUGCGAUCAAAGAAUUGGUCAAUGCUGACCAUAUUGAUGAAAUAUCAAUUAUUGAUAAUGCCACGACUGCUAUAGCCAUUGUGUUGCAGAGUGUUGCUUGGGAAUUUUUACAAGGGAAGUUUAACAAAGGUGAUGCUGCUGUUACGCUUCAAUAUGCUACUGGUGCUGUGAAAAAAUCUCUGGAAGCAUAUAUUAUGCGUGCAGACGGGUAUGUUAUUGAAGUUCAGUCACCAUUUCCUGUUAAUUCUGUUUAGUGAGAUUGUCAUGAAUUUCGGAAAGCUUUAAGAAAGAGGGAAAACCAAUGGUAGGAAAGUCAGAUUGGCUAUGAUUGAUCACGUGACAUCUAUUCCUAGUGUUCUGAUUCCUGUCAAAGAAUUAAUCAAGGUUUGUCGGGAAGAUGGUGUCGAUAAAGUAUUUGUUGAUGGUGCACAUGGGAUUGGGUGUGUUGAUGUUGACGUGAAAGAAAUGGGGGCUGAUUUUUAUACUAGUACUUUGAACAAGUGGUUCUUUUGCCCACCUGCGGCAGCGAUUUUGUAUUGUAGGAAAUCAAGUGAAGUUAAUGAUUUGCAUCACCCUGUGGUGUCUCAUGAGUAUGGAAAUGGGUUGCCCAUAGAGAGUGCUUGGAUUGGGACUAGGGAUUAUAGUGCCCAAUUGGUUAUUCCUCAAGCUUUGGAGUUUGUUAACAGAUUUGAAGGGGGAAUUGAAGGAAUCAAGAAGAGGAAUCACAAAGCUGUUGUUGAGAUGGGGAAAAUGUUGGCAAAAGCAUGGGGAACCCAUCUUGGGUCUCCUCCGGAGAUGUGUUCAAGCAUGAUCAUGGUUGGGUUGCCUGCUAGUUUGGGCAUUUCUAGUGAUUCUAUUGCUUUAAAGUUGAGUACCCACUUGAGGAAUAAUUUUUGUGUUGACGUACGUAUCUAUUAUAGGGAACCGGGUGAUGGGAUGGUUAACCCUGUUACAGGAUAUGCUCGAAUUUCUCAUCAUGUUUACAACAAACCAGAUGAUUACUACAAGUUCAGAGAUGCAGUUAACCAACUUGUUAAUGAUGAGUUCACUUGUGCACUUCUCUCAUAGCAAAGAGGUAUGUUUUAGAUUCAAUGAUUGUACACUGUUAGGUAUUUUAGCUUGGAUAUAUUUUUGUAUGCCUGUUGUUUCUUGGUAAUUCUUUUCUCUUGGGUACCUUCAACCAGGGGCGGAUGCAGCUUGUGACGCCCCCACUGGCCAAAAAAAAUUUAAAAAUAAAAGAAAAAAAUAUUUUAAUUUUUUAAUUAACCCCAUUAAAUUUAUUAAAAUAGUCACUAUAAAUUAUAAACCCCGUAAAAUUUAAACACUAACUUUUAAGAAUUAUAAAAAUCUAUAUCUUAAUUAAAAAUAAUGAUAGCCCACCACCCAAAAUAUUUUCUAUUAUAAAAAAUAAGAUUAAUUCUUCCAGUUUCUAUAAUAAUAGUAAAACGAAUGUUUUCAGUAAUGAAACUCAUGAUGAAUCAUCUUUGGAAUCGAAUAUGAUAAAUGAUAGUUUGGUUACUUAUAUAGGAAACAAUAAAUUUAAUAAUAUUGAUAAUGAGUCUAUUGCAUAACAUUUUAAAAAUAUGAAAAUGCAUAGAGAAUAAUUAUAAAUGUAUUAGUAAAUAUUUUAUAUAUUCAAAAUUUUAAUUUUUUAUAUUUUAUUAUUAUCUAAUUUAGCCCCCGUAAAUUAUUUUUCUAGUUCCGCCACUGCCUUCAACCAUGAGGCCGCAACCUAUGAUAAAUGUUAAAACUAUGUGGAGUCAUUAUGUUUUAGGAUAGGUUGACUGGCAACAAAAUCCCCUUCUCACCAUGUGAAAAGGGUUCAAACCUUAGAGUUCUUAUAACAACCCAAGCAAUCUUACCGAGUUUAACUAGUUGGCAUCCACACACUUUGUAGAGUACUAUUUCUACCUAAUAUAGGGAAAGGAGAGGUUUGAGUUAUAUAUGACUAUGCUACAGACCUCUUAGCAUUCACAAAGGUCAGUGAUUACGUUAAAAGAUGCUAGUGGCAAAUUUAACUCAUUUCUUCUUAGGCUUGUAUGUGGCUUGUUAUACCAGCAAUGCAAACUGAUUUAGUUCUGAUUCAGGUUGACUAUCAGAAUAUACAUCGCUAGUUUCCUGCCUAUAUAUAGAGAAUUCCCAAAAAGAUUUAUGAAAACUGCAAAACCUAUUUUGGCAAAAAUUGGCCUUUCAAAAUUUAUUUUUAAAUGCUUUUGAAAACAUACUAGUUAAAAACACUUUUAACUCUUGACUUACGCUCAAAAAUAUUGUUUCAACACAUUAACGGCUAAACGGGCCAACAUAGACCGUGUUUAAAAAAAAAACUUUUAGAAAAUUUGCAAAAACUUUUACUAGGUUCUUAUUAUUUUUGUCAAAAAACAAAAACCUUGAUUUUCAAAAACUUUUCCUCCACAUUCUUUUCUCCUGAUGAUAACAAGGACCGCCUUUUGUGAAUGUUUUAAAUAUAAUUUAUACUUUCGUUAACAAGGCUAGACUUCUUAACCCAAAAGCUAAAUAAAUAAAAACAAAAGAAAUUAAACUACUUACUUGAUAAACUUGCUAGUUGCUAUCUAAAGGAUAAGAGACUUUUAUUGAUUUUUAUUUUUUAGAGUACAAAGUACAUAUUUGACUCUACCAUUGCCCUUGUCUCACUUCGUCUCACCACACUUUCUACUUGACUUUGAGUCCUAUAUAUACAACUAAGGACUUGUGAAAAUUAUUGACAUAAUUUAUGACUCUAUGUACAAAGGCCAAAAAUUUAAAGUUACAAUUCAAAUGUUGCGAAAAGCCAAUGAUUAAUUAAAAAGGUGAAAAGUAAAAGACUGACUGGAUAUUAUUACUGUGUAGAGAUUCAAUAUCGAUAAAUAGUGGCUGGCUACUAUUUUCUAUGCUGAAUUACUAUAGAAAACAAAAGACAAAAUGAAAAAGAUGCCUCAACAGUUUUUCCCUUACUGGGUAGUUAGUAAAGGAAGGUCAUCUUUAAAAACACGUGACUCUCACUACUUUUACUUUUGACUAAUGUUAGCUGGCUAUCUCUGACUAAUUUAUUUUUGUUGGUGCCUCCCAUAUGUCCAUCAUUUUGUCAACAGCUUCGGCUAUAUCCUUAUCCAGAGAUUGAUGACUCAUAGCUUCUAAUCAAUCUCCUGAUGAUGGCAUGUCAUUGAUCUCGAUUAGCGCCUCCAAAUAUUCUUCACGUUUAUUUGGAUUAUCAAUUUUAAUUUGUAGUGAAGGAAUAAGUAAAGGAAAGUCAUAAGUGAAAACACGUGACUCUCACAACUUUUACUUUUGACUAAUGUUAGCUGGCUAUCUCUAACUAAUUUAUUUUUGUUGGUGCCUCCUAUCUGUCCAUCAUUUUGUCAACAACUUCGGCUAUAUCCUCAUCCAGAGAUUGAUGACUCAUAGCUUAUAAUUCAUCUCCUGACGAUGGCAUGUCAUUGAUUUCAAUUAGCGCCUCCAAAUAUUCUUCACGUUUCUUUGGAUGAUCAAUUUUUAUUUGUAAUGGAGGAAUAAGUAGUUCCUCAUGGACAAGAUGCUUUUGAGCAAUAAUUGUAUAAUGUUCUGCUUGGGCUAUAAUCCUCUCAUGAGUAUCCACCCAUUCACAGAAGACUGCCAUUUCAUGGGUUCUCCAGUAUAUGUCUUUUGCGGAGAAGCUAAGCUUGGCAUGAUAAAAUCUUCUUCCGAACUUCUUUGCUCCUUCACAGAUAAAAAUGACAUGAUAUGCUGGUAGUAUGACACCAAUUUUGGUUUUAUUGGUUAUUUGAUAUCUAGGUAGUAUGGAACAAAAAUUACUUGUUAAAGGUGCUAGCUUUAUAAUGGAUAAAGCUCUGUUUAGGGUUGGUGGAAAGAAUUUAGAUAUGUUUAGGCUAAAAAUAUAAAUAGUACAUAUCAUUCCAAAACUAAGGGUUUUGUACAGGAUAUCUUCAUUUUCUGAUGUUUUGGCUAAGGAAUAAUCGAAGGAAAUAGUAGGGAAAUCAUGUCUAAAUGAAGUAUUGUUUCUUAAUUCUGACCAACUAGGUCGGAAUUCAAGUAAGAAAUUUAGCUGGCUAUAGAAUAACUGAUUGGCUAAUGAAACAAAGUCUGCAUAUAGAUUUUCUAUUAUUUUUUCUUUUACAAUGUCUAUUGUAUCACUAAGGAAAGAUUAGAUUUGGUGGAUUUGGUUACUGUUUGGCUAGGGAAUGGUAAAAUAAUUUGUCUAAUGGUUGUUUCUGUGUCUGCAUUUUUUUGAGUUUUUUUGGGUUUUUUUGGUGAUCUAAUAGCAAAAUUUCUUUAGCACUCUCUAAUGCAAUUAUUUUUUGUCUACGGGACUUUUACUAUAUUGUCCAAAUGAUAUCUAGUUUCAUUAAGUUUUCUAAUAGUGUGUGUCAUAACCUCACAAUGGUUGGAAAAUUGUAUUGGUGAUAGUGAUGAUGAUGAUGAACUGUCUGCAGUAUUACUUAACUGUCUAUUUGAUGACGUUGAUACAUUGUUUAAAGGAUUAAUUAAAUGGCUAACAUGAUAUUUUAGUCAUAUUGUCUGUCUAGCAAAUUCUAUAGCUUCAUGAAUGUAUAAAAGCCUUUAUAGUAUAGAUCAGGAUAAUUGAUUAUUAAAUCAACUAUCUCUCUCCACUAACUAUAAUUGCCUACUUGUCUACCUCUAAUUAAUACGAAAAAUGCAAAGUGAUUACUGUAUGCAUGUUCAUUAUUCUUUUUAAAAUAAAGCAUGAGUGCAUUGGCUACUUUUAAUUUAUCUUGUGGGUUAUUUCAACACCACAAAUUGUCUAAAAAUGUCUAAAUUUCUAAUUGGACCAAUCUUAGCACCUAGAAAGGGAGACAUUAAAGAUAUUUUAGGACCUAAUAUAAUAUUAAAAAGCAAUGGACUUAGUAAGAAAUAGUAGAAUAGAUGUAAAUAUGGCAGAGAGACUUAGAAGAUCACUAUUAUUUUCUAGUAAACAUAAAGAAAUCGUAGAAAGAACUGAAAAGAUAAUAGAUGAACAUGAUCCAAAUAAGUUAUUAGAAAGAGGUUUUAAACAUAUUAGAAAGAAAGAUUAAAUAAUGAAGGUUUAAUGUCAAAAUUAAUAAUAGUUUAUAUAUUUACACAGAUGAGACUAAAUUAUCAGUAAUAAAUAGAAGGGAAGAGCUAACUUUAAUCAGUCUAGUAGGCAGAGACUAUCUUAGAAAACAAAAUUACACAAACAUACACGUGGGAAUAAUAAUAAUAGGAAUUCUUAGUCAGGCUAGAGAAGGAGUAGACACUACAACUCAUUUAUAUCUAUAUGAUAGUAGGUUUUAUGACCAUGAAUAAGCUCAAAUAGCAAGUGCUGACCUAGACUUAAAAAUAAAGUAAUAGUAGUAAGAUGAUACCCAAUAUAGACAUAGAUAUUAAUGAAUUCUGUAAACAUAUUAAAUUAAGUGUACAAGCUAAAGGUUAUAAAAUGAAUGCAGAAUAUAAAAAUCUUAGGAUUAAAUCAUUUUUCUAGGAAAAUUGUAUAACAAAUAUCAUAAAAUAUUUAGAUUUGAUAGUAAAAAUAUAGUAUAUUGUUUUAAAAGCCAAUAUGUAGAAAUAAUAGUACCUAAGAAAUUAAGUAGUAGUGAAGUAAUCUCUCUGUAACUUGAUUUUGUCUAUUUAUGUAUGUAUAACUGGUUUCUACUUCUCUCUGUAACUUGAUUUUUUCUAUUUAUGUAUGUAUAACUAGUUUCUAGUAUUUCUAACAUAAAUAGAGAAAAUCAAGUUACAGAGAGAAGUAGAAACCAGUUAUACAUACAUAAAUACACAAAAUCAAGUUACGGAGAGAUUACUUCACUACUACUUAAUUUCUUAGGUACUAUUAUUUCUACAUAUUGGCUUUUAAAACAAUCUACUAUAUUUUUACUUUUACAUCUAAAUAUUUUAUGAUAUUUGUUAUAUAAUUUCCUAGAAAAAUGAUUUAAUCCUAAGAUUUUUUAUUUUCUACAUUUAUUUUAUAACCUUUAGCUUGUACACUUUAUUUAAUAUGUUUACAGAAUUCAUUAAUGUCUAUGUCUAUAUUGGGUAUCAUCUUACUACUACUACUUCAUUUUUAAGUCUAGGUCAGUUCUUGCUAUUUGAGCUUGUUCAUGGUCAUAGAACCUACUAUCAUAUAGAUAUAAAUGAGUUGUAGUGUCUACUCCUUCUCCAGCCUGACCAAGAAUUGCUAUUAUUAUUAUUCCCACAUGUAUGUCUGAGUAAUUUUGUUUUCUAAGAUAGUCUCUGUCUACUGGACUGAUUAAAGUUAGCUCUUCCUUUCUAUUUAUUACUGCUAAUUUAGUCUCAUAUGUGUAAAUAUAUAAACUAUUAUUAAUUUUGACAUUAAACCUUCAUUAUAUAAUCUUUCUUUCUAAUAUGUUCAAAACCUCUUUCUAAUAACUUAUUUGGAUCAUGUUCAUCUAUUAUAUCUUCAGUUCUUUCUACAAUUUCUUUACGUUUACUAGAAAAUGAUAGUGAUCUUUUAAGUCUCUCUGCCAUAUUUACAUCUAUUAUACUAUUUCUUACUAAGUCGAUUACUUUUUAAGAUUACAUUAGGUCCUAAAAUAUCUUUAAUGUCCCAUUUCUAGGUGCUAAGAUUGGUCCAAUUAGAAAUUUAGACCCUUUUAGACAAUUUGUGGUGUUGAAAUAACCCACAAGAUAAAUUAAAAGUAGCCAAUGCACUCAUGCAUCAUUUUAGACAAAAUAAUGAAGAUGUAGACAAUAAUCACUUUGCAUUUUUCGUAUUAGUUAGAGGUAGAUAACGAGACAUUUAUAGUUAAUGGAGAGGGGUAGUUGAUUUAAUAAUCAAUUAUCCUGAUUUAUACUAUAAAAGCUUUUAUACAUUUCAUGAAACUAUAGAAUUUGCUAGACAGACAAUAUGACCAAAUUAUUAUAUUAGCCAUUUAAUUAAUCCUUUAAACAGUGCAUCAACGUCAUCUAAUAGACAAAUAAAUAAUAUUUUAAAUUUGAUCAGCAUCAUCAAUACAAUUUUACAACCAUUGUGAGGUCAUGACACGCACAGUUAGAAAGUUUAAUGAAACUAUAUAUCAUUUAGACAAUAUGGUAGAAGUAUGUAAACAAAAAAUAAUUGCAUUAGAAAGUGCUAAAGCAAUUCUACUAUUAGAUCACCAAAAAAACCCAAAAAACUCAAAAAAUCCAAUUACAGAAACAACCAUUAGACAAAUUAUUUUACCAUACCCUAGCCAGACAGUUAACCAAAAUCCACCAAAUCUCAUCUUUUCUUGGUGAUACAAUAGACAUUUGUAAAAGAAAAAAAAAGAAAAUCUAUAUGCAGACUUUGUUUCAUUAGCCAAGCAGUUAUUCUAUAGCCAACUUAAUUUCUUACUUGAAUUCAGACCUAGUUGGUCAAGAAACAUUACUUCACUUAGACAUGAUUUCCCUACUAUUUCCUUUGGUUAUUCCUUAGCCAAAACAUCAAACAGCGAAGAUAUCUUGUAUAAAGCCCUUUGUUUUGGAAUGAUACGUACUAUUUAUAUUUGUAGCCUAGAUAUAUCUAAAUUCUUUCCACCAACCCUAAACAAAGCUUUAUCCAUUAUAAAGCCAACACCUUUAAUAAUUAAUUUUUGCUUCAUACCACCUAGACCUCAAAUAACCAAUAAAACCAAAAUUGGUGUCAUAUUACCACCAUAUCAUGUUAUUUUUAUCUGCGAAAGAGCAAAAAACUUAGAAGAAGACUUUAUCAUGACAAGCCUAGAUUCUCCGCAAAAGACAUAUAUCGAAGAACCCAUGAAAUGACAUCCUUAUAUAUAUAUAUGGGUCGAUACUCGUGACAAGAUUAUAGCCCAAGCAAAACAUUAUACAAUUAUAGCUCAAAAGCAUCUUGUCCGCGAGGAACUACUUAUUCCUUCACUACAAAUAAAAAUUGAUAAUCCAAAGAAACGUGAAGAAUAUUUGGAGACGCUAAUUGAGAUCAAUGACAUGCCAUCAUCAAAAGAUGGAUUAGAAGCUAUGGGUUAUCAAUCUCUGGAUGAGGAUAUAGCCAAAGUUGUUGACAAAAUGAUGGACAGAUAGAAGGCACCGACAAAAAUAAAUUAGUCAGAAAUAGCCAGCUAACAUUAGUCAAAAUUAAAAGUAGUGAGAGUCUCGUGUUUUUACAAAUGACCUUCCUUUACUAACUAUCCGAUAAGGGAAAAACGGUGGAGGCAUCUUUUUCUUUUUGACUUUUGUUAUCGAUUGUAAUUCAGUAUAGAAAAUAAUAGCCAACCACUAUUUAUCUAUAGUGAAUCUCUACAAAGUAAUAAUAGUCAGUCAGUCUUUUACUUUUCACAUUUUUAAUUAAUCAUUGACUUUUCGCCACAUUUGAAUUGUAACUUUAAAUUUUUGUCCUUUGUAAAUAGAGUCAUAAAUUAUGUCAAUAAUUGUCACAAGUCCUUAGUUGUAUAUAUAGGACUCAAAGUCAAGUAGAAAGUGUGGUGAGAUGAAUUGAGACAAGGGCAAUGGUAGAGUCAAAUACUUUGUACUCUCAAAAAUAAAUAAACAAUAAAAGUCUCUUAUCCUUUAGAUAGCAACUAGCAAGUUUAUCAAGUAAGUAGUUUAAUUUCUUUCGUUUUUAUUUAUUUAGCUUGUGGGUUAAGAAGUCUAGUCUUGUUAACGAAAGUAUAAAUUAUAUGUAAAAUAUUCAAAAAAGGCGGUCCUUCUUAUCAUCAGGAGAAAAGAAUUUGGAGGAAAAGUUUUUGAAAAUCAAGUUUUUUUUUUUUACAAAAAUAAUAAGAACUUAGUAAAAGUUUCUAUUGAUUUUCUGAAAGCUUCUUUUUAAACAAGAUCUUUGUUGGCUCGUUUAGCCGAUAAUGUGUUGAGAAGACGUUUUUGGGCGUGAGUCAAGAGUUAAAAAUGUUUUUAACCAACAUGUUUUCAGAAGCAGUUAAAUAUAAACUUUGAAAGGCCAGCUUUUGUCAAAACAGCUUCCGUAGUUUUCAUAAAACUUUUUGUAAUUCUCUGUGUAUAGGCGGGAAACCAGUAAUGUAUAUUUUGAUGGUCAACCCGAAUGAGGACUAGAUUUGCACUGUUGGUAUAACAAGCCACAUAUAAGUCUUCCCCUAGUCAGAACCUAGUUGCGUUUGCGCUUUCCUCUUCUUUCGUAUCAGAGAAUACGAACCUAGUAUAUUCCCGAAUGCAGCCUAUAGUUGUAGGUUAUCUUUGGAAGUGUUUGCAAGUUCAUUGUGCUUCCUCAUUCUUUGCUAGUUCUAUGCUGUAAUUCAAUGAUUUAUAUUCUUCCCUCUAGGGUUGGCAAAGAAGCCCGGACCUGUCCAGGCCAACAGGCUUGAGGUCCGGCUCGCAUCAUAAAAUAAUGGAUCUGGGCCCAAAAAUUUAAAGCCCACUCUGAGUGGGCCUGGUUAAAGACUUUGGAAAAAAGCUCGGGCUUUAAUUUAUAAAUUAAAAAAAUUAAAGUAAAUUAAAAAUCUUUUUUAAUUGAAAGAGUUAAAUCCCUUGUUCCAUUCCAGAUUAACAUGCUUUUUAAUAAAACAUGAGUCUUGAGCUUCUACGUAAAUUAAAAUGCAUAAACAUAAUUUAUAUCUAAAAUAUAAAUAAUUUUAAUUUACAAUAAUAAAUAAGAAGAAGAAGAGAAAAGGGAAUAAAGAAAAAGAAAUGCAAAUAUUUGCUUAGAGGUGAUCGGCCUAGGCCCAUUGAAGGGAGCAAUUAAUUUUUUUUUGUUUAAUAAUAAUAAUCAUCUGAAUUUAAUUUAAGUGUUUUUUUUAACUUAUAGCUAAAUUAAAUAUUUAUUUAACAAAAUUAUUGAAGGCCCAUACUCGCCCCAAGCUCAAACUCGCUCAAGUUGGAUGAAUUUUCCCAGGGCCUAGAUCUAAUAUAAAUUAUAUGGGCUUAGGCCUGGGCUCAGAAAGCCUAGCCCAAGCCCGCAAAUUACCAACCCUGCUUCCCUCAAAUUUAUUGUCGAUACUGCUUGUGCAUUCUGUUAGUCACAUUUAACUGCGGAAAGUGAAGCACUUGUCAUAAAACCUGCACAAGUUGACACAUAUAGUGGUAUCUUUUCAUUUACUGAUCAGAUUUACUCACGGUCAAUCCCUAAGACCUGCCGUGCAAAGAUCAGGCCAUCAGAGAUUUUAUGAGCAAUUAGCAAUAUUAUUGCUUUCAUUGAUUUGGAACCAAUAACGAGGGUAAAUUAUUAUUUCAGAUGUGAGCACUCUAUGUCAGUAAGAUUUUAUUGGCAAAAUUGUGAGCACUUUCUAUCAUUCAGAGUUCCAGGUCUAUCGUCAAACAAUUUUUAGCAAAUUUCUUAGAGAUUCCUUCAAUAAAGAAGAUAAUGAUUCUGUGAUCCAACCUUUUGCAGUACUCGUGAAUCUAUUUUAUCAUAAGUUGUUUCUCACCUAUAUACUGAUCUGCUUCCCUGUACUUGAACUGCAGGUAUUAGCAAUCUUCCACGUUAGUACGAAUAAGGGCAAUUUGUCUAUCCCUGGAAGGAAUAAGUGGCCUCCUUUGACAUGGUUUCGGUACCACGAGCACCCUAAAUAAGUAGAGAAACAAACUCCAGAAUGCGUAUAAAUGUAUGCAUAUAUAGUACUAUAAUGUAUUGUAUCAGGGAAAUAAGAAGAGCAGAAAGAGUUUUCUUUUGCUUGUUUGUUGUGGCUCCAUGAGAGCUAUUCCUGUACAUGUACAAAUCUCCAUUUUCAGGGCCAAAAAAGGGGAUAAUGUCGCAGAGCUAAGCAAGUGAUUAUUAUUAAUAAAAGAACUCUAUGCAUGUAACUCUUGGGAUUAAGAUUCUCCCUAAUCUUAGCUUAUUUAAUCUUUUUUUAAUAAUUUGAUUUUGAUCCCAGUGUAAAUUUCAUUUACGUGCGGUCAAGAUUUAUUAAUUUAUUUUUUAAUAAAUCCUUUUGAAAAAAGUUCUUGAUACAUUUUUAUUUUUAGCUCAUAUGUUCUUUAACCAACGCUAAACAUGAAGCAUGUUUUCUCUAAAUUUAGUCAAUACAGGCAUGAAAUAACUUUGCUUAUUAUCCAUUACAGAAUUAGUUUGAGCGCUUAAUUUUAUCAAUUGAAUCUCAUAAUACUCGUUCAUAUUAAGUUAGAUUGAUAAUAGUAAUUUUCAAAAAACUUUAUUAUAAAUAGUAAAAUUUUAUCAUAUUUUUAUAUUUUUUUCUUUUAACAUGAAGAGUGGGCAAUGUUUAAAUUUAUUUUUUAGUCCAUUGCUUCCUAAAACUCAAACUUAAAUGCCUAGUUAAAUAAAACUGUUUGAAGAAACAGAAAUAGCAUGUAAGAUCUUAAAACAAAGAAAUUCAAGUCAAAUCCUACAUAAGUGCUUUUAGAGUUUGGACUCACUUGUACAAUGUGAUAAUGAUAUGGUCCAUUUUGUUAGCUUGAAGAUGAUGAAACCAAAUUGAGGUUGGUGAAAGUUGCGUGAAAAUCACCUUCAUCAAUAGGUAACAACUAAAGAAGGAAACUAGUUCGAUGUAUAAAAGAAAAUUAUGGGUAACAAUUAGGGAUGACCACUCAAUUUUAUUGUUACCUAGAAAUUGAAGAAUGAUGGACGAUAGCAAUAAAAACGACAAUUCAGGAUUUAGUGACUCUAUCGAAUUAAUUUAUUUUUCAUGUAGGUAUUUUAUCAUUAUGUAAAAUAGGCUAGUCUUGCGUGACACAAAUCCAGCAUGGCUGACAUAACAUGAGAGUUUAAAUGAAUGUAUUCCAAUCUCACAUUUUAAGUUUAUGUGCGAUUUUUUUGGUAUUGUUGUUGGAGAGAUGUAGCCUAAAAGAACUACAGGCGCGAAAGAUUGACCAACGGUUGAAGCCCAACAAGACAUGAAUAUUAAUAGUCAAUGUAAAAGGAACUAAUUAGCACAAGAAAAUGUACAUUUAAUAAAAAUAAAAAUUUUUAUUUUAUCACUUAUAAUGUUGAUUAAUGUGCUCAUAACCCUUAUAUUAUCUUAUUGUUUUUCUAAUGUAAUUUUAUGUUAAAUUAUAUUCUAUUACGUAAAUUUUCAUCUUAAUUAUUAUAUUUUUUUUGUUAGCUAUUUCUUAAAUCAAUCAGAGCUUACUGAAUAAUUGGGCACAAUAUUAAUUGCUAAUUUGGACAAGCACAUGGGUAGUCAAACUACCAACAGGAAUUUAAAAAAAAACAAAGAAGAAAAGGACAAUAACUUUUCAAAUCAUUCACGUGAAGAGGACUUUUUGCCCUAAAUUUUGUUGGCUACUUGGCUUAGGAAUUAUAAAGAGGGCAAGGUUGCAUUAUUUUAGAAAGAAGCCGAAAAGUGCCUUGGAUUGUUAUAUAUAAAAAAAGGAAGGUGGGGGCAGCAAUUUGGCUAUAUAACUAUGAGAAGUUGAAGCAUCUGGGGUGUGCCAAAGGCUGCGUGCAGAAGAGGAGGUGAGAAACGAAAGGUUUGAUCUCCAAAUUUCCUCUCCUUUCUUUUUUAUUUAAUUUUCUUGUAACUUGUUUCAGAACUUUAAAUUUAAUUCAUAAAUAAAUCUAGUUCAAAUAAAUAUAAUUUUAUGUUCAUCUUAGCUAUUUUAAUUUUUAAUUAUGUGUAAUUCAAUUUUAACAAUUAUUUUGAUUUUAAUUAUGUUUAAUUAAAUAAUAAUAGUUAAGAUAAAGUGAAACUCUUAGUAGAAAAACAUGAUUUAAUCAAACUCCACUUUUAAUUAUAUAAAUUAAAUUAGUUUCUAUUUAAUUUUAUCCAUAUUUUAUAUUUUGAAAUCUUGAUGUAUUGUAGAUAAACAAGGGAGUUUGGCACAAUAAUUUUUCAUUAUCUUAAUAUAAGGUAUAGUAAAAUAAUAUUUUGAAUUAUUGUAGACAAAUUGAAUUUUGACACAUUAAGUACUUAAUCCAUAAUAAAAUUAAUAGGAAAAUAAUGAUAAUUUCUACAGUUAAUCUUUUGGGCAAUAAACAAAAUAAAAAGAAAAGAAUUUACUAAAUUACAAUUAUUACUAAGAGUGGAUCCAUAACUCAACUAAUUUAUUUCCAUAAUUUCAUUUAAAUUAAAUAGCGUGUAUUUAAAUUAUAUGUUUUUUGGUUCCUAGAUAAAUUAAAGGAAAUUAACAAAAUAAACAUUUUCUCUUUGAGUCGACCUUAAACUCACCGAUUUAUAUUAUAACAUGACAUUUUUACACUUGAAAGUUACAAAUCACUUUUGAGUCGUGUCAUCAAACUUUUAAUCAAGCCUAACACAGAAAUCGAUCAUCCGAGAUAUUCAAAACGAUUCAUCUGUCGCAAUUUAUCCAUGCAACUUCAAUUCCUCUAUUGUUCAGAGAAAGAACAGUUGAAAAUAACUAACUAAUUAAUUAAUGCAGUAAGUCUCUUAAUUAAAAUAUUGGACAUUGGCACAUUGCUCCGCUGAUGUUUAAACUUUCCUCCCCUUUUAACACACUAUUGAAGAUAACUAACUUAACAUAAAUAAAAGAAAUCACUAUUUGAUUAUUUUUUACUUGUAAAAAAAUAUUUAUGAUUAUGUACAAAAAUUCAAUAUUUACAUCAUGUUAGCACCUUUUUCAUUAUGAUAUAAUUAAGGUGUGUAGCUUGUUUAGCACACUUUUUUUCAUGGGUUCAAGAAUAGUCUCUACCUAUUUUUCUUUUCGGGUUAUUUUUACAUACCUUCCCUGAGGUUUCACGUAAUAACAGUUUAAUAGAAAGUAUGAUAGUAUUAUUACAUCCCUCCCCUACUGUUAGUAUUUCUGUCAGUAUAGUAUCAGUAUAUAAGGCUAAAAUUGUAAAAGCGCAUUUAACAUUUAAAAAACUUAAAAAGUUAGUUGUAGUGGCAUUGGUAAGUGCGAAACACCUACUACAUCACCCCAUUGCCCAAAAGAAAAAUCUCUUCACAAAAGUGUAAAUCUUAUGCAAAAUGAUUUACACUCAAGCAACAUUCACCCCUCAGCAGCUUAAGUGUGAAAACAAGCAAGUAUUAUUGAGUUUGAAGAUCUUGAUCAUCACUAUUUUGAACUUACCCACGAAGAAGACAAGCUUCGAUGCUGAUAGAAGACUACUGACGAGCGAGUACAGACGGUGACGUGGUUCUGCGAUUGGUAUUGGAGCCAAGAAGAGGUUAGCCUUUGUUAAACACUAUUGCAUGUAAAUUAUAGCUUAGAUUUUCUUCGUUUUAGAUAUAUAAAGUGGAAAAAUUGGUGCUGCCGUGUUGUGGAUGUUUGUUGUAAAGGAUUAUGGGUUUUGAUAUAUGUUGAAUUAGCAAAAAAAUCAUGUUGUUUUGGUUAUUAUCCUGCGAUAUAUCAACUAUAUAGAAACUGUACAGAGCUUAACAAAUCAUAUACUUCAGCUUAAAUGUGCAGCGUUUAUGUAAUUGGAAAUGGAAAAAAUGGGUAUGUUUUGUUUGUUUGAAGUCAGAGGCUUUGUUAUUGUGAAAUGGCUUGUUUUUUUCCGUUACUUGGCUAGUGAAAAUGAUAAUGGAAUUUUCAGUCUGUACAAUGGUUGUUUGUACCUCUCAGCCUUGAAGGGGUAUUUUUGUCAUUUAGUUGGCUCAUAAACGGUCAACUAACAGAAAUACUAACAGCCGGGGAGGGAUGUAAUAAUACCAUCAUACUUUCUAUUAAAUUGUUAUUACGUGAAACUUCAGGGGAGGUAUGUAAAAAUAACCCAUUUCUUUCCUAUUGAUUGUGGCAGUAUAGAAGAAAGAGACAGCAUAAAGUACAAAAAUAAUAAUAAAUAAAUAAAAGAUUACAACUACCGACAUGUCUCGCUAGCCCAGUUGCGCAUUCAUGUCUUGCUAGCCCGUCAAUUUGGCCACUCUAUUUUAUUAACUUUUUGAUUAAGUGUUUGGUAACUAAGAAAAUACAGGAAACAAAAAGAAAAUCAAGAAUCCAUAUUAAGAAAAUGAAGAAUAUGAUGGUCCUUAGUUCAGCUAUAUUUUGCCAAAAAAAUCAUAUUCUUUCUGAUAUAGUUGAUCAAUCCCUUCCCUUCCGAUAAAAUUGAAGAUGCAUCCUUGUAUGCAUCCAUUUUGAGAUGAUAUUUUUGUGUUCGUUUUAUUAUAUUUUUAUUUUUCUAAGAUAAAGGAUGAACAAAGUUUAAAUUUAUUUUUUAUCCGUUACCUCUUUAAAAUUCAAACUCAAUUGGCCAAUCAAAUAAAACUUUUUGAAUAAAUAGAAAUAGCACAUAAGAUCUUAGAAUAAAAAAAUUUAAGUCAAAUCUUGAUGUAGGAAGCAUAUAGGAUAGAAUAAAUUAGAAAUUAUAUAUUUUGAGUCAAUUUAGCACUUAGCAUUUUACUAAGAUUUAUCUUAUUUUAUUAAGUUUAUUUAAGUCGUAUUUUUAAUUCUAUUUUAAUUAGGAUUUUAAAUUAUUUUUCUUAUUUGACAAGGAUUAUGAUUAAAUUAAUUACUAGUAUAUAUACGGUUAUUAUUCAUAGUUUGUUAGACCACCUUUAAACUUUUUAUUAAUAAUAUUUUAGAUUAUUCUCUUUGAGUUUAUCUUUGUCGUUAAUUCGAUGUUUAUCUUUGAAAAUUAUUCUUUCUUGAGUUUCAAGAACAUAUGCUGAACAACAUCUAGUAUAAAAUUAUUCUUUCUUGAGUUUCAAAAAUAUAUGCUAAAACAACAUCUAGUAUUGCUUCUGCACUACAUCAAGUGGAAUCAAAGCCUUUCUCUAUGCCAAGCAGAGCUUUCCUGACCACCAACCACCCUCCAUACACAAAUCCUUCCUCUAUCAUCUAUUAAUUCUAUCAAUUUAAAAAAAGAAAAGAAAUCAACCUGAAGCCACCAUCACAGCCGAUGUACACAGUCGUGCCUCACCUUUUUUCCAUUGAUUUUCAAUUCGAUCUUCUCUACCAUCUGAACACCCACAAGACACCGACUAUAUCCCAACCAUCAAGUUCUCUGAUCCACCACCGUAGCCACUGAAACACAUCAAAACAGCCACAAACUGCCGCACAAAUUACCACUCAGUUUGCUUCAACCACCACCACCACCACCAAUCUGAUCACUGUUAUCAGACAUUUCUUUCUAUACCAUCAUCUCCAUCAUCCAGUUCACCGUUCAUUAGAAACGAAGCCAUUACUCCCACCGCCAUUUCAAUCUAAUUUUCUGGUCAAACCAUCAAGACCCAAGUCAAACCACCACCAACACCACAUUCACCGACAUCAACUCUACCAGAUCUGCCCAUCCUUGUUCAAUUUUUCGAUCACCGUCGUCGGCAACCCAUCUUUUGCUUAUUUACAGUUUUGACACAAUACUUUAUUUUAAUUACAUUAUUGGCCUUUAAUUUUUCUGUUCUUACAAAAAACCAAAAAAAGAGAAAAUUAAAAAAAAAAGUGGUAUUAUGAGAUAUAGAGAAGAUGAUGGUGAGCUUUUCUAUUACGAUGAAUUUAUUGAUCUUAAGAAUAUUUUUGAUUGGAUCUUCAACAUUGAAGAUAUUUCAGAGGAUAAACAUGUUAAGUAUGUGUCCUCUAAAUUAAUGGGAUAGACAUCACAAUGGUGGACAAACUUACAAGCAACGUGAAUUCGAAUGGAAGAGACAAGAUUCGAACUUGUAUAACAUGAAAAAGAACAUAAAAACUUAUUUUAUUCUUUUUGAAUAUUUUCAGACUAUCUGAUGUAAAUUUGAUAAGUGUCGAUAGGGAAUGAAAUCUAUCCAAGCCUAUCCUUCUCAAUUGCAAGGUUACUAUUGUCGUGUAAAUUUUUAUGAAGACAAUGUCCUGUUAAUUUUAAGAUUUGCAGGAGGAUUAUGUGAUGAGAUCAAAGAACGAAUUCCUUUGCAGUCUGUGAUUGAUCGUGACUUUUGGGAUGUCGUCAAAAUCACUUUACAAGUUGAAAUGAAAAUCCAAAGAGAAAGUAGUUAAGCAAUGAAGAAGUUAAGUCAAUCACACUCAUCACAUCAAUCUAAGAUCCCUAGUCCUAUCACAAGUCAACAACCUAAUAUCACAAGCCAAAAGCCUAUAGUGGAAGACUUCUAGAUAAAAGAAGUUUAUGCUUCUUCACUUUGUUGAAGAUUUGCCUAAUCUUGCAGAAGAAAAUGUACAAUUUAUUAUUGAUUUGAAGUUUUAAUAUAUGAAGUUGUGUGAGAAUGUGGAUGAUGUUUCCUUGGAAGACAAGACUAGUGUUGAAGAUGAUGGGAUUAUUAAUCUACCUGAGAUUUUUAAAGAAGAAGUACGACCUCCUCUUGAUUUGAGUAUUGAGCUAAUAGUAUGAUCGGAGUUAUGAAGCAAAAUAAAGUUGAAGAAGUUGAAAUGAUUAAUAUGGUUUUACCUAUUCAUAUUGAAGACAAGAAAGUUGUGCUUGCAGAAAAUUUGAUCGAAAACGUGAAAUUUGUUGGAGAGCACACUGAGUGAUUCUUUCUUGGAAGUCUUUAUUGCCUCGAAGAAUGUAAAUAGGAAAUUAAUGAAGUACGGAUUCUUUUCAAAGUUUCAAGAAAAAUUGAUGUGAAAUACUAUGAGUUUGAGCUUCAAGAUGUGUUGUGAAAAUUUUAAUAUACUCGCAAGCGCACGAAUCUAGAGUUAGAAUAGUGGUAAUGAGGUCGAUCCCACAUGGAUUGUUAUAAAUUGAAAAGUCUAAUUUAAAUCUAAAAUUAAUAUUAAUUCUAACCUAGUUGAGCAAAUUGAGUAUUAAGAGAAAUUAAACUAAUCAAACUAAGAAAAUAAUUAAAGCAAAGGAGAAUUCAAUAAGACAAAAAUUACCAAGGUUUCAGAAUCCACCACUAUUCAACUAAUAAUUAUCUAAUUAUUAAUUAAUCCUCAAUUUUAGUGUGACAACUCGAAAUCAAUUUAUGUCAUCUCAUAAAUAUCACAAUUAAGCCCAAAUAAAAUUAAUCUUGUGUAGGUUCGUUUUCUACUUAAUAGUAUGACAUCUAAGCAUCCCAUGUAAAUAUAUUGAAUAACAAAGAGUCAAAGUUUUUCUAAGUACUCUGUGUAAACAAUUUAAUGAAAGACACGAAAUCAAAGAUGAUCAUGUAUAAAUUUUAUAGACUCAAGCAUAGAUUUAAUCGAAUAUUAAUCCUAACAAACAAUAAUGCAUGACAAAAUUGAUGAAAAUUUUUUAAUAGCAUCCAACUAAUCAUGUGAAAUAAAAACCAUAAUCAUCAAAGAAAAUAUAUAGGAAAUUAAUUAAAUAAAAAGAUAAUUAUUUUAUUGAAUAGGGUUUCAUCCUUAACCUCAGUAAAAGAAAAUUAGCUAGACGUACUUGAAUUGUGAGCAACAAAAUAAACAAAACCAGCCAUGGAAAUUAAAUUGCUACUGCCGUUGCUUUAUUCUUCUCUCCCAGCCUUGCGUCUUCUCCUCUUGUGGCUGCCUCAUUCAAAAGCCAAAACUCUCUUUUUAUAAUGCUUAGCCAUUGAAUCCUCUUUGAAUACUAAUUAAAAUCCUUUUCCAAUUAUAAAAUAAAUCUUCCAAAUUAACGCCACCAUAAGCCAUUACUUUCCACUUUUGAAAGCCAAGUGCGGGUCCCUUUAAAUUGCUUUCCACAUAUUGCAAUGCCAUGCACGUGCAACUCAAUUGGAGAAUUGAAAUUAUAAAAUCUUAACUCUAUCACGGCUUCGAUUGAUACUCCCCGAAAUUGUUAUUCUUUUAACAUUUUUUAUUCCUAAUCUCCAAUUUAUUCCCUAAUCAAUAAAACAAUUCAAUUAAUUAAAAAUAACAAAUAAAAUUAACUAGCAAAUAUGUAAUAAAGGGUAAAAUAUGUAUAUAAAUUAUGCUCAUCAAGAUGCAUUGCUACACUACUUUAAGUUUUCAACAAAACUCAAAGAUGAGUUAUUUUCAAAGAGGAGACUGAUGUAGGAAGCAUAUAGGGUAGAAUAAAUUAGGAAUUCUAAAUUUUGAGUCAAUUUAGUAUUUAACAUUUUAUUAGGAUUUAUCUUAGUUUAUUAAGCUUAUUUAAGUCGUAUUUGUAAUUAGAAUUUUAGAUUAUUUCUCUCAGUUGACAAGGAUUAUGAUUAACUUAGCCACUAGUAUAUAUAAUAUUAUUCAUAGUUUGUUAGAACACUUUUAAACUUUUUAUCAAUAAUAUUUUAGAUUAUUCAUUUUGUGUUUAUUUUUGUUGUUAAUUGGACUUUUCUCUCUUUGAAAAUUAUUGUUUCUUGAGUUUCAAGAAUGUACGCUAGAAUGACAUUUAGUAUUGUUUCUGCACUACAUCAAAUCCUACAUAAGUGCUUUUAGAGUUUAAAUUCAACUGUAAAAUGUUAUAAUGAUAUGGUCCCUUUUGUUAGCUUGAAGAUAAUGAAACCAAAUUGAGGUUGGUGAAAGUUGUGUGAAAAUCAUCUUUAUCAAUAGGUGACAACUAAGGAAGAAAACUAGUUUGAUGUACAAAAGAAAAUUAUAGGUGACAAUUAGUGAUGGACACUCAAUUAAAUUUUUAGCUAGAAAUUGAAGAAUGAUGGAUGAUACUAAUAAAUUGACAAUUCGGGAUUUAGUGACUCAAUCGAAUUAAUCCAUUUUUCAAUAUAGGUAUUUUGUCAUUACGAACUACAUAUCUAAAUUAAGCCAAUUCGGCAUAAAAAAUUUGGCUGUUGACGUGACAGAAGAGUUUAAAUGGAUAUAUUCCAACCUCACAUUUUAAGUUUAUGUGCGAUUUGUAUGGUAUUGUUAUUGGAGAGCUACCAAAAAAUUACCAAAGCAGUCAAAGAUAAACCAAUGGCAAAAGCCAGCAAGACACGAAUAAAUACUAAUGGGUCAAUGUUGUGAAGGGCCUAGGCCAAAAAUUAAGCCCAACACACCCGUCAAUCAUUGGAUGACAAUGGGGUAGGGUGGGGGUGGGGAGACCUACCCCAUUCCCCAUCCCAUUAAAAAUUUUGCCUCCAUUUCCCCACCUCAUUCCCCAAUAAAUUUAGUAGGGUGGGGAUGGGGAAUUCCCGCGUGGGGAAUGAUUUCCCCAUCCUCACUCCAUUUCCCAUUUAUUUAUUUUAUAAUAGAUAAAGAUAAAUGAUUUCAAUAAAUUAAAAAUUAAAGACUUAAAUAAAAUCAUUACCACAUUAUAAAAUAUUUAAAUUAUUUAGAAAAUCUCCCAAUAUUUGAAACAAUAUCUUGAAAUGAUAUCAAAAAUGAAAAAUAUUUGAAGAGAAUAGUAUCUUAAGAAAGAAAAGAAAACAUAAUAAUAUUUUAGGGUUUAAUAAAAAUUAUAUUAUAGAGUUUUGUUUUAGUUAUAACCCGUUUAUAUCAAGUAAAAAUAAAAAGAAACUUUAUUAACUAACAUUAUAAUUGAUAAAACAAAAAUUAGAAAAAUAUUUAUAUAUAAUGGGGAUUGGGGUGGGAGUGGGAUGUGGAGUACAAAACCAAACCCGACUCCGUUAAAAAUUUAGGGAUUAUUUUCACUCAUUCCCCAAAAAUAAUUCAAAAUUUACCCUAUUUAGGGUGGAGCCUCAUAGGCCCAAAUCCAUGGAGGAUUUGCCAUCCCUAAAUCAUCUAAGAUAUUCAAAACAUUUCAUCUGUGGUAAUUUUUCUAUGCAACUUCAAUUCCUCUAAUGCUUAGAGAAAGAGCAGUUGAAAAUAACUAACUAAUUAAUUAAAGCGGAAAGGAUCUUAAUUAACAUAUUGAAUGUUGCUUCGCUGACGUUCAAACUUUUCUCCUUUUUUAACACACUAUUAAAACAACUUAACAUAAGUAAAAGAAAUCACAAUUUGAUUACUAGAAAAAUUUCAUAAUUAUAUACAAAAUAAUAUUUACAGCUUGUUGGCGCCUUUUCCACUAUGAUAUAAUUAAGUGUGUAGCCUUUUCAGCACACCUUUUUUUAUCAUUUCAAGAAUUGUCUCUAGUUAUUUUUAUGGGAAAUUAUCCACCGUCCACUAGUUUUUUUCUAAUUUUUUUAAAAAUACACAAUUCUUUUUUUUUUUUUUGCUGGAAUCCACCUAAAGUUACAUUUCUUUUCACUUUUUCACUUCCGUUUGGAGACCGUUUAGAAAACUAAUGGAAUAUUGUUUAAAUGACUUUUUUACCCUCAAAUGUAAAAGAUAAAUUAUCCACCGACCACCUUUUUUUUCGUAUUUUUUCAAAAAUACACAAUUCUUAAUUUUUAUUUUUUGCUGAACUCUACUUGAAGUUAUAUUGUUUUGCACAUUUCCACCAUUGUGUCGUUGUGAAAUGACAAUUUUACCCUUAUGAUGUCAGUAAAAUUCUAACAGUGUUAUAACGAGAGUGGACCAAUUAAAAAAAUGUUAACUUCAAGUGGAGCACUGCAAAAAAAAAGAAAAAAAAAUUGUGUAUUUUUUUAAAACGAUGAAAAAACAUGUGGACGGUGGAUAAUUUUCCAAUUUUUAUUUCAUAUUGAUUGUAGCAGUAUAGCAAAAAGGCACAUCAUAAAGUAUAAUAACCUGGAAAAAAAUCAACAGGAUAAUAAAAUUUAUCAAUCUGUAUCAACACAUCCUUUAUAAUCCCACGAGAUAAUUUCAUUGACCUAUCAGCAAGUUGCAAAAUAAUAGAAGUUGAUUUUAACUCACCUAGUCCUAGCUGCAUGUAAACAUAAUAAGGCAAGAGAUUAACACUAGCACCUAAGUCCAAUAAUGCUUUAUCAAACAAUUGGUUCCCUAUAACACAUAAGAUAGUAGGGGAACCUGGAUCCUUAAAUUUUGGUGGCAUUUUACAUUGAAGUAAAUUGCUAGUUUGUUCAGUUAAAAAUGUUUUUUUGGUGACAUGCAAAUUUCUCUUUUUAGUGCAUAAAUCUUUCAAAAGCUUGGCAUAAGAAGGAACUUGCUUAAUAGCAUCGAGUAAAGGGAUGUUUAUACUUACCUGCUUGAAGAUUUCUAUAAUCUCACCUGUUGAAGUCAUUUUCUUUACCUUUGUUAACCUUUGAAGAAAAUGAGCCUUGGGAAUGUAAGCUGGCGGGCCAAUCUCUUCUAAAUCAUUUGGUGAUGAGUCUUGUGAUGGAGUUGAAUCUGAAGAAGUAGGUUCAGAUGUCUUCCUUGUUUGAACCUCCAUUUUGUUGUCAAACAAUUUUCCUCUUCUCAAGGUCAUAAUAGACUUUGCUUCUUCAUGCUGAUGACUUGAACUCGAUCCAACUUCGUGCACUCCUUUAGGAUUGGGAAUUGGUUGACUUGAGAAUUUUCCUUUUUCUCUCUCCGCUACAGUAGUUGCUAAUUGACCCAAUUGAUGUUCAAGCUUUAGAAUAACUUGAGUGUUUGACUGAAAAGCUUGUUGGGUUGACUGAAUGAAACUUUGAACUGUAUCCUCUAAAGAAGGUUUUCUUUGUUGGGGUGCAACAAAUUGAGACAUAGGUUGUUGGGCAGGAGAAUAUACUUGGUUAGGAGGGACAAAUUAUUGAUUGGGCAAGCUAAAUUGUUGUCCUCUUUGGUUUGACAAAGGCUGAUUUUGUUUCCAAGAAAAAUUAAGGUGAUUCCUCCAAUUAGGAUUAUAUGUGGGUGAAUAUGGAUUAUUGGAGGUUUUCUCAUAUGAUUGUAAGGCAUGUACCUGUUCAGAAUAAGCCUCUUGAUAGGCUGGUAAUGAUGGACAAUUAUGUGCUGUAUGAGACAAGUUAGAACAAAGAGCUACACUAGGAUGAUGAUUCAUUAAUUGGUUCAAAGCUAAGGCAUCUACUUUCCUAGAAAGUGUAGCUAGAGUGGAUUUCACAUCAAAAUCAUCCUUAACUUCAUAUAACCCCUUUCUAGAAACUUGAGAUGACUUUUCUUCAAUUUAAAAAAUCCUACUGUUGAGAAUUCUCAGAAAGUGAAUUAAAAAAAUCUCAUGCAGCCCCUUCAUGUAGGUUCAAGAAUCUCCCACCAUUCAUAGACUCUACCAUAUGACGAUUUGACAUAAUUAAACCAUUAUAAAAGCAUUGUAUAAGUCUCCAUUUCUCAACACUCAUAAAAUUACUCACCAUCUCUUUGAUAAAAAUCACUUAUCUCUUUCCUAAGGGCAUUUGUUUUAGACAUAGGCAAAAACUUGGUGAGGAACUUAUUACUCAAUUCAUCCCACGUAGUAAUAGACUCAGCAGGAAGUGAAUUCAACUAAGCUUUCGCUUUGUCUUUUAAUGAGAAAGGGAACAUACGAAGCCUAAUUGACUCAUCAUUAAAAUUUUGAAAAAGGAAUGUAGAGCAUAUGUCAAGGAAUUCCUUAAUGUGCAAAUAAGGAUCCUCUCUCUAACCCAUGGAAAGAUGGUAAAAGUUGAAUGACAGAGGGCUUAAGUUCAAAGUGUGUUGCUGUAGUUUGUGGCAACACAAUACAAGAUGGUUGGUUGGCUGCAAGUGGUGAAAAAUAUUCUCUAAGGGUUUUCUCUGCUUGCACUUGUGGAAGUAUUGGCAAUAGACUAUUUGGGUCAUCCAUCACUUUUGAAGAACUAUCUCGACUACUAUCAAUUUUUUACUCUUUUUUAACCAAACGAUUUGUUGAAUCACGUUCCCAAACACUCAUAAACUAACUAGACAAGGAAAGAAAGAAAAAUAAAAUAAACCAACAAUAAUGAAAAUAAAUAAAAUUUAAAAUAAUAGAAAUAAAAAAACUGAAAAUGAAUUUGAAGACAAAUAAGUUUUUUUUUUGUGUUUUGUUUUUUUAAAAGAAAAAAAUAAAAGACAACCUAAAUUAUAACUAGUGGAAGAAUCAAAUCAACCUAGAUUAAACUGACUUUCUAACACAAUCCCCGGCAACGGUGCCAAAAACUUGUUGUGAAAAAAUUUAAUAUACUCACAAGCGCACGAAUCUAGAGAUAGAAUAGUGAUAACGAGGGCGAACCCACAUGGAUUGUUAUAAAUUGAAAAGUCUAAUUUAAAUCUAAAAUUAAUAUUAAUUCUAACCUAGUUGAGCAAAUUGAGUUUCUAAUAAAAUUAAACUAAUUAAACUUAGAAAAUAAUUAAAAUAAAGGAGAAUUCAAUAAGACAAAAAUUACCAAGGUUUCAUAAUCCACCACUAUUUAAUUAGUAAUUAUUUAAAUAUUAAUUAAUCCCCAAUUUUAGAGUGACAACUCGAAAUCAAUCUAUAUCAUCUCAUAAAUAUAACAAUUAAGUCCAAGUAAUUAAAUCUAGUAUAGGUUCUUUUUCCACUUAAUAGUAUGAUAUCAAAGCAUCCCAUGUAAACAUAUUGAAUAACAAAGAGUCAGUUUUUCUAAACACUCUAUGUAAACAAUUUAAUGAAAGACAUAUAAUCAAAGAUAAUCAUGUAUAAACUUUAUAGAUUCAAGCAUAGAUUUAAUCGAAUAUUGAUCCUAACAAUCAAUAAUGCAUGACAGAAUUGGUGAAAAGAUUUGAAUAACAUAUGUAUAUAAAUUAUGCUCAUCAGAGAUAAACCCUUCCAAUGAACUAACACCUCCCCUUUCUUCCUGCAAGUAUGCUGAUCCAAUAUUGCUUGAGGAGUUGGUACCACCAAGUCAUCUUCAUUAAUGUUUGGUACAGUUGGCAACGCUAGUUAACGUUCACCAAUUUUCUUUUUCAGCUACGAGACAUGAAAAAGUGGAUGAAGCUUGGAAUUUAGAGGCAAACGAGCUGACAGCUUGAAAUUUCCGAUCUUCUCAAUCACCUCAAAUGGUCCAUAAUAACGAGCUGACAGCUUGAAAUUCUUUCGUAAAGCCAAAGAUGUAUGUCGAUAAAGCUGAAGCCUGAGAUACACAAAAUCACCAACUAGAAACUAUCAUUCUCUAUGCUUUGAAUCAUACAACUUCUUCAUUCGUGCUUGUGCCUGAAAGAUACAAUCACGAACCUCUUUAAGAACAUGAGCUCAAGCAACUAACUCUUGCUCCACAGCUUCUAACCUUGCUGUUUGUUGGUGUAUAUUCUAAUGCUAUUAGUGUCAAUGUGCAAAUGUACACAACAAGUAAUAAAGUUAUGAGUAUUCAAGAUCGUCUCCAUAUGGAUUGAUGUUAUCAGAUUUGCUACAACAAUAUUAACAGUGCAGAUUUUGUGCUAAAUUAAAAUAAAACAAUUAGUGAAAAUAUUAUACUAAAAAAAAUAAAAACGCAAUAAAUAAAAUGCAAUAAAUAAAAUGCAACAAAGUAAAUUAUCACGUCAAACUCAAGGAUAAAACAAAUGGGAAUAUAGAGUAGUUGAGUGAAUAAACUCUCUUAAUGGUCUUGACUAUUUUCUAAUGUUUGGCUCGGUUGCUACAACAUUUGCUACAGCACUGGGCAGAAUCCUUAUGUAUCCUCAACCGUCGCAUGUUGGAUAUCUUAUAUCUAUAUGCAACCUAACAGUGAUCAGUUAUUAUGCCAACAUAAGAUAUAUCAUUACACACUUAGGUUCUAUUUACCCUACAAGGUGAAUCCCUAUGUGUAGUUCAUCACUAAUGUUGGAUUAAGCAUGGCCCUUUUGGGAUAAGUUAAACUCAAUCCAGGAAACCCAAUCUAAAACUAAGUAUUGCUUUGAUAUAUUCCACUAAGAUAGGCCAUUUUGCGGCUCUCUCUUAACUUGUAUCAUUAAAUGGGUGAUCAACCGAAAUAAUGAAUAAAAAUAAAUACUAUAAAAACAAACUGCUACAUCAAACAAGCAGCAGCACCUAUAUUCAGUCAAUAAACCAUCAAGAUUGUUUAUCACUCAACAACAAAUAAAUUUAGUUCAUGAUUUGCAAAGAAAAAUAAAGAACAAAGUUUCAGCCAUAAAACACAUCCCCAUGAAUAAAUAGAAAACUCGAAAACAAGAGAAGGAUAAAAAGAAUUGAGCUCCCAAUUGAUCUUUGUAAUUUUUCCUCUUGUGCAGCCCUUAAUCUCUCUCUUGAAUCUUGUUUUUCUUUUGUUUCUUCGUGUUUUUCUCCUUGGGUGACGGCCCCCUCUAUUCCUUAAGAUGUGUGCUUCUUUUAUAGCUGAAAAUUAGGGUAAACAGAAGCCUAAAGCGCACAUAAGUCAGAUUAGGAAACUGCAGAUAGCAAUUCUACAAGUAUCCUGCGCAGAAUUUUCUCUGUCGUUGUUCCAGGAUUGCUACAGCAAUGUUGCUACAGCAACGGCUACAGCAACUGCACUGUUCCAGAUUUGUUUCAAUUCUUUUGUAGCUAAGUUCUUCCUCAUUUUUGCAAGCCUAUUGCAUCCGCAUUCCUUCCAUGAAUUAUAAGCUUCUGGAAACCUACAAUUAAGCACACAAUUUGAGCACGAACUACUUUAAAUUAAGCAAAACUUGUUAAGACUAAACUAAAAUGAACAUUUAUGCAAAAUGUAAUAAAAAUACAAUAGAAACACAUCAUUUACUCUCUAAGUAAUCUUGAUUUGAGUCUAGAAUUUCCAUAAUAACUCUCAUUUCAUAGAGUUAUUACUGUUCCUGGAAUAUAAUCAACCAACUUCGGAGGUUCUCAGCUAUAAACAAUUUCGAAAGGUGUUUUUUGAAGCACCGAAUGCCAACUUGUAUUGUAGCAAAACUCCGCCCAGGUUAACCACCUCAACCAUUCUUUUGGUUUUGCAUUGGUAAAGCAUCUAAGAUACAUCUCCAAGGUCCGAUUUACAACCUCACUUUGGCCAUCAGUCUGAGGAUGAUAGCUCAAAUUAAAAUUAAAUGAAGUUCCAUUCAAACAAAACAAUUCUCUCCAAAAGGCACUUGUGAAUGUUGGAUCCCGAUCACAUACAAUAGAUUUUGGUAACCCAUGUAGCUAAAACACAUUAUCAAAGAAUAAUUUUGCUACCCCAACAACAGUAUAUGGAUGAGAAAGAGGAAUAAAGUGAGCAUAUUUUGAUAAUCUAUCAACUACAACUAAAAUAGUUGUCUUACCACCAAAAUGAGGCAGCCCUUCAACGAAGUCCAUCGAAAUAUCAUCCCAAAUCCUCAAUGGAACAGAGAGUGGCUGUAAUCAACCAGCAGGUGCCAUGUGCUCAGCUUUAUUUCAUUGACAUGUAUCACAGCUACGAAUAACCUCCUUAAUUUGUUUCCUCAUUUUUUCUAAUGAAAACUAGCUUUAAUUUUUUUAAAGGUCUUCACGUAACCUUCAUGGGUACUUCUAUGGAACUCAUUAAUGAUUGAAGUUGUAAGCUUUGAGUCAGGUACAAGAUAAAUACGCCCUUUAAACAAGAUGAUUCCCUCAACAAUCUUCCAUAGUCCAAUAGCCUCACCUUGUUGAGUUCGAGCCUGUAGCGCCUGAAGAGAAGAAUUUGUAACUACUUCCUCCUUGAUUGCAUCUAACCAAUGUGGCAUACAAUUAAGUCAGCAUAAACAAUGAGCCCUCAUUAUUUUCGACCUCAUGCCUUCGAGAUAGCACAUCAGCCAAUAUGUUCUCACUUCCCAUUUUAUACUCCACCUAAAAAUCAUAGCCCAUCAAUUUAUAUAACCAACGCUGCUGAGCCGUCGUACUAGUUUUUUGUGCCCACAGAUGCUUCAAGCUGUGGUGAUCAGUCCGCACAAUGAAUUUUCUUCUUAACAAGUACAGCCUCCAUUUCUGAACGGCUAAGACCAAGGCAAGUAUUUCUUUUUCAUAGGUUAAAAAGAGAAGAUUUUUUCCUUAAAGUGCUUGACUAAAGAAAGCUAUUGGUUUGUCCUGUAACAAUACCGCACCUACACCAAUUCCAUAAGCAUCACAUUCAACAAUAAAUGUUUUUGAGAAGUCAGACAAUGAUAAUAUCGGUGCCUUAGUCAUUGCCAACUUAAGCCUUUCAAAUGCCUCAUCUGCUGCCUUGCUUCAUUCAAAGGAAUUCCUUUUCAGCAUCUUAGUAAGGGGAGCUGCAAUCUUGACAUAAUCUUGUAUGAACAUCCGGUAAUAAACCAUUAAUCCUAGAAACCACGCAUAGCCCUAAUAUUUUUCAGUUUAGGCCAAGAAAGCAUGGCAUCUUUUUUUGAAAGGUCAACAGCCUUAUUGCGAUUAGAGAUUAGAUGUCCCAAGUUUAUACCUCCUGUUUCCCGAACUGACAUUUCUCCAUCUUCACCUUAAGCUUGUGGGCUUGUAAAAUAUCAAAAACCACUUUCAAGUGUUCCAAGUGAGUAUCCCAACUUUUGCUAUAAAUAAGUAUAUCAUCAAAAAAGACUAAUUCAAAUUUUCGUAAAUAGUCUUGAAAUACCACAUUCAUGAGUGCUUGAAAUGUUGAAGGAGCAUUAGUAAACCCAAAGGACAUUACAAGAAACUCAUAAUGGCCGUGAUGUGUUCGAAAGGCUGUUUUUUCAAUGUCAUUGGGAUGCAUGCAAACUUGGUGAUAGCCUAACCUCAAAUCCAGUUUGGAAAAAUAUUGUGCCCCCGUCCAUUCAUCUAACAAUUCAUCGAUCACAGGUAUGGAAAAUUUAUCUUUGACUGUAAUUUUAUUUAAUGCCCGAUCGUCCACACACAUUCUCUAUGAUCCGUCAUGUUUUUUGACAAGUAAUACUGGGGAUGAAUAUGGGCUUUUGCUGGGACGAAUAAUUCCUGCGGCUAGCAUCUCUUUGACCAAUCUUUCAAUUUCAUUUUUUUGGAAGUAGGAAUAGCGGUAAGGUGGGAGGGCUGUGGGUUUAUUAUUUGGAAGCAGGGGAAUUCGGUGAUCAUGGCUUCUUUGCGGAGGCAAUCCCACAGGUUCAGUGAGCACAUGAGGAUAUUCUUUAAGGAGCUGUUGAAUUUGAGUGGAAGUUGAAUCAGUUUUCACGUUGAUGCCAUUGUUGCUUAUAAGUUGUAGAACUACACAAUGUUGAGAUUUUUGUUAUCUGAGUCACAGGUGGAGAAGUAACAACUUCGCGACUUAUAUCAAUAAUGCCACGCAAUAUAACUUUUUUAUUUCCUUUGGAAAACUUCAUAAGCAACUUGUCAAAAUCCCAUUGAAUUGGCCCUAACGUCCUUAGCCAUUGUGUUCCUAGCACCGCAUAACAACCUUCCAAUGGUAAAAUAAAGAAAUCAAUUUCAAAAAGGACUUUUUGAAGCCUCACCUGAACUUGGGCACAUCGACCGGGGCUAACAAGUUUUUCUCCUGAAGCAAUCAAUACCUCCAACUUUCCACUUGAAUUAAGUUGUAAAUGGACCCGAUUUGCUGCCUGUGAGCUCACAAAAUUGUGAGUACUUCCUGAAUCAACUUAAAACAGCACUUGUUGACCCAUUAAGCUUCCCUAAAUAUGCAUAGUUUUAGGUGCUCUUGUCCUUAUCACGGCAUGAAAUGAUAUUUCUGGAGCCACAUCCUCACUACCAUUUUCAAUCUCCAUUUCCACAUCGUUUUCCUCUUCCUCCCAGCAUGCUUCAAUCUUGAAAAGUUUUGGACAAUUGUGCCUUGGGUUGUACUUGUUGUUACAAUGAAAGCAAAGGCCCUUCUUUCGUCGUUCUGUUAGCUCUUCUGGCAUCAUUUUCUUGAUGUUUGGGGCUGAAUUAGAGCUACAUCGUUGACUUUCUAUUGCCAAAUGCCAAGAAUUUAUUGCUCGAGAAGGUUGUGUUGUCGUCGCUCGUUUGUGUGCUGUAUCCCUUGCCUCAUAGAGUCGAGCUAACCCAAUUGCCAUGGUCAGCGUUGUUGGUAGAUUUGCCUGAACAUCGACUUGGAUACUCUCCUUUAGCCCUGCAAUAAAACAACUUACUUUUUGUCCUGAGAAAGUGAUCCCACCUUUGCCAACAAUCUCUCAAAUUGAGCUUGAUAAUCAGUCACUGUUCUUGUUUGUCACAACCUGAUCAAUUCAACAAAGUGGUCUUCAAAUUGAUUAGGUCCAAAACGUGAUAAAAUUCCUGCUUUGAAGUCACCCUAUGUUACAUAAAUCAUCUCUUGCUCUAACAUUUGGAACCAUAAUUGAGCAUCCCCUUCCAAAUAAAAGGAAGCUAAGGACACCUUUUUUUACUCUCGUAUCUCAUGGAGACUAAAAUACUUUUCAACCCUACAAAUCCACAUUGUUGGCUAUUCCUUGCCGUCAUACUUAAGAAAAUCCAAUUUUACAGUUCGUGGCAUGAAGUUGUGGAAAUUUUCAUUUCCUCUUGGUGAAGUGUGAACCAUUGGACCUUCGUUGAAUGAAGUCUCUCCGCUUUUAGUAGUUCUUCUACCACCAAAUUGUUGAGCGAGCUGUUCUAACUUUUCAGUAGCUUGAUUCAGUAAUUCUUUAUUAAACUUAUCCAUGCUUUCCUCAAUUUGCUGAACUCUAUCGUUAAGCUCCAUCAAUCUGGCUCUGAUACCAAGCUGUUACAAUCACUUUGGUUUUGUGUGGAAUUAACUUUGCAAAGAAAAAUAAAAUUAAGAGUAAUGACACUUCGAGGGGUCAAUCUCCUCCUUAAGACUCAAGCCUUAUUCUGAAUUCUUUUCAGGAUCCUUAUUCAAUAAUCAAUUGAAAAUUAAAUACAAGAAAUUGCUAACUAAACCCAAGAAACCAGGAAAUAAUAUCCAAAAUAAUCAGGAAAGCUUUGGACUCGCUCAUACCAACUACAUACACUCAAAACAAAUUAAAAAAUAAGGUUGACUUAGUCUUUACGUUUAUUGCCCACCAAACUCCAUACUUCUAAGUAGUUGCUUUGCACGUGCCCUAAUCAAUUAUUACUUGCUUGCAACAUAAUUCCUUUUUGGUUUUCCAAUCAAACAGAGCUUACAUUCUUGGACUUGAGUGAGAAUGAGCUUAAAGGAACUUACCCACAAUGACUCGCUGAACAAAAUCUUGGAGCAGUUAUUUUAUCAGACGACAGGUUGACAGGUUCUCUGCCUCCCACUUUGUUUUAAUCUCGAAAUUGAUCAGUCCUUGUUCUUUAAUUAAACAAUUUUUAUGGUGAAUUGCCUGAAACCAUGGGCAAAAGACAUCAUUCAUGGUAUUUACGCUGUCCAGCAAUAACUUUUCUCAGCAUGUGCCAAAAUCUAUGUCCAAUAUUUAUCGAUUCUUGAUACUAGACUUGUCAAAUAAUAGUUUUCUAGUGAGUUUUUGGCAUUUAUGUCGAACUCAUUAGGGGCAUGUAUUGAUACAUCAUCCAAUAGAUUCUCUGGCGAGGUUCUUUCGACUUUAGGAAAAACACACUUAUGGUGUCACUAAGCCAAAACAGUUUCUUCGGGCAAUUGCCUCAAAAUCUAAGUAAGCUGAGCCCGCUUGAACACCUUGAUCUUCGUGACACUAAUCUUACCAGUGAGUUCCCAGCAUUCCUCUCUCAGUUGUCUUCCCUUCAAGUACUUAAUAUCCGAAACACUGCCCUUGAAGGAUCAAUCACUGAUGACCUGUUAAAUCUUGGAAGUCUACAUAUCCUGGAUCUCUCCAACAACAACCUUACAGGAAAAAUCCCAUCAAGCUUUGGAAACCUUGCGGGAAUGACUGACACUCCUAGUACCUUAUCAACAUUGCCUGAAAUUUUCACCAUUCCGGUUGAAAUCCAAGAUUUGAUAGUCAUCUGGAAGAAUUCCAAACAAAAACUCUAUAGCAAAAGCCUUGCAAUCUAUUCUCUCCCGGACUUGUCAAACAAUCAAUUUUUUGGGUGAAAUUCUACACUUUGGAGGCAGUAUCAAAGGCCUGAAGUCACUUAACAUGUCUUGCAAUGAACUCCAGGGUAACAUUCCCUCAACUUUCAGCGACCUGGAGAUUUUAGAGACCCUGGAUUUGUCGCACAAUAGCCUGUCUAGAAAUAUCCCAAAAACAUUUGCUAAGCUCUAGCAAUUGACCUUAUUAUACUUGACCAACAACAAGCUCUCGGGUCAUAUUCGUGAGAUCCCUCAAAUGGACAACCAGAUUGAUUCAGUCAUAUAUGCAACCAAUGGCAGGUUGUGUGGGGUACAAAUCUAGGUUGUUUGUUCUGAAGAUGUGCAACCACCAACUGAUUCAGUGCUAGAGGAGAUGGAGAAAGAAGAAAUAAGAAUUUCUUCGUGGAAAGCCAUGGCCAUAGGGUACCCUUUUGAUUUCUCUUCUGCAACUAUAGUUACUUAUGUGAUUGUUUAGUUUAAUUCUAAACCAAAAUCUUCAGUUUCGCGGGCUAAGUCAUCAAGAAGCAAGAAAUUCGGGAUUAUGGAGCCUGAACUUGAAGAGAUUAAUUAUUGUGCAUGUGAGCAUGGUCUAAAUUAUACGAAGCAGGAAAACUAUUUAAACUUGCAAUGCAAGCAAACUAGUCAUUUGAAAAUGUGAGCUCAACUCCUAAUCACAUGUUGAUUUUAGCUUAAUUGUUCUUUUGCUAUCUUCUAAGGAGUUUUAGUAUUUUUCAAAUAAAGCAUAUAAUAACUUUCAUGAGUUGAUUGCAUGAUCCAAAGUAGUUAUGAUGAAAAAUUAAAUGCUUCUUAAAAUGGCAGUUUUCAGACUAACAAAUUUCUGAUGCAUCUAUCAAUGCUAAAACUUAAAAAUUAACAUUUGGAAAUAAUUAAUUUUAGAUUAAAUUUUGAAAUAAUAAAUUUUGUAAAAUAUUUUAUAAAAUGUUUAAUAAAUUUGGAUAAUGAGACAAUCAUUUAUGAAAUAUUUCCUUUUAUCUUGUUUUUGUUUUUUAUUCAAAUCAAUUAUAGCUUGUGUCAUAUUUGACUGCCCAUACAUUAGAACAUAACUUAUAUUGUUCAAAAAGAGCCCUUCACACCUGAAUAGAUGCAGUCUACAAGACACGAUCAAUAACCACUCGCAGCAAAACAAGUUCCACAUAAACAAAAAAAGGUCAGUACUUUCACAGGUUGUAAUAUGAGUAUUUACUACAGCAAACAAGCUACUCAAAUGAAUUGAAAUAGAAAGUUGAAAAAGAAUACCAAUUUGGCCAUUAAAGAGUGAGAGAAUACUUUACUAUCUGCAAACUGAGCAUCGCAUAACCAGAUUUUUUCACUGUUUGUAAGUGCUCUUCCUAGCAAACUGCGAGACAAAGUGGUAGGUGACCAUGUUAGUUAAAACUCCCGUUCGAUAAGAAUUGACUAUGCAUAUGGAAACAUAAUGAUUGAAAGAUAUAUAAGAGAAACUAGGUUUCUAAAUAAUGAAGUUUUAUUAGAAAUAAAUCUAAAUGAAUAAAACUAGGAUUUUAGGUCCCUUUUUUUAUUACCCUAAAUAUCUCGAAUUUACUCAAAUAGGUAAAUACGAAAUAUUGUUUUAUAAUAAAACUCUCCUAGUCUAAAUAAUGGAAUUAAAACGAAUGGCACCUAAAUCCAAUAUAUAGAAAAAAAAUCUUGAAAGUAACAGGAAAAUAGGAAAAAUAAUUUAAAACUAAAAAAUGAUGAGAAAAUAAGUGGAAUUUUCUGCUCGACCAUGGGGCAAAACAGCAUAAGCGUUCAAGGUUGGUUUGUCUUAUUGCAAGCUUCAAAACGGUAUAUUACAAAAUGAACACCUAUGACCUAAAUUAUAACCUUUGGAACAUAUCCUACUUAUCCCACGCGCCAUCAUACAUCAAGAAUGCCACAUAUAAGGGGAAAAAUAUGCAAUAAAGGGUUAAAAGUUAAGUUUGAUUAAUAGAAGAGAGUAGUAUCUGUGGCCAGAAUUGAUUACAAAGGAUAUGCAAACCAAGUAAUACCACUCUACAUCGAUAAGAUCUUCUGGAAACAAUGUAGCAAAAGGCAUGUUAUUAGCUUGCUCAGUUUCUCCUUCCAGCAGAGAUUCGUAAUGCUCUCUUAGUUGCUUACUCCUUUCUAGACCUAUUUUAUGAGGUGUAAGUUACACUGCUUGCAUUGUCUCCAUUGUAGUACUUAUCACCCCACUCUAGUACCCUAGAGACCAGUUUCUUUUUUCUUUUUUCAAAGUGAGUACAAACAAUGUUAACAAAGCAAGUAAAUAGACUAAUUAUAGGCCAUUAAGAGUUGGUUAAGCAAAAAUGCUAACAAAGCAAAAAACUUGUAGAGGCCAUUUUAACUUCAAAAAAUAUAACAAAACAAAACUUCGUUAUUCAUUUUCCCAUUACUGCAAAAAAGUCUCUGUGAGAGGUAAUAUAAUGUAAAUUUCCAUCUCUAGCAACAUCACUUUAAUGGUAAGUAAAUUGAUUAAUAGCUUCGUUUCUUCAAGUUUCCCAAAGAAACAGAAUGUCAUACUAGUUAGAUAUUAGGUUAUGUGGUCCACAAAUUUGGCACUACAAAGUAAAAAUGUGAGCUUUUUAUUCUAAAAUGAUGGUAUAUAUCAGUGAAUUAGAGGUAUUAAAUUUAGCAAAUUUAACCAAAAAGAUGGCAUGAGUGACUUUAGAAACGCAAAAUUGCAUAAACCCAUAUAUGGAAGUUGAGACAAGAACAAAAUUGCACUAAAAAAUAAUUGGAAAGUAGAAAUAAAAUACUUAAAAAAAACAAAAAGAAAAAAAAAAAGAAAGCUUUUAUAACGUUGUUGUUUGCUGAUAAUGACUAGAAAAUUACAUAGCUCUAUUGGAUAUUCCUAACAGCCACAUGAAGUUGUUUCCUUAAGAUUUCUUGUACCACUCCAGGUUUUUGUUACGGAAGCAUGUGGUUGAGCAAUUACUAAUAUUAUGGUGACUGCAAUUUCUAGAGAAAUAUAAAUGUGACAAACAAAUGCAAAGAAAAUAGGACACAAUAAUUUACAUGGUUCAUGUAAAGCCUAUGUCCACAAACAAAGACUGGAAGAUAAUUUUACUAACAAAUGGGAAUUUACAAAAGUAGGAAAAGCUCUCAAAACCCACAACCCUAAUACACCUAAUUGAAUCCUCACUAGAAUACUCAAGUGGAAGCUCUCUCAAAUAUCUCAAAUUGUUUCACUUGUAAUUGCUCUCAACUCUCUCAAUUGGGAUGAUCUGAAGCUUUUCCUCUCCUCUUUAUUUAUAGGCAAGUAAUGUUUACCUACCACAGCAUUCAAUUUGGCUUCAAUUUUUCAAAUUGAUAAAUUUGGCAAUCAGUGCCAACUUUGUCAUGCAAUUGUGGUCAAAAUCUACAUGCUAGCUUAACAAUUGCAUGCUUGAAUUUUGCAUGCUAGUUGUCUCAUGCAACUACUCAAUAAUUGCAUGCUUGAAGCUUGACUUCUCAAUAAUUCUCCACCUCGGCAAAUAUUUAGUAAAGUUGAGCCGAAUAUCAACAAACCAUCCUUCAACCUCUACCUUUCCAAUUGUUUUCAAACUUGUAAGCUAUUGAUCAAGUUUAGACAAUCAUCAAACUUGAUCGCCGUCACCACCUUGGUUAAUAUAUCUGGAGGAUUCUUUGCAAUCUUGAUUUUAUGAAUCAAUGUACCCGAUCACACCUUAACCAAGUUUAUCAUCUUGCUCAAACAAUAAACCAAUAUCUACGAUCUUCUGAAUGUACAGUAGAAUCUAUUUCACAACUUGCAAAUGUCCUUUACUAAGAUUAUACAUAUACAUGCUCACUAUACUAACUGCAUGUGAAAUGUCGGGCCUUGUACACACCAUUGUAAACAUCAAGCUACCCACCGCAUUUGAAUACAAACUUAUAACAUGUACUCUCGUUCUGCAUCUGUUGAAGGAGAUAAUUGUGCAGAAAGCUUGAAAUAAAAAGCCAACGGAGUGCUCACGAGUUUUAUCUGCUCAGUCAUGCCAAAUUGUUGUAGUACCUCCUUCAAAUAUUACUUUUGAAACAAACUGACUUUACCACGAACUCUAUCUCUGCAUAUCCCCAUGUCAAGAAUCUUUUUAUCUUCACUACGAUUUUUCAUCUCAAACUCUUAAUUGAGUUGAAUCUUCAACUUCUCAAUCUCCUCUUUACUCUUGAUGCUAUUAGCAUAUUAUCGACAUACAAGAGCAAAUAUACGAAGGAUCCCUUUUGUAGCUUGUGAAAAUACAAACAAGGAUCAAAUUUAUUUCUUGUGUACCUUUGCCCUUUUAUAAACUGAUCAAAUCGCUUGUGCCACUACCUUGGGGUUGUUUUAAUCCAUAAAGUGACUUUGUCAAUUUGCAAACUCUAUUUUCUUUUCCAACAACCUUGAAUCCAUUUGGCUGAGUCAUGUAGAUUUCCUUUUCCAAAUCACCAUGUAAAAAUGCAAUUUUUACUUCAAGUUGUACUAAUUUAAGAUCAAAUUGCGCAGUCAUGGCUAGCAAAAUUUGAAUAGAUGAGUUUUUGACAAUUAUGGAAAAUACAUCAUUGUAGUCUAUUCCUUCUUUCUAAGCGCAACCCUUCGCUACCAAUCUAGUCUCGUAUCGAAUUUCAUUUUUACGAGGACAUCCUUUAUUCUUUGCAUACACCCAUUUGCCUCAAAUUACUUUCUUUUCCUUAAGCAGUGUAACCAACUCCCAAGUUCUAUUUUUAUGAAGAGACUGCAUUUCUUCAUUCAUUGCUAGCUUCCACUGUACACUUUCAGGGCUACAUAUUACUUCUCUGUAGGUGGAAGGAACAUUAUCAUCUACAAAUGGAAGUUCAUAGGCCACCAUAUCAACAAAGCGAGCAGGGCUAUGAAUCUCUCUUCGUGGCUACCUAUAUGCAAUUGAAUCUUGUUGUUGUUAAGGUUCUUGGGCUAGAACUUAUUCUUUAUUUUCAGUCAAUGGAGAAUUAUUAUCUAUCUCCUCAACACCAGCUAGAUUAUCUUUAAUAUUUUCAAACUUCACUUACUGUAAAGUGUUACUGGUCUUGUCAUCCUCUUGAAAAUCUUUUUUGUUUCAACAUGGCUGAUUCAUCAAAAGUUACAUCUCUACUUAAAAUAAUCUUUUUCGUAACAUAACACCAAAGAUGAAAUCCUUUUACUCCACCAGUUGUACUCAUGAACAAUGUUUUCUUUGCUUUUGCAUCUAACCUAGAUUCCUUUACAUUAUAAUAGGCAGUAGAAAAAAAAACAUGUAAAGAAUCAUAAUCAGAAGCAGGUUUACCAAUCCAUAACUCCAUCGGUGUUUUGCCCUCAAUUGCAACUGAUGUCAAACGGUUGAUCAGAUGGCACGUAUAUACAACUGCCUAAACCCAAAACUUUUUGCCUAGUCCACCAUUGGACAACAUACACUGAAAAUUCUCCAGUAUAGUUUGGUUCAUACGUUCUACCAACCCAUUCUGCUAUGGUAUAUCUCGAAUAGUGAAGUGGCGCACAAUGCCCUCAUCUCGGCAUAUUUAUAUAAAUGGAUAAUUCUUGUAUUCACCAUCUUUAUCUGAGCGAAAUCUUUUGACCUUUCGACCAGUUUAAGUCUCGAUCAUUUUCUUCUAUUUCAUAAAUCUGCCCAAAACUUCAUUCUUAUUCUUCAUCAGAUACGCCCACACUUUUCUUAAAUAAUCAUCAACAAAAGUAACAAAAUAGUACAUACCUCUCAAAGAAGCUGUUUUGGUAGGUCCCACACAUCAUUGUUAACAUAGUCUAGAAUCCCUUUUGCAUCGUGAAUUGUUGAACCAAACUUUACCCAUGUCUGCUUAACCAGAACACAAUGUUCACAAAAUUCUAAUUUACAAGAAUUUACACGUUUUAAUGAGCGUUGUUUUACCAAAGUCUGCAAUGUUUUUUCACCAACAUGUCCUAAACACAUGUACCACAACUUGGUUGCUUCUGAAUUUGAAUCUUUUCCAGAAAUUGUUGAUGUUGAUCCAAUAAUUGUACACCCUUGGAAAUAGUACAAGUUAUUUAUUCUUGUUAUUUCAUCACAGUCAGUGCGCCUGCUACUACCUUUAAAAAUCUAUCUCUCAAAGUGAUUGUGAGCCUUUGAGAUUCUAAGACUCCUAACGAGAUGAGAUUUUUCUUUAAACUUGGUACGUAGCGAACACCUGUCAAGACUUGGAUUAAACCAUCAUGAUUCUUUAAGUGAGACGAGAUUUUUCUUUAAACUUGGUAUGUACUUAUUCCCACGGUUUUACAGACAUUGUCAUUACCCAUAAAAGCAACUCCACCGUCUAACUCCUUGAAGCUAGAAAAUCAGCCCUUAUUAGGACACGUAUGAUAAGUACAACCUGAAUCUAAAAUCCACUCAUCUGAAUGACAUGUCAACGCCAUGCCAACCAAACUAAAGUCUGACUCCUCAUUAUGCUCUACUACAUAUGCAUCAUAAAUAUCUUUGGCCUUUUGUAACCUAUGACAAUUCUUUUUCCAAUGUCCAUUCUCGUAACAAAAAGUACAUUCAUCUUUGGUAGGCAUUCUUUUAGACUUGUUUCUUUUUCCAGGCUUGAGGCUUUAUGAACAACUUCUCGUUGUCAAUGCUUCUACAAUUGUAUCUAUGUAAUCUUUUUUUCUUUCUUUCUAGUCUCAGAGUUGUACAACGCACUACAUACUGCAUCGAAUGUGACAUUAUCCUUUCUACAAAGUUAAACGGUGGUGAGAUGAUCAUAUACAUCAAGAAGGAAAUUCAACAGUAACAAUGCAUUAUGUUCAUCUUCAAAUUUCUCAUCUAAAUUUACCAAAUCUGUUAAUGUCUUGUUGAAUGAGUUCACAUAGUCAUUCAUCAACAUUUCGGGUUCAUAUGUGAAUCAAUAAAGUUUUUUCUUCAUAUAAAGCCUAUUUUCAAGGUUUUUCUUCAUGUACUUGUCUUCUAGUGUCUUCCAUAAUUUCUUUACUGAUGUUUCCUUCAUGACAAAGUACUUCUGAUCUUUAGUCAGACAUAGGUGAAUAGUAUCACAUGCCUAUUUGUUGAUUUUUAUCCACUCCUUGUCAUCUAUCUUGUCAGGUUUUUCUUCAAAAGCAACAUCCAACUCUUGCUAAUAUAAGACAUCCAACACCUCACAUUGGCACAUACCAAAAUUAUUGGUACCAUCGAAUUUCUCCACUUCAAACUUCGCAUUAGUCACAAUAGUCCUCGCUGAUGAGGACGAUAAUGAUGCCUCUGCCAUCAUUCUUAAUCCAAAUGACCAAUGUGCACACUACAUACAAUAGGCAAUCUCCCAAGUACAAAUGGUCAUCUUUACUGUAUGCGUAAACAGUACCGUAUACGUCAACAUUACCGUAUAUGUAAAUAGUAUUGUAUACCCCAAGCACAAACCUCCUACUCUGAUAACAAUUGUUGCAGAAGCGUGUAGUUGAGCAAUUACUAAUAUUAUGGUGAUUGCAACUUCUGGAGAAAUAUAAAUGUGACAAACAAAUGUAAAUAAAAUAGGACACAAUAAUUUACGUGGUUCACGUAAAGCCUACGUCCAUGGGCAAAGACUAGAAGAUAAUUUUACUAACAAAUGAGAAUUUACCAAAGUGGGAAAAUCUCUCAAAACCCAUCACCCCAAUUCACCCAGUUAAAUCCUCACUAGAACCCUCAAGUGGAAACUCUCUCAAGUCUCUCAAAUUGCUUCACUUGCAAUUGCUCUUAACUCUCUCAAUUGGGAUGAUUUGAGGCUCUUCCUCUCGUCUCGAUUUAUAAGCAAACAAUGCUUACCUACCACAACAUUCAAUUUAGCUUCAAUUUGCCAAUUUGAUAAAUUUGGCAAUCAGUGCCAACUUUUUCAUGCAAUUGUGGUCAAAGUCUACAUGCUAGCUCAACAAUUGCAUACUUGAAUUUUGCAUGAUAGUUGUCUCAUGCAACCACUCAACAAUUGCAUGGUUGAAGCUUGACUUUUCAACAGUUUUGAGCAACAUUAGCCAUAUAAGCACAAACGUUACUAAAUUCAACUUAGAUAACUAGAAAGAAAGCUUAUUAACAAACAAAUUGGUCAAUAAUCAACAAGCAAAGCCUUCACUAAAAAGGAACUCUGGUUAUAUUAUGUCAAUAAAUUUUGGUUCUACAAAAUAUCACACAUUGAGUUCAAUUAUAUGCAGCAAGGUCCUUAUAGCGAGUUACCAUGACUAAAAGAAUAUUUAAGAGACAGAAAUUUUGGAGUGAUAGUACCAUCAAAUACUCAACAAAACAAAUGCGCAACUUCUGCUUUAGAGUGCUCGAAAUAUGCAUUUUGGUUUUCAGUGAUUAGGUUUAUAUGAGCUGGCAAUUUUUAUAUGUUUGGAUCUAAACCUGUUCUAUCGUUUGACAGAGAAUAGUUAAUAAAUUACUCGUAAUGUACAUGUAAAAAAAUCUUAUUAGGUAUUGUUUGUAUGAUUGACCUUGAGUGAUUGUGAUCCAACUUUUUACAGUACUUGUGAAUCUAUUUUCACAUAAGUUGUUUCUUACCUAUAUACUUCCUUAUUUCUCUAUACUUGAAUGAUGAGCAAUAGCAAUCUUACACAUACUUAUGAAUCAUGACAAUUUGUCUCUUCCUAAAAGGCAUAAAUGACAUCUGUUUACAUAGUUUCAAUACCACAAAUGAUGUAGGACAUCCUUUUAGAAUUUUAGAAUUUUAGAAUUUUAGAAUUUUACUAUUUUAAGUCUUGAUUUUUUUUAUUUUCACUAGAGUCAUUUAUGCUAUAUAUUUUAGCCUUUAUUUCAAGUAUAAUUGCAAUUUAGUUUCUCUUUUUAAGCUAACUUAAGGAAAUAGGUUUUCUCUAUUAUAAAUAGAAAGUUCUUGUUAUUGCUUUUAUAACUUCAACUUUAAUUAUUCAAUAAACUCCUCUUUUAAAAAUUUCCUUUUAGAUUAUCUAUCAAAAAUCUCUCUUGUAAAGUUAUUUGAAUUACAAUGUCAUAUAAUCUCGCUUAACGCAUUAUUAAAAUCUCAGUGAGUUGUUUGGAUUAAAACAAGAUCUAAUCACACUUUGGUUAGAGUAUAACCUAAUUGCGCUGCUAGGUCCGGUACUAGAACGAUAGAUAGUGUUUAUCUACCCCAUUAAUUUGACAUAUGUGAAAACGCUCUACUUUGGACACUUUGGUGACUAACAAAUUAUCAUAAUAUGAGUGUCAAAUUAAAUAUUUGUAACAAAGGAUUUUCCUUAAUAAAAAAUAAAUAAAUAAAACUACAAAUAUCAACUGAAAUUUCCAACAUUAAAAUUGGAACAUUAAGAAAUUUCAGAGAUUACUAAUUAAUGAGCGGAAGCAUUCAAAAUUAUGAUUACAAAACUUAUAAAGCUUGAUGCACAUAAAAUUAGUGGCUUUAUCAUACUAAACCCAAUCAAUCAUAUCUAUUAUUUAAUCAAAUAAAAAAUUAGGGGCUAAACUGAAAUUUCACAUGUAAUUUACUCCUAAAUUUCUGCCUGUAAACAGUAUGUGAUGGUCGUUGCCAAUUCUGUUAGACUUAAAUGCAAUAAAAUUCUAAACUUUGGAUAAGAACAUAAACCAAAAAAAACCUUAGGGUGUCAAUGAAAAAAUCCAAAAGAAAACCUAAUUUCAACUUUAUGUGUUGCGCUGCCAACAAUUUUUUUUUUUGUUCUUUACUAUUUUAUAACAAAUUAAUAUAUACAAAAAUUCAUAUGCCAAUGAUUUUCUUUCGACGUUAUGUAUAUGUAGAAUAAUAAUUCAAAUUACCACAUGUCAAACAAAGUGGGCAUCUAGAUGGUAUAAAGUGGCCAUCUAUAUGGUCAACAACAAUUUUGUUUGAAGAAGAAUUUGGCAGUAGCAAAUUUGGAAUGAAGAAAAAGAAGAAAGAAGAAGAUGGAAGAAUAGGAUGCCGCCCAAGAAAAAAUAAUAAUAAUUUAAUAGCCAAUUUUGGCUAUAAAUAGAGAGGCUCCCUCCUCAUUUUAUUCAUUCCAUUUUCUUAAGUUUCUCUUCUCUGUUUUGUAAAAGAGAAAGAGUUGUGUGAGAGAUUAAGAGUUUAAUAAACUCUUGAGUGAUUAGUGUUUUGAGAGUUUGGGUGUAUUGGGGUUUUGGGUAGCAAGCUAAAAUACCACAAUACUUGUAACUCCUUUUCACUAGUAAAUUAUUUUCCUUUUGUUUUCGCCCGUGGACGUAGGCUAAAAGCCGAACCACGUAAUUUUCCGGUGUCCUCUUUUGUGCUUGUUCUUUAUUUUUCUUCCAAUUUCAUUUUAGUUGCGUGUCUGCUUCACCCACCAAUGUCCUAACAGUGGUAUCAGAGCCAUUGGUUGUAUUUUUUUUAGUCGGGUACUGUUCAUGUAAAGGGUACUAUUCACAUAUACGGUACUGUUCACGUAAAGGAUACUAUUCACGUAUAUGGCACUGUUCACGUAUAAGUUACUGUUCAUAUAUACGGUACUAUUCACGAGAAACGGUAGGAGUGAUCCAAGAAUUUUACGGUGCAAAGCAGGGAAUAGUGGUGUGAGUAAAGCAACUGUGUGGUUUAGUUCAUGUCUAGGAAAAUUCUGUCACAAAGGCGAUAAGAGCUUAAAGAGUCUGGGUUUUAAGUGGGACCAUUGUGACCCCUCCAGUCUUUCCUUGGAACUUUUCUGGUGUGCAUUCUCACACAUACUCACAAUUAUUCAGGGUGGUACACUAACUUGUGUGCGGUAUUUAUCAACAAAAUGGCGGCAAAGUAUGAAAUUGAGAAGUUUAACAGAAAUAAUUUUUCAUUGUGGAAAAUGAAGAUAAAAGUUGUAUUGAGGAAAAAUAAUUGUUUGGCAGCAAUUGGAGAAAGGCCCAUGGAGAUAACUGAUGACAAGUGGAACGAGAUAGACGGUAACGUCAUUUCUGAUCUACACUUGGCACUUGCAGAUGGAGUAUUAUCUAGUGUGGCAGAGAAAAACACAACGAAGGAAAUAUGGGACUCUCACAAAAUUGUACGAGGCCAAGUCACUACACAACAAAAUCUUCUUGAAGAGGAAACUCUAUACUCUUCGAAUGGCGGAAUCUACAAUGGUGACCGACCACAUCAACACCUUGAAGACUCUAUUUUCACAACUCACAACGUUGUGUCAUAAUAUAGAGGAAAAUGAACAUGCAGAGCUUCUACUUCAAAGUCUACCAGAUUCGUAUGAUCAACUCAUCAUCAACCUGAUGAAUAACAAUCCAGCGAACAUUCUAUUUUUCGACGAUGUUGCAGCCUCCGUAUUAAAUGAGGAGAGCAGGCAGAAAAAUAAGGAAAACAGACAAGCAAGAUCACAGCAAGCGGGGGCGCUAUCGGUGACGAGAGGGAGAUCAACGGAACGUAGCCCCAGUGAGAGUCACAAUCAUGGCAGAUCAAAAUCUAAAAGUAAGAAGAAUGUUAAAUGCUACAACUGUGGCAAGAAAUGACACGUCAAGAAAGAGUGUUGGAGUAACCCGAAGAGAAAAGAGGGUAAAGAACCUGAGUCAUCAAAUGCUCAGGGGUGUAUAGUAAGUACCUCAGAUGAUUGAGAAAUUCUCUACAGCGAGGCAACAACUGUUUCAGAAUACAGAAAAUGACUAUCUGAUGUCUGACUUAUAGACUCAGGAGCUACCUGGCACAUGACCUCUCGGAGAGAAUGGUUCCACACAUAUGAACCUAUCUCAGGAGGAUCUGUAUAUAUGGGAAAUGAUCAUGCCUUAGAGAUCGCUGGUAUUGGUACUAUCAAAAUAAAAAUAUUUGAUGGUACAAUUCGCACAAUUGGGGAGGUACGACAUGUCAACGGCGUGAAGAAAAAUCUAUUGUCUUUGGGACAAAUGGAUAGUCAUUGGUACAAAACUCAUGUGGAGAAUGGAAUUAUGAAGAUCGUUAAAGGCGUGCUUGUAUUAAUGAAGGCAGAAAAGAUCGGCGCUAAUUUAUUCAUGCUUAAAGGAGAAACACUACAGGAGGCUGAUCCGUGUGUCGCAUCAAAUGGAGAAGAGUCAAUGAUGAUGUGGCAUCCCAAACUUGCCCACAUGUCAGAACAAGGUUUGAAGAUUCUCUUUGAGCGAAAAUUGCUUCCAUGGCUCAAAUCGGUAAGUUUACUAUUUUGCGAGCAUUGUGUUACAAGUAAGCAGCAUAGAUUAAAUUUCAGUAGAUCUAUUGCUAGAAGUAAAUACAUUCUAGACUUGAUUCAUUCUGAUGUUUGGGAAUCGCCAGAUAUGUCCAUGGGAAGUGCAAAGUACAUGGUGACUUUCAUUGAUGAUUAUUCCAAGAGAUGUUAGGUGUAUCCAAUUAAGAAAAAGUCAGAUGUGUUUCCAGUGUUUAAAGAAUACAAAGCGCAGGUGGAACUUGAAUCCGGCAAAAUGAUCAAGUGCUUGAGGACGGAUAAUGGUGGAGAGUAUACAGACGGUGAGUUUCUUGCUUUCUGUAAACAAGAAGGUAUUCAAAGGCAGUUCACGGUGGCAUACACUCCUCAACAAAAUGGAGUGGUGGAGCGGAUGAACAGAACUCUUACAGAAAGAAUAAGAGCUAUGUUGAGGACUGCUGGUCUAUCCAAUUCAUUUUAGACAGAAACAGCUAAAACUACCUGUUAUAUAGUAAAUCGGUCUCCAUCCACAGCAAUUGGGCUGAAGACAGCGAUAGAAAUGUGAACUGGAAAGCCAGCUGAUUACUCAUACCUACAUGCAUUUGGAUGUUCUAUGUACGUGAUGUAAAAUGCCCAAGAAAGAACAAAGUUAGAUCCAAAAUCUAGGAGGUGUAUCUUCUUGGGGUAUGCUGAUGGAGUAAAGGGGUAUCGUCUGUAGGACCCCACUGCCCACAAGAUCGUCAUCAGCAAAGAUGUUAUCUUUGUAGAAGAUCAAAUGCAAAGGAGAGAUGAGGAUGAUAGCACUGUAAAACAAAAGUCAGAGACUGUACCGGUGUAUGUGAAAAAUAAUCUGGAAAAAGAAUAUUCAAAUUCUUCUGAAGCAGCACCAAAGCACGAGGAACAAGAACCGGUUAAGUCCGAGGCUCCAGAAGUUCGUCGGUCAACUCGUGAGAGACGACCGCCAACGUGGCGCUCGGAGUAUGUCACAGAGAUCAACAUUGCAUACUGUCUUCUAAUAGAGGAUGGAGAACCAUCAACUUUCCAUGAAGCUUUAAACAGCUCAGAUGUUACUUUAUGGAUGACAGGAAUGCAGGAAGAAAUUGAAGCUCUACACAAGAACAAGACAUGGGAACUUGUACAACUACCACAUGGAAGAAAAGCCAUUGGUAACAAAUGGGUCUACAAGAUCAAGCAUGAUGGUAAUGACCAAGUAGAGCGGUAUCGUGCAAGAUUAGUGGUGAUGUAUGCUACAUUUGACCUACAAGAUCAAGCAGGCUAAAAAAGAAGGUAUUGACUUCAAUGAGAUAUUUUCUCCGGUAGUUCGACUCACGACAGUCAAAAUAGUCUUGGUGAUGUAUGCUACAUUUGACCUACAUCUAGAGCAGUUAAAUGUGAAAACUGCAUUUCUUCAUGGAGAACUUGAAGAAGAAAUUUAUAUGCUCCAGCUAGAAGGUUUUGCAGAAACAGGAAAGGAGAACUUGGUUUGCAGGUUGAACAAAUCUCUAUACGGUCUCAAACAGGCGCCGAGGUGUUGGUAUAAGAGAUUUGAUUCAUUCACCAUGAGUCUUGGAUACAACAGACUCUGUUCAGACCAUUAUGCAUAUUACAAGAGGUUUGAAGAUAAUGAUUUCAUCAUUUUGCUGUUGUACGUGGAUGACAUAUUGGUAGCAGGCUCCAACAAAGAUCGAAUCCAAGAAUUGAAGGCACGGUUGGCUAGGGAGUUUGAAAUGAAGGACUUGGGACCAGCAAACAAGAUUCUAGGGAUGCAAAUUCACCGAGACAGAAUAACAGGAAGAUUUGGCUUUUUCAGAAGAACUACUUGAAGAAAAUCUUGUGGCGCUUCAACAUGCAAGAUUAUAAGCCAAUUUCUACCCCACUUCCUGUUAAUUUCAAAUUAUCCUCAAAUAUGUGUCCUAGCAAUGAAGCAGAGAGAAAUGAGAUGUCUCGAGUACCGUAUGCAUCAGCAGUGGGAAGUUUAAUGUUCGCUAUGAUUUGUACAAGACCUGACAUUGCACAAGCAGUGGGAGCAGUCAGUCGAUACAUGGCGAAUCCUAGUGGAGAGCAUUGGAUAGCUGUGAAGAGGAUUCUAAGAUCUAUCAGAGGAACCUCAGAUGUUGCAUUAUGUUAUGGAGGAUCAGAGUUUACUGUCAGGGGCUAUGUGGAUUCAGAUUUUGCAGGAGACCUUGAUAAAAGAAAAUCCACUACUGGCUAUGUGUUUACACUUGCAUGAGUAGCUGUAAGCUGGGUUUCAAAACUGCAGACCGUUGUGGCCCUAUCUACAACAGAAGCAGAAUACAUGGCAGCUACACAAGCUUGCAAGGAAGCUAUUUGGAUACAAAGGUUAUUGGAGGAGCUCGGGCACAAACAAGAGAAAAUUUUAUGUUUUGUGAUAGUCAGAGUGUCUUACACAUUGCAAGGAAUCCAGCCUUUCAUUCCAAGACAAAGCACAUAAGAGUUCAGUAUCACUUCGUUCGAUAUGUAGUGGAAGAUGGAAGUGUGGAUUUACAGAAAAUCCAUACCAAGGAGAACCUAGCAGGUGUUUUGACCAAGCCAAUCCAUGCUGACAAGUUUGUCUGGAGUAGAUCCUCUUGUGGCCUAGAAGAAACGUAGGCAACAUGACAAUGGCGAAACAAAAAGGAUGAUGUGGAGAUUGAUUGGUUCUCAAUCAAAUCUCCAAGUAGGAGAAAUGUCAAACAAAGUGGGCAUCUAGAUGGUAUAAAGUGGCCAUCUAGAUGGUCAACAACAACUUUGUUUGAAGAAGAAUUUGGCAGCAGCAAAUUUGGAAUGAAGAAAAAGAAGAAAGAAGAAGAUGGAAGAAUAUGAUGCAGCCCAAGAAAAAAAUAAUAAUAAUUUAAUAGCCAAUUUUGGCUAUAAAUAGAUAGGCUCCCUCCUCAUUUUAUUCAUUCCAUUUUCUUAAGUUUCUCUUCUCUGUUUUGUAAAAGAGAAAGAGUUGUGUGAGAGAUUAAGAGUUUAAUAAACUCUUGAGUGAUUAGUGUUUUGAGAGUUUUGGUGUAUUAGAGUUUUAGGUAGUAAGCUAAAAUACCACAAUAGUUGUAACUCUUUUUCACUAGUAAAUUAUUUUCCUUUUGUUUUCGCCCGUGGACGUAGGCUAAAAGCCGAACCACAUAAUUUUCCGGUGUCCUCUUUUGUGCUUGUUCUUUAUUUUUCUUCCAAUUUCAUUUUAGUUGCGUGUCUGCUUCACCCACCAAUUUCCUAAUAGCACAUAUCUUUAAGGACAAUUGAAAAUAUAAGAGAGUUUUUAUAGAUCUUAAUGGAAAAUCAUGAAUUCUCAAAUACGCUUUGACACCAAUUGUUGAAAUUUUUAUAAUUCUCAUAAAGCAUAUAAACCCUAAUUUGCAUAAACUUUAAUUCCUAAAAUCAUAGAAUAUCAUGAUUUUCACAUCAUCAUAAUUGAGAGAAAACAUAUUUUGAUCCAUAGCAAUUUUCUUGAUUAAAUCUCACUAUAAAGAAUUAAAGAUUACCAAAAUUGAUUUCUCUCUCUUGACCCUAUUAGAGUGACUCACUUUUUAAUGGAGAGAAAAUUAACGUGAUAUCCUUUUUUUAUAUUGAGUGGAGAGAAGACCAAUUUUAAUAACACUCUAAUUCUCAUUUUUCUUCAAAGUGGGCAAUUAGUUUUUUCCAAUUGACCAAUAGGAUUUCAAGCCAUAACUUAUUUUAACUUUUUAAAUUCUAAAUUAUUAUUAAUUUAAUAAUGUGGCACGUGGGCCACUAUAAAAUAUUCCAACAUACUUAAGAGCAAAGUUGUAAAAGCACUUGAAAUUCCCAAAAAAAAAAAAAAAAAAGGAAGCAUUUUCUGAAGGGAGAGGUUAUUUGAACCACUAAAUCAUGUAUUAAACUCACCUACUAAUAAACUCAUUCUUAAAUUGUAAAAAUUUGAAUUUUACUUUACUAAUCAACCUAAAUACCUAAUAUAACCUUGCUAAACAAAAUUAUUAUUAAACCAACUUUUUUAGUUAAGAGAUUCAUAAUUAAAAUCAUAUAUAUAUAAAACCUUUAAUUUUAAAAGUACUGUAAAUUUUAAAAUCAAUCGUAUACAUUUAGUAAAUCUUACUGUUAAAUUGUUGUAGGAAUGUAAUUUACUAAAAACUGAACAUAAUUUUGAAUAAAAUUUAUUUAAACAUGUAUAUAAAAUAUUUUUUAUUGUGUAUAUUUAAUAAUUGAUAAUUAAAAUAAGCACUAUAUAUUAUUAAUUUUAUUUUUAUUUCAUUUUAUUAAUAUAAGCGAUAAUGAUGAUGAUAAUAACAAUAAUAAUAAUAAUAAUAAUAAUAAUAAUAAUAAUAAUAAUAAUAAUAAUAAUAAUAAUAAUAAUAAUAUAACAACAACUUUAGAAUUAACCAUUUUAUUUCCUAAUUAAUGAGGAUAAUUUUGGAUUUUUAUAAUAUAUAUGAGGAUAUAUAUGGAAUUGUAUUAAUUAUAAAAGUAAUUAUCAAAAUUAAAUUUUAAAAGACAUUCUUUCUCUACUUUUCAAAAUCUGCAGUAAGAUGGAAUGAUUUUAUCAAAAAUAAAUUUUAAAAGAAUUUACCAAGCACCAAAAAUGAUUAUGGGUUCUUUGCAGACUCCAUUAUAGUAUAUUCUACUUUGUUUCUUAUAUUAGUAAUUCCACCACUGGUCAUCGUCAUGCAGUUUGUAUGACUCUUAUGCAGAUUCACUCUUUCCUAAUGUUAUCUCUGCUUUGAUAAAAUAGUGAAGUGUAUGCCAAUGCAACAAGGAUUCAAUAUAUUAAAUAAGUGGCCAGGCAUUAUCCCACUGUUUUAAGCUUUUUGAUUUUCUAAAUAGAAUGUAUCAUGGAUGAAGAAGAGCAAUUGUUGUUUGUAUAAGCAUCAGUUUGCUGUCAGAUGUGUUGUAAAAGUUGAUAAUCCUCAUUAAGAAGGCUCUCUGUGUAUAAGCACGCUUAUUUUAGUUUUUGUAACUGUAAAUCUAACAAGAAAGGACUGACUUCCUUCCUUCCCUAAGUUUGUAUUACCAUAAAAUGCAUCUCUCACUUUUAAUCUUUUUGCCUUUUUCAGCAAUUUUAUCCCUUGUGAUUAAAUUGAAAACAUAAAAUGAUUCUCAUAUUUGAGGACGAAAGAUAUAAAUGAGACUCUUUUAUCCUUUUCAGUGGUUUCAACAUUUGCAUAUACUCAUGUUUUUGGAAAUGCUGACCGUGUACGAGAAUUUUUUUUCCUUUGAUAUCCCUUGCUCAAAUAUUAUAUUUAUAGUUUUUGGGACGCAAGAUAUGAUUAUAUUUAGAAAAAUAUUAUCCUUUGGUUAUUAUUAACUCAGAUAUAUAUAUAUAUAGUUCAAGCAUCUAAGAAAACUUAAAUUUAGCAGUUAGCACCUAGGAUUUAGGAAAGCCGGUUUUUAUAACUAAAACUAGACUUUGUAUUGGUAAUUUUUAGUAUUUUUAUUAAAUAAGUUUAAAACAAUCAUAUUGCUUGAUGACAAAUCCAAUAUGCUUUUUAUCAUUUAAGUAAGGUUUGAACUUCAAAUCUUAGGUGCUAUCCUAAAAAUUAAUCAAAAUAAGUUAAUUAGUCGAUAGUCACUAAGCCUUUGGCUCGAUACUAAUGAAUUUUUGCUCUCGAUUUCAAGGUACAAGUUCAAGUCUCAGCCUCUGGGAGAAUCAAUGAAUUUUCUCCUCCCAAUUAUAUAAUUGGAUAUCCUUUCAUUAUUAGUGGCAACAGAUAUAUUUGUGCUGUUAUAUAGUAGAAUAGAUCUAGGGAAGUUCCAGAUGAUUUCUAGUGAGGAAUCCUUCACAUAUCAUCCGCUCGCCUUCUCUAUAGAUCUAGAUUAAAUGGAUUUCCAAAUAGGACUAAGCAUGAGCUUACCUGCCUGACUAAAUAUAUAUAGAUUAUGAUUGAUUUCUAUACGUAUACUUUUGAUUGAUUUUAAUCACUCAUCUAUAAAUUCUAACCUAUAUGUCCUCUUUUAUCAUCACAACAACCACAGCGUGAAUACUAAUGCAGCUGAUACUAAAAUGUCCAAUACCUACUUGCCCGAAAAGCCUGAACUUUCACCAACUUUGAUUUCAGAUGAUGAUGCUGUUAGGCUUCAAUAUGCUUAUGGCGCUGUGAAAAAAUCUCUGGAAGCAUAUGUUACGCUUGCAGGCGGGUAUGUUAUUGAAGCUCAGUUACCAUUUCCUGUCAAUUCUGAUAGUGAGAUUGUCAGUGAAUUUCGGAAAGCUUUACAAAGAGGGAAAACCAAUGGUAGGAAAGUCAGAUUGACUAUGAUUGAUCAUGUGACAUCUGUUCCUGCAGGUGUUCUUAUUCCUGUCAAAGAAUUGAUCAAGAUUUGUCCGGAAGAGGGUGUCCAUAAAGUAUUUGUUGAUGGUGCACACGGGAUUGGGUGUGUUGACGUUGACAUGAAAGAAAUUGGGGCUGAUUUUUAAACUAGUACUUUGAACAAGCGGUUUUUUUACCCGCCUGGGGCAGCGUUUUUGUAUUGUGAGGAAUCAGCCGAAACUGAUGAUUUGCAUCACCCUGUGGUGUCUCAAACCCCAGAUGUACGUCUUGUAACAACCCAAGAAAUUUUACUGAGUUAACUAGCUAGUUGGUACCCACUUGCUUUGUAGAGUACUGUUUCUUCCUAAUAUAGGACCGGAAAGAAUACGCGGCAGAGGUUUGAGAUAUAUGUGAUUUGAGCUGCAUGCGGACCUCUUAGCAUUCAUGAAGGUCCGUAAUUGUGUGAAAAAAAUGCUAGGUGAUUAAUCUUUGGAAGUGUUCAUAAGUUCCUUUUGCUUCCUAGUUCCUCGCAAGUUCUAUGCUAAUUUGAUUCAGUUAUUUAGAACGCUAGCUAUUCCCUCAGACUUAUUUUCGAUAUAAAAAUGCAAAUUGUAUCUAUUCAUUUCCUGCAGAGAUACAGAGGAUGUUUGCGAUUGGUUUAGAUUGUCAAAUAAGCUAAAAUCUAAAAAAUUGUUUGGUAAACACAUUUUAAAAUUGAUUAUUUGAAAAUUCGAUUCUCAAAUAAUCUACCACGCAGCCCAUGCUUCACAUGCAACAGUCUUUAUUGGGUAUGUAACUGUCCGAAGAAGAAGUCGCUCAAUGCUCUUGCUGUCCAACUCAAGAGCAACCCCACAAUGUCCACGGAAGAACCCCAACUCAGCAUGGGUUCUCUUCAACGCCUCAGCGCACUCAAUCACCAAAGAGUCAGGGAGCACUUUUUAAAAAAUCUGAUUCAUUUUAGAAUUUGAUUUUCUAAGAUAUUUUACCUAAAUUAUCCUCUUCUUUCAAUCAUAUUCCAAAUAUGCCCUAUACAAAAAUAAGUUAAUUUAUUUAUAUUUAAAAUUUUUAAUUGAAAAAUAAAACAUUAGUACUGUUGUUGCCGGUAAUUUCCUCCAGCGAGUUACUUCUUUAAUUGACACUGCCCAUAUGUUUAGAUUCGAAAUUAUUCACUGUACACAACGAAGAUGGAAUCGUCGGUGGUAUGGAAUUGGAUGCAAUGCAAGCGCCCCCAAUAUAGAGCAGCCACCACAAUGCAGCUAUCAUACGAAGGUGAAUGAAGUUGAGUUGCCGUCACCAUCUGAUAGAUCUGCAAACCCCGACCUAUAAUCAAGUGGUUUUACACCAUGAGACGCCGCCACUGAACGGCAACCUCGUGAUUCUCAUGCACACUUGGAUGGUGCAUGCUCCUUCACCAAGCCUCCGUUGCCGAAGAAAAUUCUACCAUUGAGUAGAUCACAAGAUUCUCGAUCCUAUGUUACCAAUUUUCGGAGCAUAUGUCAACAAUUAGUGUCGCCGACAAUGUUAACGCCGGUGACGGAAAUCUACUUUUUUAAAUUAUUAAAUAUUUGUACAAUUUAAUAAAAAAAUAUUUUUAUUUAUUAACAUGCUCUUAUUUGUUAAUAAAAAUAUUAACUAUUAUAUUUUUUGUAAUUAUUUACUAAUAAUUAUUUGAAACUUAAUUAAAACAAUUUAACAAAAUUUGGCAUUUUAGUAAUUAUAUAUGAAAAGAAAUUAUUUCAUAAUCUAAGUUUACUAAAUAUGUUAUAAUUUAUUUAUAAAAUAAGAUUGUUUUAUCCUUUUCAGUGGUUUCAACAUUUGCAUAUACUCACGUUUUUGGAAAGUGUGGAUAAAGUGUUUAUUGAUGGGAUCCCUCUAAGUUACAUGCAUGUACCUUACAUCCCUCUCACAUGAAUAGUGUCCAUACACUAUUCAUGUGAGAGGGAUGUAAGGUACAUGCAUGUAACUUAGCAUUACCCUUAUUGAUGGUGCACAUGGGAUUGGGUGUGUUGAUGUUGACAUGAAAGAAACUGGGGCUGAUCUUUAUAUUAGCACUUUAAACAGGUGGUUUUUUUUGGCCCGCCUGCGGCAGCGUUUUUGUUUUGUCGGAAAUCAAAUGAAACUGAUGAUUCGCAUCACCCUGUGGUGUCUCAAACCCCAGAUGUCUUGCAACAACCCAAGAAAUUUUACUGAGUUAACUAAUCGGCACCCACUUACUUUGUAUAGUACUGUUUCUUCCUAAUAUAGGGGAAGAAUACGUGGCAGAGGUUUGAGAUAUAUAUGACUUAAGCUGCGGACCUCUUAGCAUUCAUGAAGGUCAGUAAUUAUGUGAAAAAAUGCUAGCAGCAAAUUUAACUUAUUUCUUCUUAGGCAGAUUAUUCCCUAAUGCAGCCUUUAGUUGUGGUUAUCUUUGGAUGUGUUCAUAAGUUCUUUCUGCUUCCAAUUUCCUGGCAAGUUCUAUGCUUUGGUUCAGUUAUUUAGAACCCUCUUCCCUCAAUUUAUUGUCGAUAGUGCUUGUGCAUUUUGUUAGUCACAUUUAUAUGUACUGUGGAAAGCGAAGCCCCAUCGUAAAACCUGCACAAGUAACAACUUGAGACAUACAUAAAAGGGUAAUUAUCUAAUGACCACCUGUUUUUUUGAACUUUUUUAAAAGUAUAAAUUUCUUUUUUUUUUUGCUGAUUUUCACCAGAAGUUACAAAAUAUAUUAUUUUUCCACUUCAGCCUAAACUCCGGAGAAAAGUUAAUAGAAUAUUAACAAAAUUACUAUUUAACCCCCCCUUAAUGUAAAAUUACUAUUCAACCCUAAUUAAAUGAAAAAAAAAUUAAAUCACCUCAAAUUUUUCUUUGCAAUUUGGACAUUAGAUAAUAAGUUAAACAAUCUGGAAUAUUUUUACCUUUUUUUUCCUCUUUCAACCGCGUUUAAAUGACAUUAAUUUUUGCUAUGCAAGUAAAAUGACAAUUUUACCCCAGUAAGGUCAUAACAGAAUGCAAACGGAAGAGGAAAAGUGCAAGAAAAUGUAACUUCUAGUGGAAAUCAACCAAAAAAAAAUAAGAUAUGUAUAUUUUUUAAAAAAUAAAAAAGAAUAGGUGGGUGGUGGAUAAUUUCCUUACAUAAAAAUACAAAUUAUAUCUAUUCAUUUACCGGAUAGAUUUAGAACAUGUUUGUGAUUGCUUCAUAUUAUCAAAUAAGCUAACAUCUAAAAAUUGUUUGGUAAACACAUUUUAAAAUUGAUUAUUUGAAAAUUCGAUACUCAAAUAAUCUAUUUUUGUAUUAAACAUUAAAAGUCACGCGCCCCCCAUAUACGAAGGAGAAUGAAGUUGAGUUGCCGUCACCAUCUGAUACCAUCUGAUAGAUCUGCAAACCCCGACCCAUAAUCAAGUGGUUUUACACCAUAAGACGCCGCCACUGAACGGCAACCUCGUGAUUCUCAUGCACACUUGGAUGGUGCAUGCUCCUUCACCAAGCCUCCGUUGCCGAAGAAAAUUCUACCAUUGAGUAGAUCACAAGGUUCUCGAUCCUAUGUUACCAAUUUUCGGAGCAUAUGUCAACAAUUAGGGUCGCCGACGGUGUUAACGCCGGUGACGGAAAUCUACUUUUUUAAAUUAUUAAAUAUUUGUACAAUUUAAUAAAAAAAUAUUUUUAUUUAUUAACAUGUUCUUAUUUGUUAAUAAAAAUAUUAACUAUUAUAUUUUUUGUAAUUAUUUACUAAUAAUUAUUUGAAACUUAAUUAAAAAAUUUUAACAAAAUUUGGCAUUUUAGUAAUUAUAUAUGAAAAGUAAUUAUUUCAUAAUCUAAGUUCACUAAAUAUGUUUUAUGAAUUUAUUUAGAAAGCUUAUUAUUAUGAAAUAUAAUUUAGAAUUGAUUAAUUGAGAAUCAAAGCAAAUCCCAAACAUACCUUAAUCACGGUCAAACCCCAAGACCGACCGUGCAAAGAUCAAGCCAUCAGAGACUUUAUGAGCAAUUAGCAAUAUUAUUGCUUUCAUUAAUUUGGAACCAAGAAUGAGGGUAAAUUAUUAUUUUCAGAUAUAAGCACUUCAUGUCAAUAAGAUUUGAUUGGCAAUAUUGUGAGCACUUUCUAUCGUGUAGAGAAUUGUCAUGGCCCUGGGUUGGUUCGUACGUUCCAGGUCUAUGGUCAAACAUUUUUAGCAAAUAUCUUAGAAAUUCCCUCAAUAAAUAAGAUAAUGAUUCCGUGGUCCAAUAUUUUGCGGUACUUGUGGAUCUACUUCUCAUAAGUUGUUUCUUAACUAUAUACUUCUCUGUUUCUCAAUAGUUGAAGGAUGGGCAGCAGCAAUCUUCCGCAUACUUACAAAUAAGGUCAAUUUGCACUCCCUGGAAGGCGUACAUGGUCUCCUUUGACAUGGUUUCAAAUAGAGAUGGCCAAAGGGCCGAGUGGUACGACACGGAUAUGACACAUGUCUAUACAGCACAAGCACGUAGGCGCGUGACGCGACACAGCACGGCAUGAACAUGGGCUAGAUUAGACUAAGAAUUUUAGGUACGUGAGUCUUAAAAGCAUAGUGCAAUUAGAGAUGAGAAAAAACAUAUUAUGUGGAAAGGCCCACAAUAAGUACGUUCACUUUUUAAUGAAAAUAAAUUUAAAAUUUUAUUAUUUUACAAAAAACUUAAAAUUAAAUCUUUUAGUAUAUUUUAUUAGCUUAAGUUUUCAAAUUCAUUUGAUUCUUAGUUUUGAAAAAGAAAAAAUCUAAUUGUUUUAUAUUUAUAAUUUAUUAAAUGAAUAGUUAAUAUCAUGAUUUUAAUAAAUAAAAUUAUAAAUAUCAUGAUUUUAUAAAAUGUAUGUAUUAAUGUUAUAAUGGACUACGAUCUAUGAUCUGCGUAAGUCUAAGUUAACAAUUAAAUUAAUUCUUAAGAAAAAUUUAUUAUUGUUAUUAUUGUUGUCCUUAAGUAUUAAUAAAAAAAAUUCUAAUAUCGUAGUAUCUAACUUAAUAAUUAGUACUACAUUCUCUUAUUAUUAUUAGUUUAUUAUUAUUGAAUAUAGAUUUAAUUUUUAAACUUUCUGAUUCUAUUGAAUUUGACUAAAACAUAUAGACCCAAAAAAGAUACAUGGGCUUAAAAAAAAUAUGCUACUAGCUUGGUCUGUUCUCUUAAAAAAAAUAAAAAAAAUAAAAAGACUUGCUGUGCUUUUUUCUUAGGAAUAGCCCAAGACACGGUACAGUACAGCGACUGAGCUUAGACCUAAGCAAAAAAAAAAAAAUAUUAAAAACAACACUAUACAGCAUGACACGAUGCAUACAGUGGAUAUGGCAUGGCAUGAGCCCAUACGAGCCUUCCUUUGAUGUCGGUCUGGCCCCUUGGCCAUCUCUUGUUUCAGUACUAACUAUGAACACCAUAAAUGAGUAGAGAAACAAACUGGAUAAUACUUAUAAAUGUAUGUAUAUAUAAUUCUAUAACGUAGUUUAUCAGAGAAAUAAGAAGGUCAAACAUGAUUUCUUUUUUUUUUCUUGGCUUGUUUGUUGUGCUCCAUGAGAGCUAUUCGUCCACAUGUUCAAAUUUUCAUUUUCUGAGGCAAACUAAUGGGAUUAUGUCAUAUAACAAGCAAGUGAUUAAUAUUAAUAAAAGGACUUUAUACUUGGAUUGAGAUUAAGAUUCUCCCAUAAUCUUAACUUAUUUAACCUUCUUUAUUGAUUUGAUUUGAUCGUGUAUAAUUUUUAUUUACGUGUGGUCAAAAUUUAUUUAUUUUUUUAAUAAACCUUAACGUAGCCUUUCAAGAAUUGAAUGGUUAAGGGAAAAAUUGUAAAAGCGCUAGAAAUACCAAAAAGUGGCACCUUUCUGAAUUCUGAAUGUUUCCCAUGUUCGCGAUGUUGCCGCUUCUUGUAUAGAGGAAACUUUGUUUAAUUAUCAUCAUAAUUCGUAUUUUGAAGCAUUCAAAUGGUUUGACUUUGUGUUGUUAGUUGACUUUUAACUCUCAAAAUUAAGUCAAUUAGAGUGUUUGUAUUGUAUAAAUUUUUUUCUCUACUGUUUAAUUGACAAUCAUAAUUUACAGGCAUUUUUAUGCAUGAAAUUUUUUUGUUUCUAAUAUUUUAUUUAGCUAAGGUCAAAAAUUGUCCUUGAAGCGUAACAUAGCUGGCCAUAUAAUUACCUAAGUUUGAAUAAUAAUAAAAGUAAUCAUUAGUGUUUAGUGAUAAGAUUUCUCAUCGUCUUCAAAAAGAAAACAAAACAAAAAAUAAAAGAUCAGAGAUCAACAUAAGAAGUCGGCAUAAUCCCACAAAAAUUACACAAGUUACAAGAGUUUUAGUACUGUUUAUACCGAUAAAUGUUGGCAAAAGAAAUAUUAUAAGUUGGUACGAAGUAAACUCCAAGCAAUUAACAAUGUAACACAUAUAUAAUAUGCCAAUGCCACGUCACUAUCCUUAAUUUUUUUUCCUUAAUAUGAAUGCAGUAUGGUCCAUACUUCAGAUUAUUUAAUAUGCUAAUGUAACCUACCUACCCAUUUUUCACUAAAGGCAAUUACAAUGCAAUUUGUGAGAUAAACUUAAGGAUAAGAUUUGACAAUAAAAUUAAAGAUAAGAUCUUUUGAUGUACAUAAAUGUCGUGCACUGAGAACGAUUGAAAAUGAUAUGAAUCUUUGUCUUUAAUUUUUUUAAUGCGAAUAUAUUAUUAAACUGUCUAAUUUAAUAAAGUCAAUUUUUAACAGUAUUAUAAAAUUAUGUGGUUUAAUAGCAUAUCUGCAUUGACUCUAUCAAAUGGCACAAUUCAACAACGCAUUUACAUAAAAAAUGAAGGUGCCCGCAUGAGAGAAUGAGACUAUAUAUAUUUUAUACUGAUAACACAAUUACAUAACUAUUGAUAUUUAUAAUCAAAUAAUUAUUGGACUACUAUUUUACAUUAAAUCUUAUUAAAUGAGAUAUUUUACAUCAGACAACUACUGUGUUACUAAUUUAUAUUAAAAUUUAUGAAAUACUGUUUAAAUUUUUUUAUUCUCACUAAUAUUUAAGAAAAAUUAUAAAUUAUCUUCAGUCAAUUAUUCUUUGAUUGAGAGAGAAAUUAAGUCCCCGCACUCUAAAACAGCUCACCAUUCGGUCGAGUGGCUCAUGAACAUUUCUAUUUUUUAAGCUUGACAAAGGAAUAAUUCCUACAUGUUGCGGGGCAAAAAUAAAACAACUUUUAGUUAGUGGGUUGAAUUGAAAUAUAUCAAAAUAUCACAUAAACUUUCUUUAACAAUUCCUCACAUUUCUAAACUAAAUUUUAUAUUGCAAUAUUGCGAUUGAAACCGUAAAUACAAUUUCAUCAUCAUCUUCAUCAUCUCAAGCCCAUUAUAUUACUAUUAUUAUAAUUUUUCAUUCCGUGAAGCUGUAAAGCAUGAACUUUUUUCCAGUUAUUUUCUUUCUACAUUUUCAUAUAGGGUUUGUAAAGCAUCAUCUCAUCAUAGUUCAUAUGAAUAUUAAUAACUGUAGACGCUGCAUUUGACCAAUACUUUUUGUAAAGGAAAUUAAAUUUGAUUAAUUUAAUUUUAAAAAGUAUUGUUGUACUUAAACUUAUUGAUCAUAAGUUUAUCAAAACCUAUCGCCCAUAUGUUAUGGUUUUUAGGACCCCACAUGAUUAUAUAUAUUUAAAAGAAAAUAUAUUAUUGUAUUACUUUCUCUUAGAUGACAAAUUCAAUGAGCUUCUUGUCAUGUAAACAAGGUUUGUGCUUUAUUUAUUUUUUUGGUUUACUAUUUUCGAUAGGUUUAUCCAAUAAAGUUAAGUUGGUGAUAAAAAUUAUGCGAAAUCAAGUCUCAAUCCAAUUCAAUUCAAUUCCAUUAAAAAAAAAAAUAAUGGCAACUAGAUCUGACUAAUAUUGUAACUCAUGACAUGACUUUAAAUGACAAUAAAUUUGGGAAAUAAAAGUAAUUAAUUGGUAAUUAUUUCCCUCGAUAUGUCACCAAUCCACAAUCUCUCUCACGCUCUGUACUUCCUCUCUCUUCACACCCAUCAUCACAACCUCCCUUCAAGCCCAGCUUCCAACCCCAAACCAAAAUCCCCAUUUUUCUUCCAUGUCUUCUUGUCAUCACAACCACCACAACAUGGAUAUUAAUGGAUGUGACGCUAAAAUAUCCGAUACCCACUUGCCCAAAAAGCCGAAACUUUCACCAACUUUGAUUUCAGACACUGAACUCGAAUCUGAAUUCUCUCACCAUGUGCAAAACAUAGCGAGAAUCAAUAAUGGAAGCUUUGGUUGCUGCCCAAAGAGUGUUAUGUCAGCACAGCAGAAGUGGCAACUCGAGUUCCUCAAACAACCUGACGACUUUUACUUCAAUCGGCUGAAAGAAGGGAUUUUGCAAUCAAGACUCGUGAUCAAAGACUUGGUCAAUGCUGACCAUGUUGAUGAAAUAUCAAUUGUUGAUAAUGCCACCACCGCUGCCGCCAUUGUGUUGCAGAGUGUUGCUUGGGAC
rnacentral:lncRNA from 1 species